rnacentral:lncRNA from 1 species
UUUUUUUUUUUUUUUGAUAGGCAAAUAGAGAAUAUAUAUUAAAGAUGCCUAAGCAAAAGGCACAGCAACUUACACACGGCGUACACAUUUGACAUUCGCCAAAGGCACACUUAAAAAGGAGAGAAGCAUAAAAAACAACCUCCCUCGCCUUACUUUAAGCUAAGCCAAUCAACAAAGUCAAUCAUUAACAUGGUCACCUAGCUCUUCAUACUCCCUUAUACCAACAAACCACACUGUAGGCCACCUAAAAAGUCCAACAAUUUACAGUUCUUCAGUCCUAACGGAGCUCUAGACCACCCCACUAGGUAUCAAAUGAAGUUCUCCUUCAAUUUUUGAUUGGGAAGCUCUUUCUUGUCAAAAACCCGACUAAUACAUGCACCAGAACAAGCAAAGGGGAGCCAUACACCAAACCUUCUGCCUUCUCUUAUCCAAGCCUUGAAACUUCCAUCCUAAUACAGAUCUCCAACUGUGUCUGGAAGUACCCACUAAAAAAACAAAAAAUAGCUAGUAACAUGCCCCACAAUUUUCUGGAUCUGGCACAAUGGAUCAAGAUGCAGGUGGUGUUUGUUUUUUUGGAUUUUUGCUGAAAGCAAUUUGUUUUCAGAAUUUAGGUUGUUUGUUUUUCUACUUUUUCUUAACUUAUUAUAAACUUUUUACUAAAUAGAAAAAGCCAAAAUAUGUAGCUUUUUCUAAAUAGAAAAAAUAACAUAUUGGUUUUUCUUUAUUUUUUAAAACUUAAUAGAAAUAAAAUACUACAAAAACUGUGGGAAAACGUGAAUUAUGGUUGUAAAUUAAUGACUUGUAUUUUGCUGUGUAUAGUAAUUAUGCUAGUUUAGGAGAGUUUGUUUGUAACAGCCAGAAUUCCUAGAAUUAGGUUAAUUUAGUUAGUUUCCUAUUUUGUUAGAGUAUCCCAUAAAUCAUGGGAUUUGAUAUAGCCUAGUAAUUAGUUUCCUUUUCUAUAGCUAAGAUUUUUCUGUAUAAAGCUAAUGUAGUUUUCUGAGAAGGAAGGAGAAUAAAAUUAUUUCCACAAUUCUGCUCUCUCAAUUUACGUCAUGGUAUCAGAGCUGAAUUAGGAUCCUUGGAAUUUAUUUUGUUUCAGCCUUCAUUGCUGAAUACAGUGCCCAAUUUUUCUUCUGUUUUUGAAACUCAAAACAGAGCAUUUGUUUCCUCUCCUAGAAUUUUCAUUUUCUUCUUGGCCUUCAUUGCCAUUCAUUUGCCUUUUUUUUGCCUUCAUUAUCAAUCUGAUCUCUUGGCUUUCAACGUUGUCUAUUGUUGACCCACGUGCUUUGCUUGAAUCACCUAGAAAUUGCCCUUUUUUUUCCGUAAAAAAUGUCAGAGAUUGCAGAAACAACCACUACAGUCCAUUCAGAGGAGAUUAUUCGACCCCAACAUUCCGGAGAAUUGCAAAAUAUCCAGGCUGCAUAUAGGCUGGAUGGAAAAAAUUAUCUGAAAUGGUCCCAACUUGUUCGCACCAUGUUGAAAGGGAAAGGGAAGAUUAGCCAUCUCAUGGGUACAGGGCCGAAACUAGGAGAUCCUCAUUUUGAAGCAUGGGAUGAAGAAGACUCCAUGAUUAUGGCAUGGUUGUGGAAUUCUAUGAUUCCUGAAAUCAGUGACACAUGCAUGUUCCUAGCUACUGCCAAGGACAUUUGGGAUGCAAUCCAACAGACGUACUCUAAGGCGAGAGAUGCGGCCCAAGUAUACGAGGUCAAGGUGAAAACUGUUACUGAGUAUGCUAAUCAAUUGAAAUCUUUAUGGCAAGAACUUGAUCAUUACAGGGUGAUAAAGACCAAGUGUCCCGAAGAUGCUGCUAUUCUCAAGGAUUUCAUAGAACAAGAUCGAGUCUAUGAUUUUCUUGUUGGACUCAAUCCAGAAUUUGACCAAUUGCGAAUCCAGAUUCUUGGCAAGAAAGAAGUUCCGUGCUUUAAUGAGGUGGUGGCAUUAAUUCGAGGAGAGGAAAGCAGAAGAUGCCUGAUGCUUAAUCCACAGAACACGGACAGCUCGGCUAUGGUGGCUGGCAGUGGUAACAAUUCAGCCACAAAUAUGGAAAGAGUACUAGUUUCUGGCAAUGGAAGAUCUAGUUAACCAAAGACUCAAAAUCGUGACUACAAGGACAACUUAUGGUGCACUUAUUGUAAGAAGGCACGCCAUACGCGUGAGCGGUGCUGGAAACUACAUGGAAAACCACCAAGUCGAGAGUGGGGACAGAAGGGAGAACAACCAAGUAAUAAUGGUCAGACCCAUGUUACAACAGUACAACAGAAUGGAGCAACACCGCAAGAGACAGGCAGUCUUAAUCAAGAAGAAGUUGAGAGGGUGAGGUCUCUUAUUUGCAACCUUGACAAACCAACAGGUACUGGUUUAUUGGCGUAUUCAGGUAAGUUUCCAUUCUCUAUUGGAUUAAAUGUCUUGGAUAUAACCUUUGCCAACUCCUGGGUCAUUGACUCAGGUGCUACCGACCAUAUGACUCAUUCACCAAACAUUUUUUCCACAUAUUUCCCAUGUUCAAGCAGUAGAAAAAUAGCCACAGCCGAUGGCUCCUUGACCACUGUAGCAGGUAUAGGAGAUGUCAAAAUAAACCCAUCACUGAUGUUAAAAAAUGUUCUUCAUGUCCCUAGGUUAACCACGAACCUCAUUUCUAUCCAAAAACUCACUCAAGAUUUACAUUGCAAUGUGGUUUUUUAUCAUAGUCAUUGUGUAUUUCAGGACGAGGAUUCGGGGAGGAUGAUUGGACAUGCUAGAGAACGGGAUGGACUCUACUAUCUCAAAACACCAAGUCAAUCAAACAUUACCAAAGGCAAAUCAUCUCAUUCUUUUGUCUCAGAAGUUUUUUCAUUCAAUAAAGAAAAAGUUUGGCUUUAUCAUCGUCGACUUGGACAUCCAUCAUUUAGGGUUAUUAAAAUUAUGUUUCCUUCUUUAUUUAAAGGUCUAGACGUCGAACAUUUUCAUUGUGAAGUGUGUGAACUUGCUAAACACAAACGUGUGUCUUUUCCAGUUAGCAAUAAAAGAAGUUCUAUUCCUUUUUAUCUCAUACACAGUGACAUUUGGGGUCCUUCUCCUAUUCCUAACAUUACUGGGGCUAAAUGGUUUGUUUCAUUCAUUGAUGAUUGUACUCGAGUCACUUGGAUUUUUUUGCUCAAACAUAAAUUUGAUGUCAGUACUGUCCUUCCAAAUUUUUGUUCUAUGAUUAAGACUCAAUUUGGAGUCAAUAUCAAAAGAUUUAGGUCGGAUAAUGCUAAGGAUUAUUUCAAUCAAGUCCUAACUCCAUACUUUCAAAGGGAAGGAAUAAUACAUGAGUCAUCUUGUGUUAACACUCCACAGCAAAACGGAGUGGCAGAAAGAAAAAACGGUCACCUUCUUGACUCAACCCGAUCCUUCAUGUUUCAUAAAAAUGUGCCUAAAUCCUUUUGGGGAGAAGCAGUUCUUACAGCUGCUCAUCUCAUAAAUAGAUUGCCUUCUAGGAUCUUGGGAUUCAAAAGUCCAAUGGACAUACUUUCAACAUUCUAUCCAAACCUACACACUACAAACAAUCUUGUUCCUAGGAUAUUUGGGUGUGUGGCAUUUGUCCAUGUUCAUAAUCAAAACAGGGGGAAGUUAGAUCCACGGACAUUAAAAUGUGUUUUUUUGGGUUAUUCUUCAACUCAUAAAGGGUAUAAGUGUUACCAUCCUCCAUAAAAAAGAUUCUAUGUCUCGGUAGAUGUUACUUUCCAUGAACAAGAAUCUUAUUUCACUAUUCCUUAUCUUCAGGGGGAGAAUUCGGUAAUGGAAGAUAAGGAUAGGGGGGAUUUUUUAUUCCUUGAUCUGCCAUCACUUCCCUUGUCAAAACAAUCUCGUCCCAUUGAUCCUUUGAUUGAAACCUUACCUAAAUUGCCCGAUCAGCCUGAACUUGUGCCUGAAAAUCCAAAAUCUGCCCCUGAGAAUGUGAGAUUUGACAAAGUGUUUUCGAGGAAGAAGACAGUUGUCCCUGAAUCUGUGCAAGUCCAAGACUUCAACCCAAAUUCUGAGAAUGAGGUAACAAUUUCUAAUCCUUCAUUGCAAUCUGAAUCUCAUGUGAACAAUGAUGACCAGGACCUCCCUAUUGCUGUUAGGAAAGGGAUUAGAGAAUGCACAAAUCGACCUCUAUACCCUCUUACACACUUCCUAUCCUUUAAAAAAUUUUCACCAUCUCAUAGAGCCUUUCUUGUUAGCCUAAACACUAUUUCUAUCCCUACCACCGUAUCCGAGGCUUUGACCGAUGAAAAAUGGAAACAAGCUAUGAAUGUGGAGAUGGAGGCAUUAGAAAAAAACAAAACUUGGGAGUUGGUAAAAUUGCCGACAAGAAAGAAACCCGUGGGGUGUAAAUGGGUUUAUACUGUGAAAUACAGAGUAGAUGGAUCAAUAGAAAGAUACAAGGCUAGAUUGGUUGCCAAGGGUUAUACUCAAACCUAUGGGAUUGAUUACCAAGAAACUUUUGCUCCGGUCGCAAAGAUGAACACUGUUAGAGUCUUGUUGUCAUUAGCAGCUAAUUACAAUUGGGAUUUGUAGCAAUUUGAUGUCAAGAAUGCUUUUUUGCAUGGAGAACUAGAGGAAGAAAUUUAUAUGGAGGUCCCGCCAGGUUAUGACAAUAAUUUGGCUGCUCAUACUGUAUGUAAAUUAAAAAAGGCCUUGUACGGACUUAAGCAAUCACCACGAGCAUGAUUUGGAAGAUUCGCAAGAGUGAUGAUAACUAUGGGAUAUAGGUAAAGUCAAGGAGAUCAUACGUUGUUCAUUAAACACUCAUCUUCGGGGAAACUCACAGCUCUCUUGGUGUAUGUUGAUGACAUAAUAGUGACAGGAAACGAUGACAAGGAGAGACAGGUUCUAAAUCAAUGUUUGGCUAAGGAAUUUGAGAUCAAGGCAUUAGGGAGGUUGAAAUAUUUUCUUGGUAUUGAGGUGGCUCACUCUAAGCAAGGCAUUUUUAUCUCCCAACAGAAGUAUGUUAAAAAUCUUCUCAAAGAAACUGGAAAGACCGCAUGCAAACCAGCAAGUACUCCAAUAGAUCCGAAUCUUAGACUCGGAGAGGCAGAAAAUGAUGUUACAGUAGAUAAAGAAAUGUAUCAACGCUUGGUGGGAAGGCUCAUUUAUCUAUCUCAUACACGACCAGAUAUAGCAUAUGCAGUGAGUAUGAUUAGUCAAUUCAUGCAUAGUCCAAAGGAAGCUCAUCUGUAGGUAGCUUAUCGAGUGUUACAAUAUCUCAAAGGGACACCAGGUAAAGGUAUUCUGUUUAAAAGGAAUGGAGGGUUAGUACUUGAGGCAUACACAGAUGCUGACUAUGCUGGCUCAAUUAUUGACAGAAGGUCAACUUUUGGAUAUUGCAUCUUUCUUGGUGGAAAUCUCGUAACAUGGAGGAGUAAGAAACAGAAUGUGGUAGCGCGGUCUAGUGCAGAGGCAGAAUUUCAAGCAAUGGCUCAGGGUGUGUGUGAACUACUAUGGUUGAAGAUCGUUUUAGAAGACUUAAAGAUUAAAUGGGAUGGCCCAAUGAGACUCUAUUGUGAUAAUAAAUCUGCAAUCAGCAUAGCUCACAACCCGGUACAGCAUGAUCGAACGAAGCACAUUGAAAUUGACAGACACUUCAUCAAAGAGAAGUUGGAUAGUGGAUUGAUAUGUACACCUUAUGUGUCUACACAUGGUCAACUUGCCGAUAUACUUACCAAAGGGCUAAGUAGUUCAGUGUUUCAAAGCUUUGUAUCCAAGCUGGGUAUGGUGAAUACCUAUUCACCAGCUUGAGGGGGAGUGUGGGAAAACGUGAAUUAUGGUUGUAAAUUAAUGGCUUGUAUUUUGCUGUGUAUAGUAAUUAUGCUAGUUUAGGAGAGUUUGUUUGUAACAGCCAGAAUUCCUAGAAUUAGGUUAAUUUAGUUAGUUUCCUAUUUUGUUAGAGUAUCCCAUAAAUCAUGGGAUUUGAUAUAGCCUAGUAAUUAGUUUCCUUUUCUAUAGCUAAGAUUUUUUUGUAUAAAGCUAAUGUAGUUUUCUGAGAAGGAAGGAGAAUAAAAUUAUUUCCACAAUUCUGCUCUCUCAAUUUACGUCAAAAACAAACAACCUAAUAUUUAACACUAUUAAACAUUAAGGUUCUAUUUAGAAUUAAGUAAAAAAACAAACACCAUAAUAGUUUGCCGACUCUUGAUUGACUUUGCAUAGACUACAUCUAUUCACCAUUGACAAACCUCUCCUCAUGAAGAAGUCUAUCGUUAGGAACUUCCCUCACAUGGACUCCCAAACACAAAGGAAAAAAAAAUGCAAGAUCUCAUAGGGGCACAAAGUAUUAAUCAACUUCAACAUAUUCAGUUCUGCUAUGCUGACUGGAUCAUUCCAAAUGCUGAUUGCGGCUUUAUUUUAGCAAUAUAGCCCAUUUUCCCUAACAAAUCUUCAACCAGAGAAACUUACAUACACAAUGGGCCAAUUGAAUCAUGAUGGACUUUUUAUCUAUGUUGUCAUCACAAUACUAGAUUGGGGGGAAAUAGAGAUUGGUAGAAAAACAAGCAUAUGGGCUCCUGUGAAGAGGAGUAAAAAAUAUCAAUUCAUGUUCUAUCAUUAUUCAUCAGCUAUGCAUUCAAAUCUAAGAGAAAUUCUAGAGAACAUUUGCCAGUUGCAUCAGUUAUAAGAGUAAAUCUCUCCAACGGUUUCUUUCAGUGUUCAAAUUUAUUUAUGGAAUGAAACAACUCAGAAAUAUCAGUCAGACUCAUUGAUAAGCUUCAGAAGACUCCACUUGGAUACAUUAAACUUUUCUUUUUAAUUUAGAAAAGCUUAUUUUCAAAAAUAAUAUAUUUCAUUUUAACCCAUUAUAGGUUUUUUGUCCAAUUAUAUCUUGAACAGAUUUUAUCUUGGCUAUGGGAGUAAAAAUUUUCAUGUUCACCAAUUUCCUAUGUGUAAGUAAAUUGCUUAGCUUCCAGCCUCUCCUUGCAUGUUUCAGUUCCCACAUGUAUGACCAACAGUUCCUUUGACAGAUCAAGCAAAUCCCAUUUUCCCAUCUAUUAUUCAUUGUGAGAGCUCUUAUCUCAACAAAUAUUCUGCCUUUCCACUUACACUGGCAUUGCUUUGUUUAUGUUCCAUCCAUAGACAUUGCAAACAACUAGAUUAUAGGCAUGACAGGAUAGUGAAACUGAUAUUUUAUAAGGAGGAUAGAGUGAUUGGUAAGAAACAAAAUAAGAAAUCACUUUAUGAAUACAAAUGCUGACUCCCUUGCCUAAUGCAAUAGCAACAUCUGAAUCAUCUAUGACAGGUGUCCUAAUAUUACAAGUGGAGAGAGGAAUUACCUGGCCCCAAAGGAACCUCUUGGGAAAGGUUCUAAGAGAGAAUAGAAAACAUAGGUUUGAGAAUCCCCUUACAAGAUGCUCAGUACGGAUUCUUACUUUAAGACAAAUCCCAGACUCAAGUAAAUGCUAGAGCAUUGCACCUCCAAAGUCAUACACGAGGGACCAUGACAUAUGAUGCCUACCUCAAAUAAGAUCAGGGCCCUUGGAAGAGCAUGGUGUCCAUUGGCAACUUGCAAUUGAUCAUCAUAACAAUUUUUUUUGAUAUGUAAAUGGAGAUUGUAUUAAUUUUAAAAAGUAUACACGACAUAUACAAAUCAACAAUUGAUCAUCAGAAUUUGGUAGCUAGACUGGCAGGCUGCUAAGAGGCAUAAGUCUUGCUAAAUAUAUAAAGGUGAAUCCUGCAGCUUAGGUUCUUAUUUACAAUACUGAUAUUCAGAUUAAUAUUAAUUUUGCAAGAAAGAACAUUUAAUUGCCUCUUCUAACAGGUAUAACAUUAGCAUCUCUAGUGAUGAACUUAGAAUGUACAAGAUGAAAUUGAUUCUUCUCAGUUUCAGGUUGCAGAAAACUGGUUGAACAGCAUGACAACAUGAACCUAAUUUCUUGUUAUGGUGCAUGUUUAUUGUUGCAAAUUUGCACAGGGCCUCUCCUGAGAGAUUCCUCAAAACAACAACAAGGCUUAACAUCAUACUCAGAUGCUAAGAGAUGUUUGACAGUGUACUUCAAAUAUUUUGCGAAGUGCCUGAAAUUUAGGUCCCCACAUGGUCAAAUAGAAACAUUCAGAAAGAGCAUAUUGCACAGGUACAAAGAAACAUUUAAAAUGCAUUAGGAAAUUACCAAUUGCAUGUGAUAAAGAUGUCAAAACUGCAGUUGGUGAAGCAAAUGGACCAAAUGUGAUGAUGGGAUAAGAGGAUGAAGCACUAAACUUUACUAUUGAUUCUUUCUGCAAAUCAAUCUGGAUAGAAAAUAAAUGAAUAGGUAGAGACCCAAGUAAAAAGAUCCUUUAAAAGAUUGAACUUCAGCAUAUCACAUAAAAUAGAAAUUCUCAAAACCUCGCAGCGCCGUGUUGUAUCAGCAAGAAUCCCAAGUGCCUCCCCAUUUGGAAGAACAGCUAGAACCCAAGGAUGUGACUGGUACAAGGAUGUUGUUCCAGAACCAUAACCCCAUGCAUCUGUGUUCCACGUAAAAACCUACAUGGAAUAUAAGUUUAUCAAUACUUGUAGAACUGGAACAAGGCUUCAUGAUGAGAAACUAUACAAACUGUCUUACUCUCUUCCCUGUCCGCUCAAGCUGUCCACUAACUUCUCCUGUUCCAUAAAAGGAGGUACCAGUGGGAAGCUAAAUCAAGACCAAAUUCUAUUUUGUUAGUUAAGGUACAAGGAAAUAUUUGAGAAACAGAUAGUAAAAUAUGCUGGUUAGUAGAGAAUAUAGAAUAUGUUGAUGGCACUAAUACUGGAAAAUAAUGCAAGAUAACUUACCUCAAUUGUAACAAUCUGUUGCCCCAAAACACAUUCAAAUGUAGGGGUAUACAUAGGAACCUUGUGAUUCAUGAUUGGCAUAUCUCUAUUUUUCUGAUUAGUAAAUGAAAGACUGGGAAAUGCUGCAUCUCUAUCAUCUGAAGAACAAUCAAACCGGAAAACCCCUUCCUCCAGGAUAGGUUCAAAAAGCAUAUUUCCAGAAGUGAAAUCUGCAGGGACCACCUUUCCUUCAUAUUCUGCCAUCUUGAUCACUAAUCUUUCACCAAUCAGCCUCUUCUUAACCCUCUUUCUGCAAGCUAAAAAACUUGUGUUAGGAAUUCCUCUUCAACAUAGUGCCUCCUAUUCAGCCAUUUCUCAAAAUGAAGCGAAAAUUUAUAUUUUAGCUGAAAUAAGCCAAUUAAUUCUUUGGCAUCUUUACAAAUGAUCAAAUAAUGGUAUUUGAUUGAUUACUUACGGGCUAAAAGCAUGAGAGAACUUACGACGAGUCUGAACCUAACAUCUGAAACAGAUGCUCAAGCAAAGGACUGAGAAGCAACAUGGCACUAUGUCCCCUCUAGAGGAACUUACAUGUACAAUCAAAUGGUUUUAUUAAAAAAUUACUCACUUCACAUUGCAACAAAGAUAGCCUCUCAAUAAAAUAAUUCAUCUCGGUUCCAUCACUUAUAGUGAAAAACAAAAUCAGAAAAGAACUUUGUUCAUGAUGAUUAACAAGCUGUCCAUCCUUGACAUUGUAAGACUACUAAGCUAUCUUCAGUACAGAAAAUUUAGAACACAUGAGCUUUGUGAAUCUAGAAUCUAAAAGCUAGAAGCUAGUGAGUUCAUCCUAUUUUCUAAACAUGGGAUGUGAAAAAUACCAAAAGGUAACCAUUUCCCAUCAUUUUAAAGCUAGCAGUGCCACAUUGUCAUGAACAACUUACCAUUGUUAUUGUGCAAGAACAAAAUUACUUGUAGCUUUCCAAAUUCAUUUUCCACUAUUUCAGUGAGUUCAUUUUUAGUUCUUUCUAUUAUUUUCUUAAUUUCUGUUUGGGUGGUCCUUUGUAUACUUCCCGUGUACCAGGGUUGAUGUCCUUUUGUGCCCUUUUGGCACUUCUUGCACUCUGUGUAAUAACUUUACUUCCCAAGUUGUUAAUAACCAGUGAUCACAGGUGAUACUAAGAUUUAAUAAAUCAGGAAUGCUGAAACAAAAACAGCAAUUGGAGCAGAGAAUGCAACUGCAGUUAGCCACAUGAAUCAGAAUAGUUCCUGGAACCCUAUCUUUGGUAGGUUUCUUACUCUGCACCCUCAAGAACUAGCACACCUAUUCUCGAAAGCUGAAGAGCAGCUAAGCUAAGUAAUUUGUUGGUUAAAGCUCAAUGAAUGCAUACCAUAACUAAGCAAAGAAAAUUUAGAUUGCUAUUAGCAACUAACUCCCAAAUCUAUACUAACAUAUAAAGCGAGAGGGGAGUGGGCUUGAUCUCUUACUUUAAAUAAGUACAACACCCAUAACUGCUUAAAACUGUUAACUUAAAUCAACAAGAGCUCCAACUUCAAUUUCCACUGAACUCCUAAAAACUUGACAUCUUUUUUUAGAACUUCCAACUCUUAUAGCUCUUAUCACUAGUACUAGUUAUGCCUUUUUUUAAGUCUAAAGAUGUUCAAACAUUUCACAUCAAGGAACCAUGCCUUGUUUCCUAAAGGGGUUAUUGAGGAUCAAACGGAUGAAAAAUGAAUAAACAAAAAUAGAUUUUAUACAUUCAGUGGGAUUUAUUAUAUCACGGGUCGCCAAUUUUUCCCCAUGAAUUGUUGUGAUUUUUAUCCAGAACUUGAAAGAAAAAAAAUAUAUACACUUCCAAGAUUGUGGGACAUGAGGUAACCCAUAAAAUUCGUCACAGAACUCAGACUUCCCAAGUGAUUUAAUCACAGGAAAAUCCCUCUACCCUGUGAGUAAAACAAUGAUCAAAGCAACUCCAACCCAAAAUCAAACCAAAAAUGAAAACAAAAAUUGAAAAAAAAAAAUUGUAAUAUGGACGUGGGUAACAGGAAAAGGCAAAAAAAAUUGGAAAUCACCUGAAGGGGCGAGAUGGAGAAGAUGGGUGCCGAGGAACACAAUUCUUCAACAAUGGCCUGUUGAAACCCCCAGAAAUAAACCCAUAUUGGUGGGUUUUCCAAAAUCCCAAUGCUCCCACUCCGUCACUGCUGAAUGUCAAUGCUCCUGCCAUUUGGUUGCCACCUAACACCAGCUUUAUGCCCACGUUUCACUGUACAUAAUUGGACUAAAAAAACAUAUAUUAUAUACAUAGAAAGAGAGAGGGAUUAAAUUUGAAUUUAAAAUGAGUUACAACAAUAAAAAAAUUAAUGAAAACAAUAAUCAAAUGGAUUCACGGGUGGGCGCGAUGUUGAGAGUGCAGAGGUUUGGUGGGAAGCAAUGAUAAUUGGGUUGUGAACACGAAAAUCUAAAAAGGCAUCAGCCCAUGAAGAUUGGCUUUUUGUGUGGGCUGAUGGUACACGUUCUUCUCACUUUUCUAUGAUCAACUUUUUCAGGGUUGUUGGCUUUCUGUCUCCUACAAGGCUUGUCCCACAUUUUAAGUUGGUUUGGCUAAGCCAUGGUGUAUCGAUGAUACAAAAAAAGCACCAUCAAUCCUAUGAUAAUUUUAAAAUAUGACUCCUAAUUUUGUAUUAAACCCGCAUUUUAAAAAGUGCGACUUUAAUUUAAAUUAAGAAUAUAUAUAGUAAUAAAAUUUAAUCAGCUUCCAUAAUCAACAUCAAUCUCAAUAUCAUCCUCAUCAUCAUGAUUUGAUUGUGAGAUUUUUCUCCUUCCUUAUCUUUAACCUCAAUAAUGCCUUCAUUAUCACCAUCUUCUUCAACUUUUAUAAUUUUUUUCUACCAUUUGUCUUUAACAUUUAAGUUACUUGGUCUAAUGAUAAACUAGAACUGAAUAAUUUUUAAUAUAUUAUUUGUAUGUGAAUAUACAAAGUAUAAAGUUGAAAUCUACCUUGCUUUCUAUCUCCAUUACAACCUUCAUUAACUUGAAAAUGUUCAUAGAUAUUCAUCCAUGAAUUAUCUUCGACUAAGCAUCACUCUUCUUGUUUUGUAAUCUAUUCAUCAUCAUAUUCCAUAUUUGAGAAGUAAAUUGGAUCAUGAAUCCUUAUUUUCUUACCUCUUUAAUUUUCUUAUGAGUUAUUUGGUAAAACUUAAUAUUUAUUAUUUAAUAAUUUAAGUGGACUUUAAGUUAAAUUAUACUUAAGUUGUUGACUUAAAGCUCAUUACUUGAUCUUUACUUUAAGUAUUAAGGUUAUUUGAUAACUUAAAAUUUAUUUUAAAUCAUUAAAUUGAUAUAUCUAUUCUCAUCAAGUAACAAUGAAGAGCAUGGAGUAAUGAAUGAGAUCGUUGAGAUAAUUAGGGCAAAUGAGAAUAAAAAGGUAAGAUGAAGAUGAUGACUUAGGAAUGAGUUAAUUGCUUUUACUUAUUAUUUAAGGUUGGUUUUUUUAUUUUAAGUCAUACUAUUAAGUUACUUUACCAAAUAUAUUUAAUUUAUUUAAUGACAUAAAUUAGGUUAUUAUAGACCCUCCAUUUUGUCCUACUAGUACAUGUCCUAUUACAUGUUCGUUUGAUACUUUACAAUAAUUCUCUAGUGACCCAUUGGACACCACCUUAGGCUCACUUUGGCACCCUAGACUCAUUUAGAUGCACUUGACCCAUUAGGUACACUCCUAGGUCACUUGACACAUUUCUAAUCACCCUACAUCACUUAGGCACUUUUCUAAACCUUCUAUGUCACUUAGCACAUUUUUGAUCACUUAGACACCUCCUUAGUUUAAUUUCCACUUAAUUCACCUUGACACUUUCCACUUAGGUCACUUAGGCACUUUUUCACCUAGGUCACUUAGAUGCUUUUUUGGGCUUAAUUUCCUUAGAUUAAUUUCUUGAUUUCUUGAUUUUGAUUUUGAUUGCUAAAGAUGAAUUUUCGAUAUUUAAUUAUGUCAAUUUGAUAUUUUGUUUUGUUUUUUUUUAAAAAAAAUAAUAAUUUUUUUAUUGUGUUUUAGUUUAAUAUUUAGAUUAUUAAUUAUAUGCAUGUGACAUUUAUUUAUUUUUCUUAUUUUUAUUUAUUUAUUCAACUACUUAUUUAUUUUAAGAAAAUUGUAUGUGAUUAGUGAUCUUAUCUUAUUAUUAUCAUUAUCAUCAUCAUCAUCAUUAUUAUUAUUAUUUCAUUCAAUUUAUUUUAUUUUCAUUUCUUUUCUUAAAUGUUUAGUUUAUUUUAUUUUAUUUACUUAGGCAAAAACAAAAACAAAACAAAAAAAGAAUUGGAAAAGUAAAAACCGAUGGCAUAAAAAAAAUAAGAAAAAAUAAAAUAAAUAAAAAAGCUGAUAUUUUUAAAAAUGGAAGGGUGCAUAAAAUGAGGCUUAGAAAAAAUUAUAUAUAUUCCAAGGGUCGUUGGCUAAAAGAAGAAAAACAGAGGUUUUGAAAAAAGAAAAAAAAAAUUAAGAACAUUUUGGAAAAUGGGGAAAGGAGGUGGACGAUGAGGAAGAGGAAUGAAAACCAAGAAAGGGGGAAGAAAAAAAAAAGGAAGAAAAAGAAGGGUGAAGAAAAAAAUGCACUAGCUGGUUAUUCUAGAAGAGAAAAAAAAUGAAAAGAGGAAGAAGAGGAACUGAAAAAAAAAAAAAAAAAAGGAAACUGAAGUUUUUGGGAAGAAAAAUGGGGGUCGUUGGCUGAAGAGAAAAACAGAGGGAUGGAGAGAAAGAGAAAAAUAGAGGGAAGGUAAGGUUGAGGAAAACCAACAGAAGCCUGGAAAAAGAAGAGAGAAAAAGCCUUGAGAAGAGGUUGGUUGUGGGAAAAUGGAGCUAGAUGGGGGAGUCUUAGAAAGGAAGAAAAGAAAAAAAAAAAGGUGAAGCAAGAAGAAAGAAAAAGUCGGGACGGUCAGGAGGAAAGGUUUUCGGAGAGGUUUGGAGAAGAAAAAAAAAACAGGUUAGAAAAUAUUCGAGAAGGAAUAAGGGGAUGAACGCAGUGAUAUUUUGGGUUUGAGUGAAAGUUGAAAAGAAAGAAAGAAGGAAGCUAAGGGGAAAAUGGGAAAAACAGAAAACACUUUGGAGUUUCGCAGCCAAGAGAAGAUGGGAAAUGCAUGAAGCCAAACAACUCUUUGCUCCAGAGGAGGAUUCUCAGGUCAAUCACACUGUUCUUCCUCUACUCUUUUUGCAUUCUGGGUCAUAUUUGUUUGGGUUGAGUGUGGAUUUUCUGUAUGUUCAAUCUCUGUUGAUUUUUUGAGGUGAUUGUGGACUUAUUAUUAUGAUUUUAUAUUUGUUACCUUUUGGUUUUUGCUAGAAAGCAACCUGUCUCAAUGUUUUAUUUUACUAUCCAUAAACUCAUAAUCACAUUCUUGUUCCCAUCUAAACCCAUGGUUUCUAUCUCCCUUGGCUUAUAAGCUCACUAAUACUUUAUGAGGUGAAACUUCAUUUGAUGGUUUAGUGAUUUGUGUUUAGACUCUAUUUCUUUGGUUGUUAUCUUCUUGUUGUUUUCCUCUGGUUUUGGUAUCUCUCAAUGGUGUGCAUCAGGUGGCUAACCACCAUGUGUUUCUUUUGAGUACAAUGCCUUAGUUAUGGGUAUGGUUCAAGCAUGGAUGAUGGUAUUGGUUAUUACCUAACCUACAAUGACCUUGGUUCCUAUUUAGUUGUAUGUCCUACUGCUGUUAUGGAAAAGUGGGAAAGGGAGCUUAAAAAGUGGUGCUAGUCAUUCACUGUGAUCCAAUAUCAUGAGACACGGGUUUAGCUUGCUCUCAAAAGGGGAAUCUAGUUUGGAUGAGGGAAACAACUCCUCUCGGUGGUUAUGAUGCAAAAAUUCUUCAAAAGCAUCAUGAAGAGUAGUAACAAGAAGCAGGGAAGCUUGAUUGACACAGAUUUGAUUAUCAAAUCCUUACCAACCCAAAAAUGACAGAGAAAUUGAUUAAUGAUCGUCGAGCAUCUGGAUGUACUAAUAUUAUACCCCUGUCUGAGUAAAAAAUCAGUAACUCAGUUGGUUCCCGUCCCAAGAUCAUCAUAUGGGAAAUUCUUCAGUGAGAGUACAUAUGUAAGUCUGAAUACAGUCUUGCUCAAAAGCAGCUCUCCCCAACAUGACGAACAUUAUUGACAUGGAAAAUCUAGAGAAGGCCAGUUUAUGGGUGAUAAUGUUUAAUUAUGAUGGGAAUUAUUUCUGGACCCAUUGUUUUUUUUUACAGUUUUGGGAGCUUCAAAGGAAUGUUUCAACUGAUCCAAAGGCCAGGUUGUUUUAAGCAUUUGAUGGCUCUCAUUAACACUAUCAGGUCUGUGGCAACAGACUUAGCCUGUUGAUUCAUUGGAUGGUAAUAGGAAACCUAUCUUAGGUAGCCUGAACCAACUUUUGGUGCUCGAGCAAGGAUUCCAUCAGAAGAAUCAUCCAUUCAUUGACCCUAAAGCUAAGAAGCCACUUGGGGAGCCUCUUACAAGUGAAGAACUAUGGUGGGAGAUACUGAUCUCAAUUCGGUCUCAGAUUCUGCUGGUUCCCUUUCUGGUUCAAAGCAAGCACAAAAUGUAGUUAAAGUUCAGCAAAAUGAGAAGAUGAUAAUGUGGCAAAUCAAAGGGAGCACGAUUCUAUUACUAGCAAAUGGGCACAUAAAAUAGUUUCCAAGGCCUAAUCACCAACCAAAGUUGGAUGACUUUGCAUUGACAUGAAGUUGACCCACUUGAGGCUGGUUCAUUUACUGGUCAACUUGUAGCAAAUAUCUGAAAGAGGAAGGGCUUGAAGAGUAUGUUAUGACAGUCGUUUGAGCUGUCUAGUUUGUGUGAAAGCAAGUCACUGAAACACCCUGUGAUUUGCAAUGAAAGUGGCCAAGCUUUAGUCUCUCAUUACUCAAUUUCGAUCUUAGAGGUUUUUAUUUUUAGGUGUUCUUUUUGUGACUUAUCUCACGGAUCAAUGGGAUUACUUUGUUUAGUUCUAGCCAAAAGUCAACAUGUAAUAUCUAGAAAUCAACCUAAAGAUCAACCUUUGAUGCACAAAGGAUGUAUUCUCACAUCCUUUGCUGAUGGACUUGACACUAUUAACAGAUUCUUAUGAAGACUUGCACGCACCGUGUCUGAAGCUAACGCCACCUUGAUGGAACACUAAAAUCUAUCUGGACAAUCUCCUUGUUACGUUCUUUAGAAGAUGAUUGGGUCACUCUAGUGAUGCUUGGAUUCAGAAAUCAUCUCAUCAUACCCACUGCUAGCAACUGAUACCCAUCUCACUACCAUACCUCCAUAUCUCAAUACCCACUAAACCCAUUUCUCUCACUGCUUCCUUCACCUAUUCCACCACUCGAACACCACCCGACUUCAGUCCCAAAGCUUCCAAUCUUUACCAACCACUCCCCAGUUGCAUCACCAUUAACCUUCAUCAUCUUGUUAGAGCCCGCGCACAGCCCGCACAUAGCCCACACACAGCCUGCACACCACCCACACCUCCACCCAUGCACUCCUCCCAUCUGAAGACCACCCCCACAGUCUACAUGUAGCUCAAGGCCUCCAUGGCCAUCCCAUAUCCCACAACUCCCCAUGCAGCCCGCACAUCCCAGAACUCACCCACAACUCAUCCACACCACCACCAUGCAGCCCACUCAUCCUCACAACUAAUCCAUACCACCAUACCCAUGUUUCCAUCUUCCAUACCCACUAAACCCAUUUCUCUCUCUACCUCCUCCCUUGUUCACUCUCCUCAAAACCCAAACCACAUGUAGCUCACGACUCACCCAUGGCCACCAUGUGGCCAUUCUCCAGCUCCUAUGCAGCCCACGAUUCACUCAUGGCCACCAUAUGGCCUUACCAUAGCUCAUACCUGAACAUGCAUGGCCACCCUCCUAAGUUAUUCUCAAAGCCCACCAAAUUUAAUUUUAAAGUUUCCAUUUCCAAAAUUUUCAAAAUUCCAAAUUUAAUUUUUAAGCUUCCAUUUCAAAAAUUUCCCAAAACUUCCAAAAUUCCAAAUUUAUUUUUUUAAGUUUCCAUUUCCAAAAUUCUAAAUUUAAUUUUUAAGUUCCUAUUUCCAAAAUUUUCAAAACUUCCAAAAUUCCAAAUUUAUUUUUUUAAGUUUCCAUUUCCACAAUUUCCAAAAUUCCAUUUUUUUUUAAAAAAAUUCAUUUCCAAAAUUUCCGAAAAUUUCAAAAAUUCCAAAUUUAAUUCUUAAAAUUCUAUGUCCAAAAUUUCCAAAAUUCCAAAUUUAAUUUUUUAAGUUUCCAUUUUCAAAAUUUCCAAAAUCCCAAAUUUAAAUUUUAAAAUUCCAUUUCCAAAAUUUCCAGAAUUCCAAAUUUAAUUUUAAAGUUUCUAUUUCCAAAAUUUCCCAAAAUUUCCAAAAUUUCCAAAAUUCCAUUUUUUUAAGUUCCUAUUUCCAAAAUUUCCAAAACUUCCAAAAUUCCAAAUUUAAUUUUUACAUUUUCAUUUCCAAAAUUUUCAAAACUUCCAAAAUUUCAAAUUUAAUUCUUAAAAUUCCAUUUCCAAAAUUUCAUAAAUUUCAAAUUUAAUUUUCAAAACUCCCAUUUUCCAAUUUCUUUAAAUAUAAAAAUGAAUAAGCUUUCAUAAUUUCAAAACAAUAGAAUUUAUGAGAAUUAAUUCAUAACAAAAUAAAGCGGGCUUUGGUGGGGACCAAACAUUCAUAACCUUUCUUUAAAAAAUAAUUCAAGUGAACUAUGUGAUCGAUGUUGUUUGAUUUUGAUUUGGUUUUGUGUGAGAUUUUUUUUACACUUGUCAUUGUACACUAAUCUCAUUUUCAUAGCAGCGCUUUAUUACAUGCUACCAAGGUACGCUCUCGCCCUCACUUUGUUUAUUAUUUCGUUAUCAUGACUUGUUUUUUUAACUAUGAUCCUUUAGGUAUCCAUUGAUCUCCUAGUUAAUUGUCAUGUCUGCUUCAUCUUAUUUAAUAAAGACCCAUUUUUAGGGGUUUAGAGGGGUGUUAUGGUUUUUAUUGUACCUUCUUAAUAGGUAACCUGAUCCCUGAACCCAGACUCAAUUUUUUUUUUUUUCGCAGAUAGCUUUUCCAAAAAAAAAUAAAAAAUUAGGAGUCCUUUUAGAGGUUUUGUUCUUACUUGUUUUCCCCUUUAAAAAUAAAUAAAAGUAAGUGACGACUCCAAUUUUUUAUAAAAAUCAAAUUUUCACUUAAACAAAAAGCAAGUCUCGCCAAUCGAGUGGGAAUGUAUCGAGAUAGAAAUACAGGGUCCACAGUUAUUAAAUCAUUUUAAGCUAUUAAGUUGAUUUACCAAACAUCCACUUAAUUUUAUACAUAAGAAAAAUGGAGAAUUACGUAAAUAAGUAGCAAGGAGAAUUAAUCAAAGAAAUCAUAACCCAAAAAGGUCAUUCUAAGGUAAAGUACCAUUUAACACCAAAUAAUGCCCGUUUCAUGCACUGUAACAGUGCACCCCUUUAAUGGACGAAAAUGCCCUUUGGUGAGCUAUUUAGCUUCCACUCACAACAACCAUUGGUCCGACUUGGCAGCCACGUCACUUUCUCCACAUAAACAAAGUUAAGUGCUGAAUGGAACCUAAUUAGAAGAUCCAAACAUCCUUCUUUUAAAAAACUCAACCCACAUAAACACAUCGUUUCUUUAAAACAUAAUAAAUUAAAAGAAUAAAAUAUUCCUUAAAACCCCAAGCAACCAGACGAAUCUGAUGGAGCCUUAAGCCAGAGAGAAGUUGUCAAUGGUGGCGGCCUAGUAGUGACGUGGAGACAACAACGACAAACCUUUCCCUUGCUCUUUAAAAAAACAUGUAGUUUUUUUUUUUUUAAAUAUUUUUUAUGCGGGAAGGCGAUUCGAAAUUGGAAAUCUAUGUUGAAGGUAUCUCCCUAUGUUAUAUGUGAUCGUAUUUUUUUCAUGUAGAAUCGAUUGUGGUAAACGUCUUCUUUCUUGGUUGUUUCCAGUUAUGGGAUAGGGUUAAAAAGAAAAUGUUUUUGAGAUUUUUGGGUGAGUUGGACGUCUCAUAGGUUUUAGUGAUGGCACGAUCAUGAGUAUUGUGUAGAAUUGGCGCACCAUAGUUCUGGGAUGGGGUUAGGGAGAAAAUGUUAUUGAGCUUUUAGGGUGAGUUGGAUGUCUCAUAGGUUUAGUGAUGGCAUGACCAGGAGUAUUGUGUAGAAUCGGCGUACCACAAGAAAAAUAGCACCGAGAACUUAUUUACCUCAUGUGAAAUGGGGUUGAGCAUUAAUGGGUCUCGUCUCCAUUUGUUUAUAUUUAUUUUCCAUGUGAAAUAAACAUUAAGUGAUUGUUGAAUAAAGAUGUAGAUGCGACAAAACCAAAGUUGGAAACACAAUUUACCAGCUUAAUCAAAAUUGGAGACAAAUGCAUACUAUAUUGAUUCCACCCACUAGAUUAAUCAAUGAGAGAAUUAUGUAAAUAUGUUGUAAUUGGGAAUUUUAGAUGCAAACAGAAUCCAAAAAAGACCCUUCCAUGGGUAGCACAUUUUUCCCCAAAAAAUGUCCCCAUUUCAUGUAGUGGAACUUUGCUCCACCCAUAUUUGUUGAAAAUGCCAUUGGAUUUCUUUUUUGCUGCCACCCACAUCACCCAACAAACCCAUGUGACAGCCACAACAACCUUUUCAUUGGCUAAAAUUUGAUUUCCUAACUAUCAGAUUAAAUAGUUAUUCAAACAUAACUACCCCUUUGAAUUAAAAUAAUACAAGUUAAACCAAACCUAAGUUUUAUGGUUGAUUUAAAAUAUAUUUGUUUUAACUUUGUAAAAAAAAAGAAAAACUUAGGGAAAUUUAAAUAAAUAUAUUUAUCAAUGGGAGUGUUAUUAUAAUUAAGGAGAUUGAUUGUCUACAAUUCUUUCAUAUAAAAGUAACAUUGUUUUGGCCUUAAAGUAACAAUAUAUGUUACAUGAUGCAACAAUGUACUUCAUAUUAGAUAGAAUUAAGAAUUACUCGGUUUUGUAUCCUUAUUUGAGUUGGUAAAAUGUACAUUGGUAGGGAGUUGAAUUAAGAGUUUUAAGAUAACAGAAACAAUGUUGGUUGAAUAAUGUACAAUCUUCAUGUGAGUUAGGGUAUAGAUUCACUAUGGCUUUGUUCCUAGUAUUUCCUUUUCAUGGUUAGGGAGUUAGGCAGAAGCCGACGUGAACAAUCAUAUUUAUGAAUAGUGAAGUCAAUAUUAUGAUGUAGGUUAUUCAUCUCUUUAAAAUCUGUUAGAGUUUAUUCAAGGUACCAUUUUUUUUCCCUCUAUUAUAUAAUUAAACCUCUUAAGCAACACAUGGGUUGAAUCUUGUAUAUCGUUUAUAAGUUAGUUUAACACAAUUGUUCUAACAUUGGCCCAAGGUCAUGUAACUACAUCAAUAGCAUGGCAGCUAAGGCUUGUUAUGUUGAAGGUCAAAUAAUUGUAAUUUCAUGAUAUCUCAUUUUUAAAUAUAAAUUUGUAAUAUUUGUUGAAUGAUGUAUAGUCAUGGUGUCAUUUCUGAUUUGAUAUUGACUUAGGGUACAACUGUAUAAUCAUGAUGUAACAUUGUUAUUGCUUGAAACUAAGAAUGUAAGUUGAAAUAUGUACCAAUGUCAUGUCAUUGCAAAUUCACCUUCAAUUAGGAAUUUGUUUGUUGCAAAUGUAUUGAACAAAGUACAUAUUGAUUGACAUCACAUAUCACAUAUUAUUGUAUGCUUUAUAUAAUUUUAAAUCCCCCCCAAUUACAUAGAAAACUAAAUACAUUCAAAUAUUUUCUUAGUUAAUCUUUGCUCCUAUUUUGCUGUGAAAUGUAUUUAUAUCCAUAAUAAUUUUGGGCUAAAUUGAAUUAUCGAAAAUGGUUGUUAGUUUCGAUGCAACAUUUCAUUGUAUAUAAGUAGGAUUGCAAUUUUUUGCCUUUUUAAUGUAAUUUCCAGUAUUUUCCACUUCUUUUAUGGGCAAUCAUCAUAGUAAGAUAUAUAACAUUGGGUUGUGUUAUUAUAAGGAUAUUUGCUUGCAUCUCCAUAUUAUUGUUCAACUGUUUUUUUUUUAGUAUUUGUAUGACCCUUAUUCAUUUCCCAUUUCAUUGAAUCUCAUUUGUGUUGUCAUUUAAAUUCCAUGCUAUUUUGUUCCACAUAUUGUAUUCCACAAAUUUAUCUAAAGCAUAAAUUCUCUUCAGUCUAGUCAUCUACCUAUAGACCAAUUGCAUGUAUAUGAUAAUUCAAUUCUCUAUUGUCCAUCAUGCAUGUAUGUUUUCCUUACAUAGCUACCCUUUUCAAACUAUAUCCAAAUUUAAGAGUACGACCAUGACAACCAUAAUGUAACAGUCGUUAUGGCCUAAAGUCCCACAUCUGGUAAAUUGAUGUACUUUCCAAUUGUCAGACACGUUUGGGAUUGAAUGCACUCCCAAUCCUUGAUUCUACAUGUAACAUUCUUUUGAGGUUCUCUUAUUCACCUGGUUGUUGUGACAUGCAUCACCAUCUUAUUGUGUGAUCCUUAUUGCUUCCAUCGUUCAUUCAGUUUCAUUCCUAAUGUAAAUUAAAAUCCAUGCUAUUUUUAUUGCAUAUAUAACCUUACUCAAAUAUAUCUAUACCAUAAACUCUCUUCACUCCAGACAUCCAACUAUACAACAAUUUAAUGUAUUUCAUAAUUUAAUUCUCAACAGCUUGUUAUUCAUUUAUGUCCUUACAUAGCUAACCCUUUCAGACCAUUGGCAAAUUUAAGGGUACUACCAUGAUAACGUAAAUGUAACAGUCUUUAUGGCCUAAAGUCCCAUGUUUGGUGAAAUGAUGUACAAUGCAGUUUUGAGGUAGGUUUGAGAUUGAAUACAGUUAGAGGCCUUUAUAUUACAUGUAAUAGUGUUUAUAUAAUUUCCUACCCCCAAUUACAUAGAAAACUAAUUACAUUCAAAUAUUUGUUUGGUUAAUCUUCUUUAUUGUUUUGUUGUGAAAAGUCUCUAUAUGCAUAUUUGUACAUGGCUAAACUGAAUUAUGGGAAAUUGUUUUAGUUUUGAUGCGACUUUUUAUCGUAUAUAAGCACUAUUUCCAUUUUUUGUUGUCUAAAUGUAGUUUACCUUAUUUUCCAGUUCUUUUAUUAGUAAUAAUCAUAGUAACAUAUAUGUUAAGUUACAAUAUAGGCCAAACUUUGCAACCAAAUUAUUUUGCUUAUUUCAUUAAUUUAUUGUGAUUAUCUAUGCUUUAUAUAGUCUAACAACAACUACCAUUAUCUUUGUUCCAAUGUGUUUUAGAUGCCAAUCAGAUCAUGAUGUUCUAGCCAUCGAUUUCUCAAUGGAGUCGAACAUCUUUCUGAUAGACAAAAAAAAAUUAUAAGGGAGUUGGGAUUCAGUGGCCUCCUCUAGUUAGGCUGUACCCAACUUCAUAUGUCGCUAUGUAUAUGGCUUUUAAAUAAGAUAAAUAUGGCAUACAACCACAUUGAUCUGGAUAGAGGAGUUGUAGUUCCAAUGAUUGCCAGUGAUGUGGGACUAGUUUUUGGACUUCCCCACACUAGAAGGACAUUAAGCUUCCCAAGGGGCAAAAACAAUUAUGAAAGGGUCCUUUCCAUUAAUGAGAUUCAAGUGCAGAUGGCCAAAAGUGAGAAUGGGGAUGACUUCAAGUGACUUUUUAUCAUAUUUGUUUGUGCCACUAUCUUGGCACCGACGACCCAAUUGGAAGGCCACCAUGAUGUCACAAGCUGAUUCAAAUGAGCCUUCCCAUGGGCUUAUAUAGAGCCAGGAAGCUUCUGGAGACUCCUAGAGUGGGAAGAGUGUGGAAGGUUCUAGAGAAGCCUGGAGGAAUCCACACAAUUCUACACUAUGGUGGAAGACAGAGGAGUCCGGGCUUUUUAGAGAAUUCUAAAAGUCUCUUGUAUAUCCUUGUACAUAGGCUUGUACCUAGAAUGAUGUAGGACAUUCUAGAAUAGUCUUGAGUUGUAAGGAACCCUCCAAGGUUCUAGAGAGUUCCAUUGGUGCCUAUAAAUAGGUGAGGGCCUCAUUUGGCCAAGGCACCAAGCAAGUGAGCUUCCAAGCACUUGUAAAGGUUUCCUUGAGUUAGUGAAAGCUUCCAUUCUUUAAAGAGUUGGCUACUAAGCUUCUUAAGCUUUUGAGUCGCGAGUGUCUUAGCCGAGCAAGCUAAGCAUUGGGGGAGCAAGGCUGACUUAGCAAGAUCAAGCAUCUUGACUUGCCUAAGUGACGCACGAGCUUAGUGAAUGACUAAGUUCGUGACAAUGAGCUCUAGCAUGCACUAGUUGAACCCAUCUCUAGCCAUGUUAAUUGGGGUUAGUUUCUCUUAGACCAUUUCAUUGAUGGAGUUAAUGACUUCAGGCAACAUGUUGGGUCCUAUGUAAGGGGAUGCCUGCUCUUCUUGUAGGUUAGUAUCUCUUAUCGCUACAUAAUUGUGAGCAAUUUUGCUUUUCUUAAUGAGGUGAUGUCUAUUCGCCAAUUCAUGAUUACAAAUUGUGAUUUGUCCAUAGGUAUUUUACGUUUCUUAUUUGCACUUUCUGUCCAUGACGAUACCAAAUUCUUUGCUAUGCUGUGCACAUUAGAUAGAUGUUCUCAUGAGAAAAUGCAUAAAACUAGAGAUUCAAAUGCUUGGAGCUUUAGGUCGUGUUUAGGUGUUUGAAUGAGUUAAUUAGCACCCCAUUUUAUAACUUAAGCAACAAUAUUUUGGUUGCAUAUUUCUCCUAUUCACACAAAGGAUUUUUUUGGGACCCUUCUGCAGUUCCAUCGUGCUUUGCUUAAUGCAGCUGUUGAAAAUAAUGGUUUGAAGAAUGACAACAAUGCUACAACGGAGAUGAGUCUUGGGAAUGAGUUUAUUCAGGUUAUAUGAUGACACAAUUUAAUAUGUGAUUUAAUUAGUUUACAAAUUAUUUUACGUAUGCCCUUAAUUAUGUUCCCUACAAUAUUUAAGGGACUGUAUAACAUCUUAUUCAUUCAAACUAUUGUUGCUCGCAUGGAGGCAACUAGUCAUCAAUUAGAAGCAACACAUACCUAAAUGAACAAUUUGAUAGCAACAUAUGGCCGCGACCUUAUUGCUCUAAAAAACUUGCAACCUAGUCCCUCAAUUCCUAUAGAUUAAUAUUUCUAGCCCUUCAAAAACAUGACCAAUGCAGCAAAACUAGUAGUUGAAAGGCUUGUCGAUGAAACAUCAAUUCAAGGGGAUGAUGAUGGUGGACCAUCAAACUGUGUAUUUCCAAGGGAACAAAAUGAUUUUGACACCCCCCCAAGUUCCAAACCUCAUACAUCCUCACUCUAAUGAAGAAGAAAGGAUGGACAAUGAAGAUGGACUUGUUCAAAGACUGCCAUCAAAUAUGGGAAUUCGACGUACUAGGCAACGAGUAGCAUCCUGCAAGUCGCCAUUUGUGCUUGAGUGUGCAACGAAAUACACCCUCAACCAAGAUGACAUUACAAUUGUAGACUAUGUCUUCGAUGAUACAAGAAUACAAGAGAUCCAAUGUGAGAAUGGAUACUGCCUUACUUCAAUUUUCACUACAUUUAUAGUGUUUCUGUAGACCCUCCAUUUUGUCCCUUUAGUACAUGUUUUUAAAUUCACUUCCAAUGCUCCAUAGUAGUUCCUUGGUGGCCCAUUACUACUCACACUACUUAUUUUUUUUGAGCCACCUCGGAGACUCUGGUUGAAGGAUUUAUCUAUCCCCAUUGUGAUUCUUGGUGGCCUUAAUUUAGACUUAAGUUUUUUCCUUCCUUUUUAGGAUAGCUUUUAGGUGCACUUUUAGGUUUACUUAGGCCCAUCAAGGGACACCUAGCCCACUUAGGUCCACCUUGACCCACUUAAAUUCACCUAGGCUCAUUUAGGCACAUCUAGACCCACUUUGGUUCAUCAGGUCCACUUAGGCAUCCUGACCCACCUAUGUUAUCUUUUAGGUAAUUCCCACAUGACUUGCAUAAUUUGCAUUUUUAAUGCUUGCAUGUACUUGAUUUCUUAUUCAUUUAUUUAUCUAUUUAUUUUAUUUAUUUAUUAUCAUUUGGUUAGUUAUUUUUUUUAUUUUUUUAUUUUAUAGAAUAUUGCAUGAGAUUGACGAUUAAUUGUGUAAACCGAUGUCUUAAUUAUUUUUGUGUACCUAUGAUAGACAUAAUGUUUUUAAUUGCAUAAUUUUAAAUUAGUUUUAAUUUUCAAUUUCAUGUCCUUUACUAAUUUUAAUCCUUAUUUUAUUUUGGCAUGAGAUUCAAAUGCACACAUUGGAGAAGAUCCUCGAUGUAAUGUACACGACUGCAUAUAUGUGGGGAUAUUCUAUGCAACAUGGAAAUGAGAUUUAUAUUGUUAAAGAAAGGAAAGCAGAUCACGACUGAAUGGAUGAUGGAAAGGAGAUUUAUAGUGUUAAAGAAAGGAAAGUAGAUCACGGCUGAAUGAAGGAUGGAAAGAAGAUUUUUUUAUUUUUCUAAAAAAGGAGGUUGAGCAUGUAUUUGGAAAGGGAGCAAAAAUAGAGAAAGAAGAGAACACAAGAAAAGGACAAAAAGAAGAAAAAACCGCAGGACCCAAAAAGGAGAUAGGUGUGAGAGGAGGACGCGCGAGAGGUCUCUCAUUAUCUACCAAGAGCUCGUCAUUUAAAGCAGCACGACACCUCUGUAUUAGAGGAUCCCCUUAUAUUUUAUUCUGCCAUUCUCCUAUGAAUCGAUCGACUAGUUUUUUGAUCGUUGUGGUGUUGCCCAGUCAAUACCUCAUAACUUCUCUUCAUAAUACGACAAAGGGGCUAUAGUUUUUUUUUUAGGCAGACUUAUACUCUUACUUUGUUUCCUGGCCAUUCUGCACAGCACUUGGGCUUCCACUCUAGAGGCCACACCUCGUCUCACCGUCAACCCAACAUCAAAGCUUAGUAGCAGAGUUAGUUCAAGAGGCUGCUGUGUAUUUGAGCGCCACCAAUAAGACAACAGUUGAUCCAUCAUGUCGCAUAAGGCACUAAACCACGAGACACUUAAUGAAAACGUGAAGAAGGUUCAAUAUGCUGUUAGGGGCGAGUUGCAUCUCCGUGUUUCUAAGCUUCAGAGGAAAAGGGCACUUGGAGAACGAACUAACAUAGAGGGGUAAAGAAAAAGUUGAAAUAUUUUGCUUCUUUAAUUGUUGAUCUUCCACCCUGUCCUUCCCUCUGUAAAGAGCAAACAAAAGCUUGUAAAGAAAUAUUCUUCACGUAAAAGGAUGAAGUUGGCCUACUCCGCCUCUCUCAAUAUUUAAACCUUCUAGAUUGAUGUCUUUGUGCUUUGGUAAGGUGUUAUCCUCUGUGAUCUGACACUGGAGCAAUGAGGACGGAAGUCGGAAAGAAUCUAAAGUCAUCUUGGCCGAAACUGGUUAUGAAAAAAAUGGCUAAACAUAAAGAGCGGCGCCGACGAAUUUCAUUCCGAUUAUACCGUUAAGGCCAUCAUGAAUCAAAAGGGCGUGUUGUUUCUCCCUCUUCUCCUUCGUAAAAAAAAACAUAGUUUCAUGGUCUUUAGUUUUUGUGGGAUUUUCCAUAAUCGAACCUCGAAUAGAUCAUCACCUGUUGGGAUCACAAGAGCAUCAUCACAUAGCCAUCAUGGUAGGUAACAUCAGCACCAUCAUUGAAAGCAGGUGCAUCAGUAGGAGAUACAAUUUCAAGCGGGCUUUUCCUUCCUGGCUUAUUGAUCCCAGGAGGAUCCUCUUCUUCUUUGCCACCUUGUCAAACAUGGGGACCACGCACUAACAACCACACACCACUUCGGGAAGUCUCCACAGCCGCAUGAAGGAGUCCACGAACAAUUCUGAAUUUCUAAGAACACGCGCACAGGUCAGAUCGGGAGAGCUGCACACACAACAGGUCGGAGACAUUUAGAAUCAGAUUUUUGAGGUGGGGGGUUGGAACUCAGCUGCACUAUUCUGGGAAGGAGGGGAGAUCUCCAUCGAAGCGGGCAGGAAUUUCAUCCCCUUUACGCGUGUUGACGGCUUGAUUUAAUGAAGAAGAUUCUAUACACAUUCAGCCGUGUUGAUGCCUUGGUUAAAUGGAAAGACUUUCAUUCACUUUCAGCCGUGUUAACACUUUGAUUCUGAUGGAAAAUGGACAACCACUUUGUGAAUAUCAAUUACUUGCUUCCAAUCAGGUUUCAAUGGCCUUGCAUAUAAAAUCUCCAUGGAUGACUUUUAUAACGGCUUAAUGGAGAUAAUGGCCUUGAAUUUAUAAAUCUCCAUGAAUGAAUUUUAUAAUAGCUUAAUGGAGAUAAUGGCCUUGAAUUGAUAAAUUCCAUGGAUAAAUUUUAAAAUAGCUUAAUGGAAAUAAUGGCCUUGAAUUUAUAAAUCUCCAUGGAUGAAUCACGGAAUACAUGGUUGCAUAUGGAAAAUUCCUUUGAAGGUAGUUUCAUGCAAAAGGUGAAUUCUUGAAAACUGAAUUUUGUGGUGGACACACGAGAAUUGUGGCUGUGAAUGGAAGCUUUUUCAUGGCUGAAAAAUUCACAAUGAAAUGUGUUGGAAAUUUGGUGAAGGACCAUUGAUAAGUGAGCUGAAAAUUAUGGCAGAAUAGUGGGAAAUUAUGACUCCAUGUUGUUAGUGGAGUGAUUGAAUUUUCUGUUAAAUAUAUGUGCAUUUGACGAGGGUCUUCAACGGCUGAAAAUUGAUGAAGAAGUAAGAGAGAGGACAGACACACGGGGUGGGGGGUGGGAUUUUUUGGGCUGCCAUUUUGACACAUCAAAAGAGUAUUUUUCCUACACAAUACAGGUUAGUUUUCAGUUUUCGAUACAGUAUUUCUUUUUUUAGUUUGGGUUUUUAGUUUAUUGGUUUAAUUAAUUGUUUGUGAUAAAUUCUUUUAAAUCUCAAUUUGUACAAUCUUUUAUUUUUCUUAGAUUAAAUGUCUCUCUUUUAUGAUUGCAAUUCAUUAGUUCUAUGCUAGUUUAUUUUAAUCUAUAUGAAAGUUUAAAUAAAGUUUGUGUUUUUAAUUCUAGUUAGUUCAAUUUUAAUUUGUUUUUAGUUUAAAUGCAUUUGUCCAUCUUAAUUUAUUAGUUAAAAAAAAUUGAGAGAUAAAGUUUAUUUUUUUAAUUCCGGAUUAAUUUAGUUUUAGUUUAUAAUUUAAUUUGAAUGUGUUAAUGAUGUUAAUUCCUUAGUUUAAAUAAUUUGAGAGAUAAAGUUUAUUUAUUUUUAAUUCUGGAUUAAUUUAGUUUUAGCUUAUGAUUUAAUUUGAAUGUGUUGGUGAUCAUAAUUAGUUGGAUUUUAAUUCGUUUUUAGUUUAAAUAAUCAUGGUAGAUAAAGUUUGUGUUUUUUUUUUAAUUCCAAUUACUUUAAUUUUAAUUCGUUUUUAGUUUAAAUGCAUUCGUUGAUAUUAAUUUAUUAGUUUAAUUGAUCCUAUGCGAUUGAAUUCAUGUUUUUAAAUAUUAAUCUUAUUUUUUAUUCGUCUUUUUAGUACAUGAGUUUUUAGGACUUGAGUUGUUUAAGUUGAUUGGUUCCAUGCCAUUUUCAUAUUCUGAACUUAUUAAUUUUAUUUCUUGGUUGAUCCACUUUUAGUUUGUAUGUUUUUCAAAGCUUUAAAUAACUUGUUUAAUUGAUCUUAAGUUGUAUUAUUUCUAUCUUAAAUAUAUAAAUUUUCAUUCUUGGAUUGAUCAUAAUUUAGUUCAUAUGUUUCUCUAAAAUUUUAGUUAAUUAGCUUAAUUAUUCUUCUGUGUUCGAUUCCCCAUUUUUAAUUCUUGAUUAAUAUCUUCUAAUUUUAUUUGAUCUAAAGUCAUUUAGUUUAUUGCUUUGAUAGUUUUUUGUUUUUUUUUGAAGUUUAAUUUUUAGAGGUCAUUGAAAAAUCAUAAAGAUUGACCUCUAUCCUCACCUUUAUUAGUCUUGUUGAUUACUGAGAAAAUUUUACUUUGUGAUUUUGUUUUAUUUUGGGUUGCCUAUAUUUGAUCUUUGUGAAUUGUUUGUUUGUGAAUAAUGUCUUUCCUUUUAAAAUAAAAUACUUUUCUCAAAAUGUUCCUUAUAAAAACCUAUUUUAAAAAUUCAUUUAGAGUCCUUAGAAUAAAAAACCCUAUUUUCUUAAAAUAAUAUACAACCAUUUUUUUAUCAGUUUGCAUCUUUCUUGGUUUUUAACGAAAAUUUUGGUUUUAAAUCAGACACGAAUCAAAGCUUGUGGUCCCACAUAAAUGGGAUAAUUCUGGGCUAAAUUCGUGUAUAUCAAUUGGGGAAUUGGUGAAACCAUUACAUAAAAAUAUCUUUUCAAAACUUAUUUUUGCUACCACCUUUGUUGGUUAUUACAAUCAUAUCUAUUUUUUUAGGAAUUAUAUACAAGACGUAUAUGAUAAUUGAUGAAUUAGUAUACUCUAAUAAUUUUUGCUAUGCUAAUUAGAUAACAAGCAUACUAGGAUUUAUCUUAUUAUUUAUUAUCUAACCCCUUAUUUCUUGUGAAAGCACAUUACGAGUUACCCAUUCUAUUCAGGUAUGCUUCUUACCUUCGUAUCUUAAUUCCAUAAAUUAUGUAUUGCUUUAUAUAUGAUCGUUAUGUAUUGCUUCGUUUGGGAUUCUCAACCUGUUCAACAUAUCUUUUUGAUUGUUUGUUUAGCUUGCCAUGUUUGAUUAUGAGACUAGGAUAAAAUAUAUGUUGUGUGUUUUAUUUUCCAAACUAAUCAUUGAUGUCUUUUGAUGGCACUUAAGAAGCAGUCCAGGUAUGCAUCCUAACUCUCCUUUAUUGUAAUUUGAUCCUAUUUGGCAUGUUAUUUUUUGAAAUCACCUUAGUCUAUCUAGGUAUCCUCAAUUAAUCAAUUAAUUGCCAUAUUUCCCCCAAUUUAGUCAAUAGAGACCUCUUUAGGGCUUAGAAGGGUGCUACUUCCUAGAGGUGCUUUCCCAAUAAGUAACCUGAUCCUUGGACCUAGACUUAGGUUUUUCAAAGACACAUUUUUCCAAAAAUUAUGGAGUCAUUUUUUUAGGGUUUUAUUUCUUGUUUUAUUUUCCCUUUAAAAUAAAAAUAAAAUAAGUGGCGACUCCGACUUUUCUUUCUAAAAAUUAAUUUUUCACAAAUAAAAAACGAAUCUCGCCAAUCGAGUGGGGACGCACAUGAAAAAUGUGGGUCCAUAGUUGUGGACCCCGCGUUUUUAAAUGAUGCGUUCCCACUUGAUCGGCGAGACUCGCUUUUCGUUUAUUUGGGUGAAAAAUAUGAUUUUUAGAAAAGACUUGGAGUCGCCACUUACUUUUAUUUAUUUUUAAAGGGGAAAACAAGUAAGAAUAAAACCCCUAAAUGGACUCCUGAUUUUUUUGGAAAAGCUGUCUACGAAAAACCUGAGUCUGGGUUUGGGGAUCAGGUUACUUAUUGGGAAGGUACGGUAAAGACCGUAGCACCCCUCUAAGCCCCUAGAAACGGGUCUCUACUAAUAAAAUGAAGCUGACAUGACAAUUGAUGAGGAAAUCAAUGAAUACCCGGAACUAUCAUGCACAUAUGAGAAUCAAAGCAUGCAUAUAGAAAUACCAGAAUGGGAAUAGAUAUGUACCUGGGUGAUGAGCCACAAUAAGCUUAUCGAAAAGUGAGGUUAAUGCACAAUUAAAAAAUAAUUUCGAGUAUGGAUACCAAAUAAAUAUCACUCAAAACAAAAAUAACUGAAUGAAUAGGAUGAGAUAAAGAAUGUACCUGAGUGAUGAACUGAUUUACUUCAACGAAAACAAAUGUUAGCAAUUAGACACAGGAUAAUCGUGUGUGUAUCAUAGAAUAGUGUAAAUCAAUCACAUAUAGCAAUCAAAUCAAUCAAUUAUAAAACACAUAUGUGGGGCCCCCACCAAAGCCCGUUAACUAUUGGGUGAAUCAAUUUCGCGAAUUCUAUCACUAAGAAUUAUGAAAAUAAGUUCACACUUAUUUUAAAACAUUUUAAAAUCAUGGAAGUUGUUAAAGUUACAUGCCGAGAAGAAAAUGGCGGCAAAAUUUAUUAAAAAUGAGAUCUUGGGAACCUCAAGAAAAUGCUCUAAGGAUGGAGGAAAAAAGUGGAAUGUAGGCCGGACAGAAUUCCGGAUGUGAGAUAUCCGGAGAAGGUGGAACAUUGGCCGGGACAAAAUUCCGGAUGUGAGAUAUCCAGGUGGAAUGUCGGCGGAGAAGAAUUCUGGAUGUGAGACAUCCGGGUGGAAUGUCGGCAAAGAAGAAUUCCGGAUGUGAGACAUCCGGAUAAGGUGGAACGUCGGCUGGGACAGAAUUUCGGAUGUGAGAUAUCCGGGUGGAAUGUCGGCAGAGAAGAAUUCCGGAUGUGAGAUACCUGGGUGGAAUGUCGGCGGAGAAGAAUUCCGAAUGUGAGACAUCCGGAGAAGGUGGAACGUUGGCCGAGAUAGAAUUCCGGAUGUGAGAUAUCCGGGUGGAAUGUCGACGGAGAUUUCCGUUUGGGUGGAAUGAGCUAUGCCACGCGUCGCAAGGGGGAGAGAGCCACAUGACAUUUUUUUUAGGGAGGAUCCCACUGGUAGGUGAAAGUUUAGAGAGAGAAACAGGUUUGGUGGGUUGUAUGGAUAUGGAGGUUUAGGUGAGUGGUUUUAAUGGGUAUGCGAGGGAGUGAAGGGUAGCAUGCACCCGUGAGACUCCUUGUAAGUGAGGGAGCCUUGAGUAUGCGCUCAGGGAGGAAAAGAAAACAAUGAGAUAACAGGAUAGCAACAAGAAGAAGAACAUGAAGACUUUAGCCAGUAUAUCGGACCCAUUUCAUCAUUUCAUCCAUGGGUCCAACAUCUAGUGAGUUAAGAUGGAAAAUACUCAUCAGAAUAGGGCAUAAAACACAGCAAGCUCUUCCAAUAUUUAAUCAGUAAUCACCAAAAUAGAACUACCCAAUAGGCAGAAAUGACAAAUCACUGAUAAUCAGACCUGGAUAGUAUGAAAAAAAUGGAAGAUAUACAAAAAAAAAAACAAAUGGUCAUACCUGGAAAUCUCCCUUCUUAGCUCCGUGUCCUGGACUCUUCCCAGCAACUCUACGCUCCUCUGUUCCUAGCUUCCUCUUCCAGUUCAACCCUCCAUACUCUUUUCCUAAAAAAACCUCAGAAAAACUCCUCUCUUUCUCCCCAAUGCUGUCUCUGGAUAUCCUCUUUCCUUUCUCUCCAAUCUCUCCACUCCUCUCAGACUUCUUUCUAACUCCUCUCAAAAUCCUCUCAAACUCUCCUUUUUCUCCAAUCUCCCCACUCCUCUCAGACUUCUCUUAAAACUCUCUCAGACUUCUCUUCAAACUCCUCUUUUUUUUUUUUUUUUUAAAUCUAAAUGCUUUUGUUCAAAAACCCCUUCCUCUCCAUUUCCAAACUUCACCCUUAAGACUUCCCUUACAACUUCCCAUGUAGCUCCAAUUUCCCACAGCCUCUUCAGGAAAAACUCCCCCACUUUUCCUUUCUCUCUAAGAAAUCCUUCUCCUACUCUUCCUUUCUUUGUUUUAUAUAAUAAAAACAAAGUAAAUAAAGCAAUAAAAAAAAAGCAUAAUACAAUAAAAAAAUGAAAAUAAAAUAACACAGUAAAAGCAUAAUAUAAAUAAAUAAUAAUGGUACUGAGAAUAACAAAGCUAACGAUUGUAAAGUAUCAAACGAACACGUAAUAGAACAUGUGCUAAUGGGACAAAAUAGAGGGUCUACAAAUAUGUCCCUCUUCGGUAGAGAUCAUGAGUGUAAGGAAUAUGAGGGGAAACACGAGUAAUGAGUGGAACAAAAUGAACUAUACCGAAGAACUAAGAAAGACCAGAAAUUUUGUCUUAGCACAUGAUGCAAUAAAUCCCAAGAUAAACCAUAUGCAAGGAAAGAAAUACCCUGAAUAAGAGGUUUAUAGAAAAUGGUGGCUCUGUACGCCUACGAAAGUGAUGGCUCUGAACGCCUAUGAAAGUGAUGGCUUUGAACGCCUAUGAAAGUGAUGGCUCUGAACGUCUAUGAAAAUGGUGGCUCUGAACGCCUAUGAAAGUGAUGGCUCUGAACGCCUAUGAAAAUGGUGGUGGCUCUGAACACCUAUGAAAGUGGUGGCUCUGAACGCCUAUGAAAAUGUUGGCUCUGAACGCCUAUGAAAGUGGUGGUUCUGAACGCCUAUGAAAGUGGUGGCUCUGAACGCCUAUGAAAAUGGUGGCUCUGAACGCUUAUGAAAGUGGUGGCUCUGAACGCUUAUGAAAAUGAUGGCUCUGAACGCCUAUGAAAAUGGUGGUGGUUCUGAACGCCUAUGAAAGUGGUGGCUCUGAAUGCCUAUGAAAGUGGUGGCUCUGAACGCCUAUGAAAGUGGUGGCUCUGAAUGCCUAUGUAAAUAAUGGUGGCUCUGAAUGCCGAUGAAAGUGGUGGCUCUGAACGCCUAUGUAAGUGAUGGCUCUGAACGCCUAUGAAAAUGGUGGCUCUGAACGCCUAUGAAAAUGGUGGCUCUGAACGCCUAUGUAAAUAAUGGUGGCUCUGAAUGUCUAUGAAAGUGGUGGCUCUGAACGCCUAUGUAAGUGAUGGCUCUGAACGCCUAUGAAAAUGGUGGCUCUGAACGCCUAUGAAAAUGGUGGCUCUGAACGCCUAUGAAAGUGGUGGCUCUGAACGCCUAUGAAAGUGGUGGCUCUGAAAGCUUAUGAAAGUGGUGGCUCUGAACGUCUAUGAAAAUGGUGGUGGCUCUGAACGCCUAUGUAAAUGGUGGCUCUGAACGCCUAUGUAAAUGGUGGCUCUGAACGCCUAUGAAAGUGGUGGCUCUGAACGCCUAUGAAAAUGGUGGUGGCUCUGAACACCUAUGUAAAUGGUGGUGGCUCUAAACGCAUACGAAAAUGGUGGUGGCUCUGAACGCCUAUGAAAAUGGUGGUGGCUCUGAACGCCUAUGUAAAUGGUGGCUUUGAACGCCUAUGAAAGUGGUGGCUCUGAACGCCUAUGUAAAUGGUGGCUCUGAACGCCUAUGCAAGUGGUGGCUCUUAACGCCUAUGAAAAUGGUGGUGGCUCUGAAUGCCUAUGAAAAUGGUGGUGGCUCUGAACGCCUAUGAAAAUGGUGGUGGCUCUGAACACCUAUGAAAAUGGUGGCUCUGAACAUCUAUGAAAGUGGUGGCUUUGAACGCCUAUGUAAAUGGUGGUGGCUUUGAACGCCUAUGAAAAUGGUGGCUCUGAACGCCUAUGAAAGUGGUGGCUCUGAACGCCUAUGCAAGUGGUGGCUCUGAACGCCUAUGGAAAUGGUGGUGGCUCUGAACGCCUAUGAAAAUGGUGGUUGCUCUGAACGACUAUGUAAAUGGUGGCUCUGAACGCCUAUGAAAAUGGUGGCUCUUAAUGCCUAUGAAAGUGGUGGCUCUGAACGCCUAUGUAAAUGGUGGCUCUGAACGCCUAUGAAAGUGGUGGCUCUAAACGCCUAUGAAAGUGGUGGCUCUGAACGCCUAUGAAAAUGGUGAAGAAAAUUGGAUAACUUCUACACAAGGGAUAUGCCCCAGUAUCACAGUUGCAUCAAGCUGCUAAAAUGUCCAAUGAAACAAGCCGCUGCAAAUAUUACAAUGAGAAAAAAGCAACACCUCAUGACAAAGGUCUCGAGAAGUAUAAACAUAAAUUUCUUCAUAUUUCAAAUAAAUUCCUUGUCAACUGAUCUCGAAGAUAAAGCUCAACAAAUGCACAUCAUAAUUUGACAAAAGAAUGACUAUGGCGAAAACAAAUCAUCUCAUAAACUCUUGACAAAGGAGUCCAUGAUACUUUCUGGGUGAAAUCUGAUGGGGUCCAUCUCAGUCUCAAGCAAUGUCAUAUGUAGCAAAUCACAAUAUCACAAAUUAUAAAACUGAAGAAUGUGCUCAUAUAAGGAGAUGAAUUGGCUACGAAAGCAAAAACUGAUCAUAGAGACAUCAAUUCCCCGUGUAGAAUAGAGAAUCAUAAAUACAAGGCACAAAGCCAUUCGUCUCAACAAAGUGAGAAAUAUGCUCCAGUGUGACAGAUGAUCCUCACGUGAAGUAAGUAAUUAAUACAAACCAUCCGCCCAUGCAUUACUACUCCAAUCAGUUUACCUCAACAAGAGAGGGAUAUGCCCUAGUAUGACAUCUGAUGAUCAAGUCUCAAGAUAACCGAACAACAUUGAUUAUCCCCUUUAUGCACCCAACAUUCAAACAAAUCUUAGCAUCCCAAGAGAAAAAUAAAACGCUCAUAUGUUGAUAACCCAAGGUACUAGGCCAAGGUGUACCAGAGUAGAUGCGUAGCGUAUGACAAAGGUCUAUCAUUACCAGUCAAGCAUAUAUACAAAUCAUGGAUGUGGGAGUCGUACAAACCAAUCACAACUAGGAAAAUCCCAUGAUGAGGGUAAUAUGCCCCAGUAUAGGCAUCUGGUGUGUCAAAGAAAUGGGACUGAUAUCGCCAGUUAAAUACUAUCUUCAUACUCAGGUUCUGCCAAACAUCAUCAGACUAAGCAUAAGAGGAACCAAAUGUCACUCGAAGCAUCUUCCAUAAGGGAAAGCAUAGCAACACCCAUAUUUCAACCAAUUGUUAAGACCUGCCCAACUGGAGACUGUCAAAGAUAACGUUUAAUCUCAUGGCCUCAAGGUGGUCUUACGACACGGACCGUAAUGUAGGCUUAUGGUAAUAAGGUAAAAGAAAUGAAAGGAAACUAGGCUCAAGUAUCCAAUGAUCAAACCCAAUACCCUCAUGUGUAAGAUGUGAUGUGUAGGGUAAUCUCGUGAGCCAACUAACUCGAUAACAAACAAUGGAAGUGUUAAUGACGAACUAUAAGAGAAAAUGAAGUGGUCAGGUCUUCAAUGUGAUAUGUAAUGGAUAUGAAGAGGCUAAUAAAUCAAAGACAUGUAUCAAUGUAAGAAAGGAAUAAAUAUGGAAUAAUCAACAUGAAAAGUGAUGAUCGAAAAUGAAUGAGAGAAGCGAGAAGGUACAGAGGAUGAGGACCAACUCAUAUUAGUGCAACCAAGGAAAAUCAUACCACUAAAGAUGGAAUGGUAGUGAAGACAGUGAUCCAGAAAUCCAAGUGAUAGGUUACCCAAUCCUCACACCCAAUGUAUACCAAUCUUGAUCCAUGAAGCGAAGGAUCUCACAAAACUCUCACCAAACUAUUGUUACUCAGAAAACAUGAGUAACGCAAAGAACAGGAUGCUCUCGAAAAGGCUCACAUAUGAGCUCCAUGAUAGAUAACUCAAUGAAUAACCCUCAAACAUCAAUGAGUGCCUAGUGGAAUAUGCUACCAUAAACAAACUUAUUGUUUUUUUUUUUUUUGCUUUUUGUGAACACUAGUAUCAAUAAACUGAAACCCCACUGAGCAAAGAAUAGAAAUGAAUAAACUCUCUCCAAUCCCCAAUGAAAAUAUGAAUCAUACACAAACCCUCAAAAAUAUGUUGACUCCAAUCAUUGACUUGUAUAUAAAGCCCCCACCCUAAGGUCACCUCUCAAGCUAAGGUAUCCAGAUCAAAGUCAACAAAUGGAAUGAAGGGUGUGACAUGACUACCUUGAUGCACCAAAAAAUGUGAAAAGUCAUCAACUAGAGAAAAUAAGGAGAAUGAGAUGAAGUAAGGAAAGACAAAACACGAAAGUAGAUGGAAAAUGAACAAUAAUGAAACAUGAUAGAAGUAGAAUAGUAAAGGAUGAUGACAAGAAAAAAUGAAAAUAGAUCAAAGAGUUGAAACUCACGAGACUAUCCAAGUAAAACAUUUAUACACAACCAAGGGCCCCUACCUAGGUGAUGAAAGGUAAGCAGAGCUAUAAAAAUGAAAGGCUUUAAUGUACUUGUGGGGCUCAAGGGGCUAGCAACGGGAUGUAUGUGAAAUGGGUGCGAUAAGGUAUAAGGCUAAUCGAAAUGAUGGCCACCCAUCCUUUGACCAUGAUCUUAAACGUAAUACUUCUUCAGUUGAUCCAUAUUGGUUGGCUCCAAAAAUUGGUUUCCAUCUAGGUCAGUCAACCAUGCAGCCCCUUCUGGAGUCAGCUCUUGAAUUACAUAAGGUCCACUCCAAUUAGGUUUGAACUUCCCCCUAGGGUCUCCAAUCAAACCUCUGAGCAUCCUCAAAACCAAAUCCCCCUUAUGUAAUGGUCUAGGCUUGACCCUUUUCCUGAAGGCACGAACCAUCUUUCUCUAAUAGGCCUGAACAUGAUCCGCUGCUCUCAAUCUCCUCUGUCUCUGAAAUCGAGCCUGGGCCCACUCUGUCUCUGAAAUCUGCUGCUCGAGAGCCACUCUUAAAGAACCCAUCUCCGUCUUGAUUGGCAAAACAACCUCCAUACCAUACACCAAGGAGUAAGGUGUAGCUUCUGUAGGAGUGCGAAAAGAAGUACGAUAUGCCCAUAAGGCAAAAUGAAGUUUUUCUGACCAAUCCCGAGAAGUCUCGACCAUCUUUCUCAGAAUUCUCUUAAUGUUCUUAUUUGUAGCCUCUACAGCUCCAUUAGUUUGUGGCAUGUAUGCAGACGAUCUGUGGUGUUGGAUGCCAUACUUCUGUAACAAAGUUUCAACUUCAGCUCUAAAGUGUGCACCCCUAUCUGAAAUCAACUCAUGUGGAACUCCGUAGCGACAAAUGAUAUGUGACCUGAUGAAACUGUCAACUCUAGUAGAUGUCAACUUUGCAUAUGAUGCAGCUUCCACCCACUUGGUAAAAUAAUCAAUGGCUACUAAGAUGAACUCAUGGCCAUUGGAAGAUUUCGGCGAGAUCUUUCCUAUGAUAUCAAUACCCCAUACUGAGAAUGGCCAUGGUGAUGUCAAAGCAUGUAACUCUGAGGGUGGCACAUGAAUAAGAUCUCCAUGCCUUUGACACUCUGGGCAUCUCCGAACAAACUGGCAACAAUCUGUCUCCAUGGUCAACCAGAAAUAGCCAGCCCUCAUGAUCUUACGGGUUAACAUGUGUCCACCCAUAUGAGGACCACAAACUCCUGCAUGAACCUCUCUCAUCACUCGAUCUGCAGAGGCUCGAUCCAAACAUAAUAGUAAUAUCCCAUCAACUGAUCGUCUGUAUAAGGUCUCUUCACAUAUCACAAAUCUAGUGGCUAACUGCCUCAAUGCUCUCCGAUCCUUGACUGUCGCAGCUUUAGGGUAUGUGCCAUAUCUAAGAAAUUGACGAAUGUCAUGAAACCAUGGUAGGUCAUCUUGGACCUCUGUCUCAUCAAUCAAAUGACAAUAUGCGGGUGCAGAUCUAGUCUCAAUCAGCAAAGGACGAACUACCACAUUAGUUGGAAUAUCAACUAUAGAAGCUAGGGUAGCCAAAGCAUCAGCAAACUGAUUAUGUGCUCUAGGGAGAUGAAUGUAUUUCAACUCUUCAAAUUUCUCAAUCAAUAACUCCAAAUAGGCAUGGUAUGGCUUCAACUUCGCGUCUCUAGUCUUCUAGUCACCCCGAACCUGUCUGAGCACUAGAUUGGAAUCACCAAGUACAUCCAUCUGUUUGAUGCCAAGCUCUAAUGCAGUCUCUAAACCGAGGAUACAUGCCUCGUACUCAACAAUAUUAUUUGUAGUGGGAUGGUAAUCAGGAAAUGUUAAACGAACAGAUCUCGGGAUGUGAUCACCUUGGGGAGAUACCAACAAAACACCUAUCCCAUACCCUGGAUGAUUAGCUGCUCCAUCGAAGUACAUGCGCCAUCCUGAUAACCUAGUCAUAACGACAAAUUCCUCAUCUGGAAAAUCAUCAUCAAUUGACCUACUCUCGAUUGUUGGAGUCGCCAAUUUGUGGACCCCGUAUUUUUAAAUGAUGCGUUCCCACUCGAUCGGCGAGACUCACUUUUCGUUUAUUUGGGUGAAAAAUAUGAUUUUUAGAAAAGACUUGGAGUCGCCACUUACUUUUAUUUAUUUUUAAAGGAGAAAACAAGUGAGAAUAAAACCCCUAAAUGGACUCCUGAUUUUUUUGGAAAAGCUGUCUGCGAAAAACCUGAGUCUGGGUUCGGGGAUCAGGUUACUUAUUGGGAAGGUACGGUAAAGACCGUAGUACCCCUCUAAGCCCCUAGAAACGGGUCUCUACUAAUAAAAUGAAGCUGACAUGGCAAUUGAUGAAGAAAUCAAUGAAUACCUGGAACUAUCAUGCACAUAUGAGAACCAAAGCAUGCAUAUAGAAAUACCAGAAUGGGAAAAGAUAUGUACAUGGGCGACGAGCCACAAUAAGCUUAUCGAAAAGUGAGGUUAAUGCACAAUUAAAAAAUAAUUUCGAGUAUGGAUACCAAAUGAAUAUCACUCAAAACAAAAAUAACUGAAUGAAUAGGAUGAGACAAAGAAUGUACCUGAGUGAUGAACUGAUUUACUUCAACGAAAACAAAUGUUAACAAUUAGACACAGGAUAAUCGUGUAUGUAUCAUAGAAUAGUGUAAAUCAAUCACAUAUAGCAAUCAAAUCAAUCAAUUAUAAAACACAUAUGUGGGGCCCCCACCAAAGCCCGUUACUAUUAGGUGAAUCAAUUUCGCGAAUUCUAUCACUAAGAAUUACGAAAAUAAGUUCACACUUAUUUUAAAACAUUUUAAAAUCAUGGAAGUUGUUAAAGUUACAUGCCGAGAAGAAAAUGGCGGCAAAAUUUAUUAAAAAUGAGAUCUUGGGAACCUUAAGAAAAUACUCUAAGGAUGAAGGAAAAAGGUAGAACGUAGGUCGGACAGAAUUCCGGAUGUGAGAUAUCCAGAAAAGGUUGAACGCCGGCCGGACAGAAUUCUGGAUAUGAGAUAUCCGGGUGGAAUGUCGGCGGAGAAGAAUUUCGGAUGUGAGAUAUCCGGAGAAGGUGGAACGUCGGCCGGGACAAAAUUCUGGAUGUGAGAUAUCCGGGUGGAAUGUUGGCGGAGAAAAAUUCUGGAUGUGAGACAUCCGAGUGGAAUGUCGGCGGAGAAGAAUUCCGGAUGUGAGACAUCCGGAUAAGGUGGAACGUUGGCCGGGACAGAAUUCCGGAUGUGAGAUAUCCUGGUGGAAUGUCGGCGGAGAAGAAUUCCGGAUGUGAGAUACCCGGGUAGAAUGUCGGCGGAGAAGAAUUCCGGAUGUGAGACAUCCGGAGAAGGUGGAACGUCGGCCGGGACAGAAUUCUGAAUGUGAGAUAUCCGGGUGGAAUGUCGGCGGAGAUUUCCGUCCGGGUGGAAUGAGCUAUGCCACGCGUCGCAAGGGGGAGAGAGCCACGUGGCAUUUUUUUUAGGGAGGAUCCCACUAGUAGGUGAAAGUUUAGAGAGAGAAACAGGUUUGGUGGGUUGUAUGGAUAUGGAGGUUUGGGUGAGUGGUUUUAAUGGGUAUGCGAGGGAGUGAAGGGUAGCAUGCACCCGUGAAACUCCAUGUAAGUGAGGGAGCCUUGAGUAUGCGCUUAAGGAGGAAAAGAAAACAAGGAGAUAACAGGAUAGCAACAAGAAGAAGAACAUGAAGACUUUAGCCAGCAUAUCGAACCCAUUUCAUCAUUUCAUCCAUGGGUCCAACAUCCAGUGAGUUAAGAUGGAAAAUACUCGUCAGAAUAGGGCAUAAAACACAACAAGCUCUUCCAAUAUUUAAUCAGUAAUCACCAAAAUAGAACAACCCAAUAGGCAGAAAUGACAAAUCACUGAGAAUCAGACCUAGACAGUAUGAAAAAAAUGGAAAAUAUACAAAAAAAAAAAAAAAAAAUGGUCAUACCUGGAAAUCUCCAUUCUCAGCUCCGUGUCCUAGACUCUUCCCAGCAACUCUACGCUCCUCUGUUCCUAGCUUCCUCCUCCAGUUCAACCAUUCAUACUCUUUUCCUAAAAAACCUCAGAAAAACUCCUUGCUUUCCCCCCAAUGCUGUCUUUGGAUAUCCUUUUUCCUUUCUCUCCAAUCUCUCCACUCCUCUCAGACUUCUCUCCAACUCCUCUCAAACUCCUCUCAAACUCUCCUUUUUCUCCAAUCUCCCCACUCCUCUCAGACUUCUCUCAAAACUCUCAGACUUCUCUUAAAACUCUCUCAGACUUCUCUCUAAACUCCUCAUUUUUUUUUUCUUUUAAAUCUGAAUGCUUUUGUUCAAAAACCCCUUCCUCUCCCUUUCCAGACUUCACCCUUAAGACUUCCCUUACAACUUCCCAUGUAGCUCCAAUUUUCCACAGCCUCUUCGGGAAAAACUCCCCCACUUUUCCUUUCUCUCCAAGAAAUCCUUCUCCUACUCUUCAUUUCUUUGUUUUAUAUAAUAAAAACAAAGUAAAUAAAGCAAUAAAAAAAAGCAUAAUAUAAUAAAAAAAUGAAAAUAAAAUAACACAGUAAAAGCAUAAUAUAAAUAAAUAAUAAUGGUACUGAGAAUAACAAAGCUAACGAUUGUAAAGCAUCAAACGAACAUGUAAUAGAACAUGUGCUAAUGGGACAAAAUAGAGGGUCUACAAUAGUUUCAUUUUUUAUUUCUUGCCUAUGCUCAUUUAUGGUGUUGUGCAUAUGUGUUUGUUUUGUAUUGUAGGGAAGUUUUAUGCUUGUACAGUGGACAUCCUAUGACUAGAUUGCAAAUGCAAUGCCUAAGUGGCAAUAACAAACUUGACGUGGCGGUGCAUUAGUUGCAAUUAUAAAUGUUGUACAAAAAUGGUUGUUUAAGGAAAUAUGCUGUUUGAAAAGCACUAAGCUAACUAAAAUUCAUUUGUAGGUGAUUAAUAUGGUUUGCAUAUAUUUGAAUUCUUUGGAGGCCAACAACGGGCAUAAACAUUUUAUGUUAGCAUUCUUUGUGAUAUUACAAAUACUUUACUUACCCCUAUUAUAGUGUUUUUCCACUACGUCUUUCAUUUUCAUGCACCAACCAUAUUAAGCUUAUCUUUUGUAUUACACACAUAGGAAGGGCAACUGUGAGGGCCUUCAAUGCACCGAAACCCCUUAUCUGUAAGCGAUUAUCAACACAUACUAAGGAAUUAGAUCAUUACGAGCAGGUACGACAGUACUUGUACAUAUGCCUUUGUUCCUUAUAAUGUUAUUUAUGUUUGUAUAUAAUAGUUUCAUUCCUCUAAUGUUGUUUACCUUGAUUGUUCUCUAUGACAUAUCGAAAUAAUACUUCAUCCUAGUAUGUGAAUUGAACCAAUGGGUUGUGUUGUGUUUUAAUCUUCCAGAAAAAUGCAUCGACAUAUUAUCCUCAAUAGCAUCCUUUGAGCAAUUACAAUUUGAACGACUUGCCAAAAGGAUUGCUAUUUUCCUUAAGCCUUUAAUUGGGAAAGCAUACAUAGUUUCCCGACUUAGUAGGCCAUUUUAAUUUGUAAGUAAUAUUGAGUUACCUUUACAAACUUAUUGCAUAUUUAAUAAACAACAAAUUUCCUUAUGCUCUGUCAUUCUCUUCUCUAUUAUAGGUAUGAUAGUGGCAUGUAUGCAAUCUUGUACAUGCAAAAAUGGGUUGGUAACCGAUUAAACAAAUUUAUUGACCUGGUAAGGCAUCCUCAUUCAAGCUCUUAUUCAUAUGUGACAAACAUGAAUCGCUCAUACUUCUUCCUUACAAUAACAAUACUAAGUGUAUGCAAAUGAAGUCCAAUCAAGAGUGUUCUCCAGCAUAUUUCCUUUCCCCUAAUAACCCUAACCUACAGUCAUAACGUCAUUAAGAGUCAACCUCAGCACAAUGGUCCAUCAUUACUGUGUAUCAUACAGUGAUUUACCUCACAUACAUUCGUGGUUAUGAAGAAAAACAAGAACACACAGUGGUACCUUCAAUUAACUUCUUAGAAAUCGGUUUAAUAAUCCAAUCACACAUACACUUCUAUUCUUCAUAUCUUAGGAAACGAAAAUUUAUAAACACCGACUGCAAAGUUAACAUUUGUAGUGUUGAUGGCUAUUACUGAAUAUAGCAAACAUUGGUGGAAACAUUGGUUUUUUUUCUUUUUUUGUUACCUAGUGUUGUUGGAAACAUUGGUGGCUAACUGCAUAUUUCUUAUGCUUACCUCUUACAAACAUAAAUGUACUUUUAUACACGUGUGAGGAAGUAACUGAUGCAGUUUUGUUGAUUUAUCCGUGUGACCUAAUGCAUCACCUAUCUUGUGUGCCUGAAUAUAUUUGUCUGCAUUGUCCAAAGUGGUACAUUUAAUUACAUUCAUUGUUACUUUCAACAUUUUAGAAUUGGUACUUUAUUCACCUUAUGUAAAUUGUAAGUUGUUCUCAUAGCAUCGUGUUAUGUGUUGCAAUUUUUAAUGAAUGUUUAAUGUGUUAUGUUAAAUCUAAUGGUCAUUUUGAAAUGUCCAGUUGGUUGUCAUACUAAACUUGUUUAAUUUUUUGAUAUAACAAUAUCAGCACACAUGCAUAGGCAGGCAACAUUUUGAUUUCUUCAUUAAUUGAAACUACAAUUUGAAACAUGCAUUGAUAGAAUACACACAUAUGAAUGUCUACUUAAUUUUUAAUUACGUUUUUUUUUCUUAGUACAAAUUGCUUAGCAAUAAUGUCUCAAUGUUUUAAAUGAUGAGACCCAAACAUUAUUAUAUGUGGUAUCUCUUAAUCAAACUGAAUUGAGAAUGACAUGUUUCUAAGUUUGUGCACCAACAUAAAUGUACCUUACUAAUUGAUUAAUUUGUUAAUGUACGCAUAAACAUUGUAAGCAAUGCAUUUCUUAAGGAGGAAGGUCACUUAUGUUUUGUGGCAACAUCUUAUAUACACAAUAUGGUUUGAGUACAGAACACUGUCCACAGACCUUCACUAUAUUAGAGAACAACAUGAACGAAACAUGCUAUUAAUUGUACACAUACAAAGGUGCAGUCCCUAUUGUAGUUUAUUCAGUAGCUAUAACAUAAUUGGUAGCUGGUACUAUAAUAUGUUAACAACGCAUUAAAUAUUAAAUAUUUGUGCACAACAAACAAAAUUGUCAUCGUAAUUUAGGACUCCCAAUCCAACUUAUUAACCAACAAUACAUUAAAGAUCUUGUCUUGUAUAUAAUAGUCUAAGCAUAAGAAAACAUUUUCUUUAAAAUUAAAUGGUAAAUAACUUUUCUUUUAGUAGGAAACCCGCCACAAGGGUCAUUUAUUGAGUUGUUGCCUUAACCCACACAUCAAAUCCUUUGUGGAGUCAUAACCCUUAGGUGUUGUUGAUAUUCGACAUCUUAUUAUCUUAUAUCAUGGUGAGGUUCGAUCUUGUGCACAUCGUGGUCGGCUUAACGGGAGGCAGGAACCCUUUUUUUUAUCAAUUCAUUACUUGUGGUGUAAGAAGGAAGAAAAAAUCGGUUCGAAAUUCGGUAACAUACAAAUGAAUAUUUUUGCAAAUCUUUUUCAUUACAACUAAUGUAUUUGUUGAAGUGUAAAUGAGAGACUAUGAUAGCCACCCAUUAGUUGUGAUCUAGUGGCAUCAAUUGACAUUUUAGAGUUUAUUCCCCUUGUUUCAUCCCACUGUUAGUGGUGUCUCUAUUUCCUUUUGGUUUUGUUAAUUUAUUUCCCCGUUUUUCGUUAAUUGCUUUAUUCUAGCCAUAUUAUUGUUUUUUUUGUCAUUACAAAUUUGGAGAAUUUGUUAGACUAUUGUUGGCCUCGAAUACAAAAGUUGUUGUUUUGUGAUGGAAAGUUGGGAAAUUGAUUUAUAAUUAUUUAUGUUGCUCUCUAUUUCAUUACCCAUAAAGUCACUCAAAUUGAACAUUUGAAUUCACCCUAAUUAUUUGGUUUUCAUUGUAUGUUGGUUAUUUGUCACCUGGUUCUCUUAUAAUUGUUGCUUGUUUGUAAUAUGUGGUACAAAUACAAAAUUGUUAUGGUCAUUUAUGGAAUCAUCCAACAAAAUAUAUUAUUACCUCCAUAUUGGAGGAGCACUAAUUAAUGACAAUGAUAGGAAUGUCGAAUAUAAGAGUGGAAGAUGGGAAAACAUUUCAAUGGAUUGUGGGAUGACCUAUCAUGAAUUUGUUGCAUGGUCAUGUGAAAAAAUGAACAUUGAAUAGGAAUUAUCUACAUUUGCAUACACACUCGAAUUUGACCUAUUUUCCAUUCAACCAAUGCGCACACAGGAAAACUUUACAAACAUGGUUGACUUUAUUGAUCGGUUUGUGCACAUAUAUAUAUUGACCUCACAUACAAAUGGUGUUGUUGAAGUUAUUGUCCCUACAAUGUCCCUAUAGGUUUGUGGUGGAAAAAUGGAAUUAAUUUCCUACUAACAUUGAAUAGCUUGUGUAUUAUUAUUUUAGUGAUGUUCACUCCAAAUGAUGUUGUUCACACUUAAUGUCCAAUGUAAUUGUAAUGAUGUCAUUGUUGGGUCAAAUUCAAUAGUCCUAUGUUUGGCCAUCGAUGAGGUACAAACAAUGCAAUCUUAUGGAUUUUCUCACCCAUGUGUUGAAUCGCCAGUGCCCUCAUUACAAAUCGCCUCAUUCAAGAAAGCAAUCAUCGGUAGUGGUAAGGUUUUUUGUACUAUUGAAGAGUUCCGCGAUAUUGUUUAUUUGAUGUUGCUGGCUAGACGUUUUCAUUACAAGUUUAAGAGGAAUUCUCCACAGCAUAUGACAGUUAUAUGUAGUGCUGAAAGUUGUCCUUAGAAAAUUAAAGCUCACGCUCUAGGUGCUACACAAGUGGUCUAAGUUCAUACCUUUAAGAACAUACAUAACCAUUCUAUAGAAGAUGGAUCAUUUGGUCAGACUGCAGUGCGUAUAAAAUGAGGUGGACCCAUGGUGGAUGAUGUGAUUAGAGGUAGUCUUGAUUACUUGCCAAGACAACUAUGUCUUCGUUCGACAAUAUGGAAUUACAUUGACUUAUUCCCAAGUAUGGAAUAUGAAAGAGAAGUCAAAGGAAAGAAUCCAUGGAAUCCCAUAAUUCUCAUAUAAGUUGUUGUCGUGGUUGUGUGAUCGCCUAGUCGAAACCAAUCAUGGGUCAAUAUCUAAAUUCAGAUGUGAUGAGGAUUGUCAUUUCCUACAAUUAUUUGUUGCCUAUGCAAUCUCUAUUCAUGGUUUUAAGAUGGGUUAUCGUCCCAUUAUAGUCAUUGAUUCAUCGUAUAUGAGUGGCCCUUAGAAGAGUGCAUUGUUUUUAGUUUCAUCAUUCAAUGCUGAUGAUGGGUUGUUUCUUGUGAUGGUUUGUUAAGUUUAGAAAAUUAUGAAGACUGGCUUUGGUUUUUUAUAGAAGCUGAAAGGUGUGAUUUGUGAAAGAGAUGUAGUAAUAAUUUUGGAUAAGCACCAAAGUAUUAUUCGUAGUGUUUUAGAGGUAUUUGGAUUUGAUUACCAUGCCCAUUGCUACUAUCACAUUAAAGAGAACUUCAGUAGUUUUCUAACAAAGCAUAAUACUAGGGGAAGAAAAGGAAAGGGCAAUGCUUUGGAAUUGCUUGAUGCGGUGGCUUAUGCGCGCUUAGAGUGUGAUUACCUUGUCGUCAUGGAAAUGUUGAGAAUGUUUAACCCUGAAUUAGCAAAGUGGGUCGAAGAUAACCAACCUGAACAUUGGUAUAUGUGUAAAUUUCCAAAACUGCCUGAGAUAAAAUGACAAGCAAUUUGGUCGAGUCUUUCAAUUCAUGGCAACGACAUGAGCGUCAUCACAACAUUUAUGUAUUUUUUUUAUUGAGCAUAUGUAUAAGGUUGGAUCUCUUCUCGAUCACCACCUUAGCACCAUGCUUAAAUGGAAAGGGUCAUUCGACCCCAAGGUUGUCGAGAAAAUUUUUGCAAACAUUACGAAGAGUCAAACCUACCCUAUGCAUGUAUAUAUAGGUGGUUCCAUCAAAGUCUCCAUUGGAAUAACAUACCUUGAUGUUGACUUGAAUUGUAGAAGCUGCACUUGCAAAGCUUGGCAAAUAUUGGGGAUUGUGACCAUGCAUGUGUAGCAAGACGUAGAUUGGGAUUAGAUAUUUCUUAUUACGUUAAGGAUUGUUUUAAGUUAACAUGUCAAGAGAUUAUUUACUUAGGAAACAUGCAUACUUUGGUCACACAUGACAUGCUAGCAAUACAUCCUGAUGGCUCUAUUUGUGACCUCUUGGGAUAGAUUCUCCCAUCUCUCCUCUCUCCAUUAACUAGGUGACCUCCUAAGAGACCUAGGAAACAUCGCAUUGAAUUACAAUUCAUAUCUAAGAAAACUGUCCAUUGUUCUUGCUACACUGAGCCUGGUCACAACCAUGCCAAUUGCAAUAACCCAUUACCAUGUUUGAGGAAUUAGAGGCUUGUUGAUGGUUGCGGCUAUAAGUAUCAUUUUUUUUUCGUCCCCCAAUUAUAUCCAUAACAUUGUAAUUGAUUUGGUAGCUUAAUUUAACAUCUUUUUGGUUGGUUACUACUAUUUGGUCCUAAGCUCACUGAUGAUGUCAUCCCCAUGUUAAUGGUUGAUGAACAUAUCGCACAUACUAUUCCCAUUAGGGAGUCUUUAAUCAUCUUUAUUAUGUGUGUUGUAUAACGACUUACAACAUAAGUGGACUGUAGAUUACAUUUUAUUGUUAUGCCUUCUUAGUAUAACAUUAUGUAUGAAUGUUCUUCAAUUUUAAGAUGGUGUUUUUUCCUUCAUGUUUUUAGGACUUUUACUUCAUCACAAACCACAUUAAAGUUUCAUUUUGUCAAGCAAUAUCAUCAUAUGUAAAAUGCACAAAAGGAGACAUUGUGAUUGUUAGACAUGGUAGAUCGCCUUGAUUGAACAAAGCUGAUGUAUGUAAAAUGGUUUCAACCGCUUGUAUAAGUGUUGGUGCAUAAAUUAAAUUGUCUAUCCGGAAACCUAGAAAAUAUAACAUUUAGUUGUCAUUCAGGUUUAUUUUAGAUUAUUUUAUUACGACCCAUUAUUUGUAUUGUUGGUACUCUAUAACUUACAUUAUAGAGAUACUUUUCGAUUGCACAUGUGAUAGCUGCUAUUUCCUACAUUGUGACAUAUAAAUGAGUUCAACACAAUUUGGAACAUUGGACUGCACCAUGUUGUCAAACUUGGCCAUAAUGAUAAGUAACCCAUUCGCAUAGCAACUUUCGUCCACUUGAGCAAAUUUUGGUGAAGAAAAUUCAAAUCCUUCUAAUUCAUUAUAUUUCAAGCACCAACGCUUAUAGACAUAAGGGUUUAUUGUUGGGGACUUAAAGUUCGUACAUUAAUCUAGGAAGGAUCCACACUACAACAAGGGUGACAACACAUCCUAUGCAAAAAGCAGUGAAAAAAUUAAAGUCAUUCCUACGUUCCAUUCUCCCAUCGAUGUCAAUGUUGGUUGCAUUGCAUUAUGGUAGUUCACUUGCUCAUCUGCUUCCAUACAGGUGGGCUUUUCCCUCUUCCAAUGAAACACAUAAAAAAUCUAGGCUUUUCGGGCUUUGUCAAUGGACUUAUAUGGUUUGUAAACAUUAACUUUAUAAUACACCACUUGUUGUUGACACUCCGGCCAUGAUGUGUAUAUGCUUGAUUACUACCAAAAAGUGCUAUUUUGUAGACCUAAUUAUAAUGGUUUUAAGCACCUUUGAGUAGUAAUCAUAUUCAUUUAACCCAAUUAAUUCAUUAAGGUCCUUAGUAAUUGGUUUUAACCAUUUUGUGGCAAGUUUACAUGUUUUUAUCAGCUUAUGAAUCAAUUCAAGCAUGCCAAAUGAUGGAGGAGCUACUUGGACAAGUAAUGGAAAAGAUUUUGGAAGCUCAAAUUCAUGAAGAACCAAGCUUUGGAGCUCCAUAGACCUUUGCCAAAGUCGUUCAAAGUAUGCAAGGAAAGAACAAUGGAGAAGAGGAAAGCAAAGUGAAAAAAUCAGAGGACAGCAGCUGCAGUCUUCUUUCGCACUUUUUGAGCACUUACCGAAGUCCAUUUUUUACAUACUAUAUACCAUUUCAAAGCUCUGGAAGUCAAGAAUCCAAUGCUUCAAACCGUGCAUGAUUUGGAGCUGAAAUGAGGAAGAUAUGGCCUUCGGAAGCCAACUGCUCCAGGUUAUGCGAAAUUCGCAUAACACCUUCAAAAUUCGCAUAACCCAUGCGUGUUGCGAAUUUUGCUCUGUUUUUGCCGACUCCAAUUUAGAUAUUUUCCUUUGUAUUUUGUGAUGUAAUUUCCUUUCUUAUCCUUGUAACUAACCAAUCACAAGCUUUUGCUUUUGUAAAGACUAUAUAAGGGGUGGAAAUCACCUCUUGAAGAAUAUAGAAUAUAGAAGAUAUAUUACGUUUUACACUUAGAAUAUAUACAGAGCUCUCUCGUUUCUCUUUUCUCUUUACUAUUUUAUUUUCUUGGAAGCCAAACAGCCUCUGAGGGCUUUUCCUUAGAGGAUGAUUGGCUAAAACUUUUAGUUUCUCAAAGUAUGGAUGUUAUGUGAUGGCUUGGAUGCAAUCCCAUGGAAAUUUCUCGCACCUGGAAGGUAAGGUAGACGUUUUUCAUUAAAGGUUCAUUAAUGCAAAGUUUAGUUUUUAUUUCCUUUGGACAACUUCCAACGGCCAAUACUUGAUAAGCUUUUGGAUUUCUAUCCAUUAGUUAUCUCCUACGAGCUAUUGGAAGGUGAGGUUUUCAAUUCCAAGUUUUGCAUUAAUCCAUUAAAACCAAUUUCAAUGGCCAUUGAAAGGUGAGUUUAUCACCUAGAAUGACUUUGAGUUGCCAAUAUUUGGUAAGCUUUUGGCUUUAGACCAUUAGUUAUCUCUUACGAGCCAUUCAAAGGAAGUCUAAGGUGAAUAACCAUUGAUGAAAUUCACUACCAUCUGUUUUGCCAUUUUAAAGGAUUAAAACUUGAUUUGCUAAAUCCAUACCGGUUCGGGAAGCAAGCAUCACCAUAGUUGCAACCCCAACGCGAGGAGCCUAUCCUGAGAUUUCCAAUUUGCAUAAGAGCCAGAGUAUAGCUAUCCUAUCUUUAAGAAACUUGUUUUUACACCCUUUCAUUUUAGUCUUUAAUGUUAGCUUAGAUUAGUUUAAAUCUUUCUAAAACAUUUACAUCUUCUUUUAAAGCUAACAUCCAUAAGAAAAUCACCUAUUUUCCUAAUUUGAAUAUCACUUGUGUUUGCGAAAACCCUUCCCAGUGAACGAUCCUAGAACCACUAUGCUAUAGUAGCUUGGCUACUUUAGUAAUAGUAUUCAAGGUAUAAAUUUUGUUGAUACGCCUUUAAAGCUAAGCUACCAUGAGUCGCAUCAAUGCUUGGCCGAUGUCCCACAAAAACAAUGUAGAAGACUUCUUCUUUGGUCAUCCCACUAUACUGCAAGAUUAUGCAAUUGAAAUUCUGUUUAUCUUUGAUUACAUGUACGCACCACUUCUUUUUAGAUUAAAGUACUAGGGAAUUGCACAAACGGUGACCCUUAUAAAACCCUUUAUAUACCCACAUUUCCUUAGCUCACUACUUUACAAUGUAGUUAUGUGAGGGAAUAUAUUUUUCAAGUUUUUGUCGGUUUUUCAUGCAUUGAACUGGACAUAAAGUUGUCAUGUGCUCACUUUACAUCUCUUCACUGAUACUUGAGUGAAGAAUAUAUUUGUGCACAUGUUGGCAAAGGUCUCAAUUAGGUACUUUUUUUUAACAUACAACAUAGUCGUAUGCGUACACCAGUCUAAACGUUAAUUACUUGAGCCCCUCUCACUCAACCAUCAACAUCAACAAGUGUUUAUCAGUGAACAUAACAUAAUUUUUAAACCAAGCACAACACAACAAAUUGACUAGCAUAUAUUGGUAGAAUAGAACAAAAUUUUUUAUAUUUAUGAUAGUUGUGCAACAUGGAUGAUGCACCUAUUUCUCCUCAUUUGACAUCUCAAUAUCAAAUGAACAAUCUAGCAUUGUAUUUAUUUCCUCAAUUACAGUGGGAUCUACUUCCAUGUUUGCUUCUUUAGCUUGCCUAUGCGCUUCACACAACAUGUAGUACAUUUUAUGACGUAUUGCCAUUCAAUUGUUCUCUUCAUGGAUCAUGUUAAUUGCUCGGUGCAGCUUCAUCUUAUUGUUGCACUACACUGAAGUUGAAUGACAUUUAAAGAGUGGUGUGCCUGAGUGAGUAAGAUCAUCAACAAGUGUUUUAGCCUGGUUUACUUUGUAGUUCCAUUCCUUAUGCAUUAUAAUAACUAUUUCUUUCGAUAAUGGAUCUUAUGGACUAAAAGGAUAAAAUAACUCAUCUUCCAAUGCCCAAUAUCGAUCGAUAAUAUUGAAAAUAUCUUGGGGGCUAUAACUGAAGCAAAAACUCGAAGUUGUACUUUAAUUCGUACUUCUCAUCACUCCUUCACUCCCUAAUAUGAAGCAAAUGCAUACUAUCUUCAUUAACGACUUAAAUAACUAUCGCUACCAUUGUAUACCAAUAGGCCCUACUUUUAUGGACGUCUACAUGGAGCUCAUACUUCAAUGAUGUGAUUUUGUUGUUUACAUCAUGUACCAUAUUAUUUGUCCUACAAUAGUUUAUCAUUGCUAGUUGUGCAAUCUCAUCCACUGCAUUGAAAAAAGGCAACCAUAUUAUAUAAUAAUAAACUCAAAUGCGGAAAGCAUUUCUUAACAUGUUGAUCCAAUUGACAUUAGAAUGUGUUGGCACUGAGCAAACAAUCAUUGAUGCGUGUUAUCCACAACAUACAACUAUGGAAAUUUAUGGAUAAUAGAUCGGAGAGAAUACUAUGUCAUGGUAAGUUAUGAAUGGAAACAUCAUUUUAAGGAAUCAAAUAGACUAGUUGAGGACCUACAAACACUAAGGUUGCCAUUGGUACGUCAUCAAUCAUUAUCAAUGCCCUGACGGACCCUUUUACAAUGUGCAAAGGCAGUUGUGCAAGUUAGGGAGAAGAAUAAUCUCAUGCUUAUCUGGCGGGCGCACUAUGCCCUUUGUAGCCUAGCAUCCAAAAUUGUCGAGGACAAUAACAGAGUACUGUUCACUGAUGAACUUAGUGCAUUCCAUCAUAAUUUUACAUACUAAUCUAAUUUUCUGAUGUCUGAUGAAGUCAUAGCUAAUGUAUUGAAAAAAUUAGUAAGGGUGGGGUUUAAACUAUGCAUUAUGACAUUGUUCUACAAUAUAUGAAGGAUUUGAAUGGCGGCAUCGAGGACACAAUUUAAAUUGUGCUAGUGAAAUUAAACUUGUGUUAUGUUGGUUGUGUAUAAUCAUAAUUGGAGAUGAAUGUCAAGUAACACAUAGCUUAUCGAUAUUGGUAGUGUGCCCUUGAAUAGACCAUAUUUACAAUACUCCAUCAUCUGUAAGAGUAACAAUACAUUACAACAAAAGUAACAAUAUCCCAAAUCAAAAGUACAUCAUAAUUUAACAUGGUAUAAUUGAUAGUUGGUGCAACAUAAGUGAUAUGGCAAGUUAUGGCGUCAUAACCACCCCCACCCAAUGAUAUUGAUAGUGCAACACACUAGUUCGUGGUUGUUAAUAUUCCCAUAUAUAGGAAGAUCUUCACAUGCAUGGAGCCAAUUGAAUGAAUUGCAAGUAACAAUUCAUCCUGUAAGCAUACAUUUUCCACAUAGUCACACCUAAGGAUUAGAAAAGUACCAAUGCUUCAAGCUGAGUGUAACAUUCAAUGUGAUUGACACUACAACUGUAAACAAUGCAUGCAGUUUACUUGUAAAUGGGUGUGACUCAUUUAAAAAAAGACGUGGAUUAAAGUACUACAUUCGUAGCAAACACAUAACAACCUUCCCCAAAUCGUGGGGAAAAAAACGGAUACCAUGUUUCUAUAUACAUUUCUACAAUAUGUUAGUUUAAAUUCUCUUAGAUUAUGUCAACAAUUCCUUAUGUUUCCAACUUCAUGGUAUAUGGUCGAGAAAUAUCUUGGGGAACAAUGUUGCUCGGACUUGAUUUUGCUUAGAUCGAACCAAUUGCACAGCCAACUGUAAACAUUCUAAAGCCAUUUGAUGUUGAUUUGGUGCAUGUCAGAAAUGAUUGUUAAUGUUGUGAAUAUAACAAGAGGAUAUAAAAGUCCAAAUAAUAUAUAUGUUGAGCAUGCCUUACCGAGUGGACAAACCUGUUGAGACAGUUGUCAUCUCAGAUUUGCAUGUACAAAAUAGCGAAAAUGCCAUUAUCAUAAUUGUCACCAAUGAUGGAAUGUCACACAAUUACAAUGCAUUAAUAAGUGGUCCUCCAUUAAAAUAGGACAUAAAUAUAUGCAACGGUGGUGAGCAUUUUUAUUGUAUAUGCAAAGGACAACACUACAUAAUGAGUUUGUGUAAAGUUACGAGCCAUAGGCUUUAAACAACCUAUAUAUAUGGUUAAGGACACAUAAAUGUUGUUCAAAAGAUGCAAUGAAGUUCUAAAAAAAUAUUAAUAUGGAAAUGUAUAUAGUUAUUGCAUUCAUUUGCACAUUGUCAUGGUGGGGUAUGUCUGCAUAUUAUGGUUGCAGGGUUUUUAAAUCGACACCAUGCCUAGCAAAGGCCUUCCCAAAUAACACCUUCAGGAAGAACAAAAUAUUUUGAGCUAGGCGGGUACAGGGCAUUAGAUCAACCAUAUGUGUAGAAGAUAGUAUAUUGAGUCAUUUUGCUUUGAGAUUCACAACAACCACAAGCCACUGCUCGUAUUGCAUAACCAAGAAGAAGAAUUGCAACCAAAUGUCAGUGCAUUCACCAUUGUUAAACCUCAUAACAUUUUGUAUGUAAAUAUGGAUGCAUAACCAGCAUAACAGAAAGGAAGAAUGCGAUACUCGUUCACAAUCUACAAUAAUAUGGAUAUGUUUGUGCAACCUUGUUCGUACAAGCUUCUUGGACGCGUUAGGUCCCAUGGUAACCACAAUCUCCUAUUUCAUUACAACAGUGGACAUUUAUAAUUGUAAUAUUUGCAUACGAAGUGCCAUGAAUAUAUGCAAUGAGAAUGGAGCACAUACGAAAUUUUGGAUUACCCCAAAAGAUGGUAGUACGAAUUGCCUACAUUGGGUGUUUCCUUCAAGCGCAUCGAGGUACUUGCAUAUAGUGGUCACCACCUACAGAAUGGGAUGCAGAUAGUUGUAAUUGCUUUUAACUGAUCAUGUUGUUGAUCAAAUGAGAUUGUAAAUUAAAUGGAAACAGGCCUAAGUUUUGACUUACCAACGUAUCAAUUGUGUCAUUUCCACCUAGGCAUUGCAAUUGUUGGCGUGUAAGACCGUACGACCUAAAUGCACAUAGAACCUUCCUGUAUGAAAUCAUGAAUGAAACAUAAGCAAACCAAAUUAAUUGCUAAAAAUUGUAAAUUACGAAGGAAAAAAUAUAACUACAACAAAUCAUUGUCGUAAGACUUUGAAAUUUUUGUUUCUCACAUUGGAUCCUAACUAGAGUCAAAGGCAUAAUUGACAAUAUUUGUAACCUCGUGGCCGAGUUUGUUGUAUUUUUCCAAGUAGUACGUUACAAACAACGACUUGCAUGGAAGGGCGCAAUGUUGGAUAUUUCGUCCAAUCAUCUUACUCCUCAUUUUGCAGAUGACUAUUAAAGUGAUGGUAUUGGAAGGUGCAGUCUCUAGAGGUGGCAAUGUCAGUCACAACAGAUCUAUGUCAUUUGUAGCUAAAAGCUCAGUUGUGACUGCAUCUGGAUGGCCUCCAAUCAAGCCUUCAAGGGUUAGAUUAGGAAUUGGAGCUUUAGGGAUGUAUGGUUCCAGACUGAACAUUGCACCAACACCAUAUGUUGUUUUUGAAGCAUCAUUGGGGUCAGGAAAAUCUUGGUUUAUAGUGGAGGGUCCUGCUUGGAACCUUGUUAAAGAUUUGAUGUCAUCAAGAUGGAAGGAGAUCAAUGAGUUCAUGUGCAGUUGUGCAACUUCUAUUUCUUCUUGCCUCGCCUUCAUGCAAUCAAUCAGUUGUUGUAAUAAGGAAAAGUUAUACUACUUUACAUAUUUUUUGGUAAGAUAACAUAACCACGUUAAUGGAAAGUGGAAUGCAUUCAAUAGCAUAAUCUCAAUCCCUCAUAGAUACUUGUAGUAUUGUAGGAGCAUUGUUGGCGUGGGGUUUAACAUCAAUUGAGGGGAAGGGAGAUUGUUAUUUUGAGCUACCAGUUCUUUAAUUGGUGUAACCAUGAACUAUAAGGCAAUGCCAAAAAAUUAGUUAGCUGCUUGAAUUGACAAUUAGUUUAUCGACAAUAAUGUAAAUAAUAUGCAUUGAGGAUACUUAUAGAGUAUGGGUACCACCUGUACACAGCCCACUCUAGCAUUGACACCUUCAUCUUCAAUCAUUUCUUAAUCAAAUUUUCAUUCUAGUGGCCACAAUGAGGUGUUGCAUUGCUAAUAUGCAUUGGUGGGAAAUUGGAUAAACAAACAUAGAAAAGCUAUUAAUGAAACAAAGUAUUAGUGAAUUGUAUGGCCACAUGAAAAUGACAAGUAAAGUUGGUAUAAAAUGUGGUUUUUUUGGGAAGGACGAACUUGUAGGAACAACAAGUAACCCUUAAUGUAAGUGUUCCUACUCUGCCGAUAGUCAUGUACCUCAUGCAUCAAUUCAUCAAGGAGGAAUUGUCUCCAAUUAACAUCCUCUGUUACUACUUUGGGAGGGGCAUGCCAUAACGCAUGGUGACCCUCUAAGCACGUGGUUGGGGCCAAAAUGACAGCACACACAAAAAUAAUAAAAAGUCGACGAAAUUCUUCAACAUUCUCUGUCUCCACCAUCAAACCUUUAAUCUCUUUAAUGGAUGGAACACGACCAUCAUGAUGACGGUGGGUGUCUAGGACCAGUUUCCUUCCACUAGGGGGGAUUCCAAAGAUUUGUUCUACAUGUGUGUAGGUGAUGGGAAUGUCGACACUUUCCUCCAUCUGUAGUUAGCAAUAAGCCACAUUAAUCUUCUGUAUGAGCCAUAUACAGAGUGACAUGUUCAGUUGCUUACAACUAAUUGCUAGCAACCCACCAAACCAGAUCUCGCAGAUCAUUUCCUUUCUCGCAUUGGAUACCUGUUGCAUGGCUGCUAGAAAUCGUUGAGGUGAACAUCUUGACCGAGGUGUCAUUCUACUAAUACGUAUACAAGUUAAACUUAAUGUUAUAAGCUGACACAGAAAACAAAAGCACAAUAUGACUGUAAUCGAAGUUGGGCGCACUAAAGAAUAUGUUGUAACUGUAACUUACAAUGAUAUUGAAAUGAAAGACACAAUAAUGCUUAUGCAAAUAAAGUAAGAGGUGAACAGACCAUUACAGUUUGUAUAUUAAACAAAUAUAUAUAUAUAGAUAUAUAUAUACACACACCCUUUCUAAGAUGGUGCAUGUCACUAAAACCAGGUGAACAAUACACUAGCCAUGGAAGCUCAAAACAAUGUUACAUGUAUAAUAAAGGGUUAGGUGUGCAUUCAAUCCCAAACCUAAGUAGGACAUAGAUGCAUGACAGACACUAGAGGAUUAACUUAUAAUAUAUAUAAAAUUGGUAUAUACAUGGAUGUCAAGAGUGAAGAGAAUUUAUAUUGCAAUUCAAUUUGAUUAAGACAAUAUGUGUAAUCGAAUUUGCAUGAAUUUUAAAUCACAAACACUCACAAAAACUAGGUUAACAAUACAUCAUUUCACCACACGGUACAUCAUUUGACCAGAGGUGGGACUCUAAGCCAUAAACACUGUUACAUUUACAUUGUCAUGCUGGUACUCUAAAAUUUGGUUAUGGUCUACUCAGGCCCACUAUGUAAGCAGUAGAUAGAUGCAUGACGGACAUUAGAGGAUUAACUUAUAACAUAUAUAUGAAAUUGGUGUAUACAUGGAUGUCAGGAGUGAAGAGAAUUUAUAUCGCAGUUCAAUUUGAUUAAGACAAUAUGUGCAAUCAAAUUUGCAUGGAUUUUAAAUCAUAAACACUCAAGAAAACCAGGUUAACAAUACAUCAUUUCACCACAUGGUACAUCAUUUGACCUGAGGUGGGAUUCUAUGCCAUAAACACAAUUACACAUUGUCAUGCUGGUACUUUAAAAUUUGGCUAGGGUCUACUCAGGCCUACUAUGUAAGCAACACAUAGAUGCAUGACAGAUACUAGAGGAUUAACUUAUAAUAUACAUGAAAUUGGUGUAUAUGUGGAUGUCAGGAGUGAAGAGAAUUUAUAUCGUAGUUCAAUUUGAUUAAGGCAAUAUGUACAAUCAAAUUUGCAUGGAUUUUAAAUCACAACAAGAGUGGGAUUAAAUGAACAAUCCCAGGAAUAAGGGUCACACAAUAACAUACAAAUAGUUACCAAAACUAGGUCAACAAUACACUAAGCAUGGAAGCUAAAACAAUGUUAUGUGUAUAAUGAAGGGUUGGGCGUGCACGCAAUCCCAAGCAUGGUUGAUCACUGCAUGGUACAUCAUUUCACCAGACGUGGGACUUUAGGCCAUAAACACUGUUACAUUUAGAUUGUCAUGGAGAUACUCUAAAAUUUAACAAUACUCUAAAAAUGAUUGCUAUGUAAAAAAUGCAUAGAUGCAUCAUGGAUAGUACAAAAUUAAAUUAUAAUAUGCAGGUAUCUAGUCUAUAGUUGAAUGACUGGAAAUAUGUGCAAAACAAAUAACAUGGAUUUUAAAUUACAACACAAAUACAUCUCAAUAAUAUGUAUAAAAUAAACAAACACUAGUCUAGUAUGUUCUUAACCAUGUAAAUGAAAACCCACUAACAAAAAACGAACUAAAAAAGUAUUAACUUUCCCAAAAAAAUCCAAGAAAAUAAGUUCUCAAUACAAAUUUUCCUCUGCCCAUCAUCUAAAAUCUUAACCAAAAAAACCUCACCUAAACAUGAACACUAUAAUCUAUUAUAGAGUUCCCAAAUGCUUGGUUUUGUUUUUUAUUUUAUAAAAACCCUAACAAAUACCAAAAAAAAAAAAAAAAAACAUUUUAGAUGACCACAAUGGUGCGUUGAUUCUGAAAAAACUCAUAGACGUCCCGCCAGUGAACUAUGGAUAUGUCUAAAUGACGGGAAAAUGUCAAAAUAGUUUCUUCCUCAUCCCAAGCAGCAACUCAAAAUAAACCAACAAAGUGUCCAACACCAUGGAUUCAACAUUGAACAAACAUACGAAUAGGGAGCACAAGGACAAAGGGAUGAUAUCUUCUACGAAGGUGUGGUGUACGACAAUGACUUCCCAUGUAAGAAAUUGCACAAAUUUGAAAAAAGAGAGGGCAGAUAGACCUUUGGCGGUUUUUUCACGUCACUGUUGGGCCUUUACCAUUAACUACUUCUUCUUGGCUUAGGGCUCCACCAGAUUCGUCUAGUUUCUUGGGGUUUCAAGGAAUAUUUAAUUUUUAAAAAAUUUAUUAUGUUUUAAAAAAACGAUGUGUUUAUGUUGGUUGAGUUUUUUUAAAGAAGGAUGUUUUGGUCUUCUAAUUAGGUUCCAUUCUGCACUUAACUUUGUUUAUGUGGAAAAGGUGACGUGCCUGCCAAGUUGAACCAAUGGUUGUUGUGGGUGGAAGCCAAACAGCCCACCGAAGGGCAUUUUCGUCCAUUAAGAGGGGUGCGCUAUUAUAGUGCAUGAAAUGGGCAUUAUUUGGGGUCAAAGGGUACUUUACCUGACAAGGACCUUUUUGGGCUCUAAUUUCUUUGAUUAAUCCUCCUUGUUGCGUAUUUACAUAAUUCUCCUUAAGAAAAAUUAAUAUGUUUACUCUUUGUUGCUCUAAAUAGUUUCUUUUCUUAAAAUGCACAUGGUCAAAGUUACUCAAAUUUCCUUCACAUUUGUAGCACUACAAGUGAGGCAUAAUACUCAUAUAUCUAUCUUUUGGAGCUUUUUGCAUUCACUUUUGUGAUUUUCCCACCAUAAUGCUACAUAACAAUGACAUAACAUAUUAUUAUGAAAUCAUAAAUUCAUUAAUUAUAACACAAAUCACAUGAAAUUCAUUAAUCAUAAAUCUUUAACUAGUUUGUAAAUUAUAUUGGGUUGUUUGUUAUCCCUUGUAAGAUUAGUAAUACUCAUUGUAUCACUCUUCUUAGCAUAUAACUUUUUAGUCCACUGUUUAGAUGCAAGAAUAACUCUUAAGUCUAAUGUUUUGACUCAAAAUAACUUUCAACAUUGGAUAAGCAAUUGUAAAUCUUGUCAUUCCAAAUUAUGUCAAUUCUCAAUUUAUAUGUACCUCAUAACAAUAAAUGUACAUAGUAAUUUUUGUUUGAUAAUCUAUUGUAUUUUUAUGAAUUUGUAAGUCACCUAUGUCAAUUAACAUUAAAUCUAUACAUUGGGCACCUUAUGAGGACUAAAAUAAUUUUUUCCUCUUCUCCAUAAGCUUUGCACCUGCAAAAACAUAAGCAAAUGCACUAUUGGUCACCACUUAACAACAUUUUUUCUCUAAGUUCUACUAUAGAGUCAAGUAACUUGAAUAAUUUUUAGUAUUUUUUUUUAUGUUACAGAAAUAUGAAGUAUGCAACGACUUAAGAAAAAUAUUUUUUGUUAGACUAUUUACAAAAAAUUUUGCAAUUGCUUAUCCUCAUCCAUCACUCCAACCAUCAAACAUCAAAGUACAUCCAAUUUUCUUCCACUUCACUUUAUAUUUAUUUAGAGUUUCAUUCACAUUUUUAACUUCUUUUUUCAAAUAACUGGUUAAUGUCAUGAUAAGUAGGUAAUUUCAAUUUCUUUUCAUAUUCAAUAGCGGAAUUAAUCAUUUUAGAAACAAAUGCCCUUUUCUUUUCUUUUCUUUUUUUUUUUUUUUUUGAGAUAAAGUACAAAGCAUUUACAUAAAUAAAUCUACAAAUGUCCAUACAUACUUUAUCAUGAUUUUUCACCACUUUAAUUAAAGUAUGCUUUCCAUUUUCCUUUCUUCUUUCGUUAACUUUCAUAUUAAGAAUUUAUAGUGCAUUUCUUUGUAUAUUGUGUUUCUUUUUCAUAGAAGCAUUCUUCAUCAGCUUCCUCAUCACAAGUACUAUUUUUUUUUUUUUUUGCCAACUUAGUCAAAAUUUUCUAAAUAUCUCUUGAAUAUCUUUCAAAUUUUUUUUAAAAGUCAAAACAUACAAGUUCGAGCUAAAUGAUAUUUCAUUCUAAUUACUCUUCCUCAAUAUUCAUUAGAACAAUAAUUACAUUUUAAUUUCAAUAUUUCAAAUGUGUCUUCCAAAAAAUGUGCUUAAUGGUCCCAUGUAGGAUCACCUCCUUUCUAUCUCUUCAUUUUAUCACUCAUUUAAUAAAAAAAGAAAAAAAGAAGAAAAAAGAAUUAUAAUAAAGAAAAAGGAAAGAUCCCUACAAGAAUUAAAUAAGAAAGAGCUACUUACAAAGGAACCAAAAAUAAAUCUUAAAAAUAAAUAAUAUAAAAAUGUUUUUUAAAACAUACCCUUAAAAGUUCUAGAAAUUUUGUUUAGUGUUACAUGACUUUUUUAUUAGGAUUUUAUGAAAUAUAAUUUGACCUUACAAACUUAAAGAAAUAUUAAAAUAAAAUAAUUUUUUUGGUGAUAUUUCAAAGACAAAAGUAAAAAAAAUUUCCACAUUUAAAGACUAUAUAGAUUUGAUUCUUAAAAUAAAAUAAAUAUUUAAUUUUCUUAAUGUUAUUUUAGCAAUGUCUUGAUAGGCGGCAAAACAAUAAAAAAAAUUGGUGUGAUGGGACUAUACGAUUUGAAUAUGCUAUAUUAUAAGUAGAUCACGUAUGAUAAAGCCACUUAGAUUCCAAUUUUAAGAUGAAAUUGAAAAUAAAUUACACUUGUACAACACUUAUUUUUGGAUAGGUGAGAUGAGGUGGAGAAGUUUUCUUAAAGAAAAUCCUGCACAUGAAUUUGGAGGAGUUUCCUUGUAGUGACGGGUAAGUGAAUAGCUCCAACAAUAGCAAGUUUGUUGCUUACAAAGUUACAAUGUCAUUGUUACAACAAUAUUUUCUUGUGGAAAAAAAAAUAGAGAACAAGCUCUAAUUUUGAAUCUAUUUAUGAAAAAUCAAGUAGGUUUUUCAUAUUUUUCUUUUUCAUUCAUUAUUUUUUUUCCCUUUAAAGCUUCAUUUUCUUCCCAUUAUUUUAUGAUUUUUUCCCUAUUUGAUUCUUGCAAAAAAAAAAAAAAAAAAAAAAAAAAAAAAAAACAAAAACAAAAACAUACAUGUAAAAGCUAUCACUUGAUAUGGUUGUAUUACAUGUAUGACAUUUAUCUCCCAAUACACACACUAUAUUACACAAUACAAGCUUUUCCAUGACACAAUUUAUGAGUUGUAUCAAAAUCCUUCAAUAGCUAGAUGAAUCAAAUUAUGUAUCAUGUAUUGUAUGAUAUUAACAACCAUAACUAUUAUGAUGAGAAAAUUAUAAUACAUUAACCUAAAAUAUCAUCAUCAACAUCAAAGCCAUAGAUAAAUUGACAUCUAGUAUAUAAUAUGGUCUUAUACAAUAAAUUGUAUUUCAUGAAUAGGAUUAUCAUAUUGUCUUAUAGCUUUAUUUAUUACAAAUUGACAUUUUAUAUGUUUCACCAUUUGGUUGUUUUCUUGUUGAAAUAGAUUUAUGACACUACAAGAAAAAGGGUCAUUGUUGACAUAUAUUAUCUUUACUUAAAGUAGUAUAUGUCAAUAUUUUUUAUUUAAAUGGACAACUAUGACAUAUAAAACUUAGUUAAAAGGAAUAAUGACAUAUAUGAAUUCCAGUGAUUAUUCCAUGACUUAUGAUGAUGCAACCUUGACAGAGAAUUUAUAGGUCAAUAUAAAAUUAAUAUAUUUGUAUGUCAAGGUAGCUAAAUAAAGGCAAUAAUGACAUAUAUGGAAUUUGCUAAAAAUUUCUUUAAUUUAUAGUAAUACAAUCUUGAUAGAAAAAUUAUAAGUCAAUAUAUAUGGUUAAAAUAUUCUUAUGUCAAGGUUGGUAAAAGCUAUCUUGAAAAAAAAUUUAUAAGUCAAUGUAAUUUCAUUUAUAAAUCUAUCAAGGUUAUAUUAGUAAAUAUUAAAAAUCUCACUUCUCAUUUUUUUUUUCUUUCAAUUCUUUUGUUUUUCUUUUAAUUCUAUCUAGACCCAUUCCCAUCUAGAAGCAACUUGAAAGAAAAUCCUAAUAGGCCACCAUUAAAAAUUUUGUGAAAAGUACAAAUAGUUUUUAUGAAAAUUUAUUGGAUUAGAUAUUUAUUCUCCAUGCAAAUAUAUAUCCUUUAUUGGGUUUAAAUUUUUACUUUCGUUUUGUUUUGUUUUGUUUUUUUUUUUUUUUUGCAUUUUUUAUGACAUUUAUUAAAUGAUGUAACAUGACUUCCUGUUCAAAUCUGGAAUUUGUGGAAAUCUGAUAUAAAUAUAUUUUAUGACAUUUAUUAAAUGAUGUAACAUGACUUCCUAUUCAAUUAUCCAAUUAUCCCAGAAGGCAUUUGUAUAAUGAUCAGAAAUAAGAUAAUUCUGCAUUGAACAUGGUAACUACAAACUACAGUGGAUACAACACAAACGAAGGAUAAGAUAUCCUUUUACAAAGCUGGAAUUUGUUUUUUUCAGGUUACUUCCUUUUCAUUGUUUUUUGUAACUAAUAACUCUGUAAAUUUGUUUUAUGCAGUACAUUCCUGGAACAAAGAUGGUGUUCCUUGGACUAAAGAAGCCUCAGGAACGGGCUGACUUGAUUGCAUAUUUGAAGCAAGCCAUUGCUUAAUUUGAAACUAAACGUUUGAAGAGAGUCCAUUUUGUAGUUGCUAGACGUACCGAAACCAGAUGGCAAUACCAUUCUUUUCCAAAUAAAAUAGACUUAUGUUGGUAGGUCUGGCAUAAUGAGAGUUUGUAGUUAUUGCUACUUUUGCUAAGAGAUUGCCUUGGAAAACAUUCAAUUGGAUUUAGUUACCUGUUUGUGACUAUUUGAUGAAUAUUUGGUGAAACAUCAAUUUACUACUUUGAAUGCCUGGGCUAGUCUUUAUAUGAUUAGCAAUAUUAGAAGACUGGUUUAUGGUUAAGUUCCUUUUUCUUUAUUUCUUUCUUUGGUUCAUUUUUUUUUUAACCCAAGCUGAUGACAUAAGAGGUUGUGGUUGAUGUUGUUGGCAUGAGGAGAGAGCAUCAUUGUCUUUUAGCUAUGUUGGAAACAUUAUGAAAUAACAUUUGCAAGGAGUUAGUCAUCUCAUAUGAAAACCAAUUAAGUUCUAGACAUUCAUAUUCUAUUCAUUGUAGGGUUUAACCAUUUAGAGGUACACCUUUGUGUUUGAUCUAUUCCAUGCAACAUGCUUAUCUCCAUCUUGAGUAUUACUCAUACUGAAGUUUAUACCAGUGUUCAACCAUCACCGGUCUUAUCAAGGGGGUUGUUUAGCAUGUGUCUUAUCAAAGGGUUUCAAUUUUGAACUCUCAGUGAUUAAGUGUAUUUAGUUCAAAUAUCGAAUGAGGCAAGUGAAAUUUAAAGAAAAGACACUUUAAAUAAUGUGUUUUUGAGCAAACCCAUAUCAAUUUAUGAUGAUAAUUGAAAUGAAAUGAAAUGAAAGUUGGUUUAAUAUUUGUGGGUUUCACUUGAUUUUAAAGUAGUUAUCAACACAUGUAAGGGGGAUUAAUAAAUUUAUUUUAUUUUGUUUAUAUAAAUAUUAAUAUUAAUAAUUGUUUAUCAAAUUUAAAUAAUAUUAAAAAUAUCAAAUCCUUAAUAAUUAUACCUAGUCAAUGAAAUAUAAAUAUGUCAAAUUAAAUUCUAAACUCUUUUCACUUUUUUUUUUUAAAAAAAAGAUGAAGUUGUAAUCUCUUCAAAACAAAAUUUUAGAAUGAGAAUAAUUUUUUUAAAAAUAUAAUAAUAAUUUUAUUUAAUUAUUGGUUUUUGCAUUCCUUAGAGUAGGAACAUUACUCCCACACAUUAAGUAAACACAUCCUUGGAUGUCAUUUUGUAUGAGAAAGGGCAUUUGAGAUUGUAAAAUCAUCCAAUUAAACCCUAGUCAUGCAUUUAUUUUAUUCAACAUCCUUUCAUCUCACAUAGUUUUUUUUUUUUGUUUUAUAGUUACCAUGUUCAAUAUAUUACAUAUAUAGAAACUAACGUACCAAAUCCCAAUGAUUUUGUUUGCCUAUUGACAUUGAUCUUGCAAAUAAAUGCAUGGAAAUCUUUAGACAGUCUCUACACUAUGAUGCAUUCUAAUAAAAUAAAAAUUUAGUAAAUAACUUCAUAGAAUUAUGCAUACAAGCAUUUGAGUAAAUAUAUUUAUAUCAUGUUCAAAGGUUGCUUGUGUUUUUAGGCUCAGGAGUGACAUCAGGACCACUGUUUUUGCAGGGUAUCUUUGGUGGGGAGAGAGAGAUGGAUUAUGGAUGAGUAGGAUGAAGUAGGAGGUGGUGGAAAGGGAAAACCAAAUUUGGAAAGUAGCGUUCACAUCCCCUGGACAAGUGACAUCAUGCCACAUGCCACAAAAAAUACAAGCAUAAAAUAGUGAAAGCCAGAUUAUUUUCCUCAUGUGCGAUGGCAUCAUUGUACAGGUUCCUGAUUUGGAUGGGAAAUGUGGUGGAAAUGGAAUUUUACCAUCAAAAAAAUAAUUCCCCUUGUCAGACUGAAGUCUUUGCUCCUGUUUCUUCUUUCUACUCUCAUACCUUUUCAUUGGGAAUCAAUCAGCUUCCUCGUGCAUCUAUGCAAACUACACCAAACCCCCCCUUUUUUUUUUCGAAGUAUUUUUUUUUGUGUCAAUAUUCAUACUGUCCCAUGCAAUGAUUCUCCUUCCACCCAUCCAACCCUUAGCCCCUUCCUGUUUAUAAUCAAUUUGACUUUCAAAAUCACAUAAUCCAAUGUUUCAAAAUGUAGGAAUGAAAAAUUAGUUCCUUAUUCUAAAUGUAAUAAUUUUUUCUGAUAAACUAAAAAUAAAAAGAAUAUUAAAAAAGAAAUUUAAAUUUUAAAUUAAAAAUCAAUUUUCCCCCUUAAAUUGCUUCUAACCAAACCCAAAAAUCAUAUUUUGGUUUGUAGAAGUAAAGUAUAAGGUUAAAAUGAAGGAGUCAAGAAUUAGUACUUACAAGUCACUACAACCAUAAAAUCUGAAAAUUACUUAUCAUAAUUCCUUUUAUGACAACAAACGAAAUAAAAAGUAGAAACAAUCAUAUAAUUUAUCUCUUUUUGGGUGGGAGCUGGUGGAGGGGGCAUGAUGAGGGUGUUAGAGUUGUGAAUCUAACUACUUGGAUUUUAUCUGAUAGGCCACAGAACAUAGGUAGGGUUGUGAAAAGUAAUAGAUUAUUUAUUUAUUUAUUUAUUUAAUGGGGCCUUUGAAUCGAAGAGCAGAGAACAUGGCUCAUUUGUUGAAGGUAAGGAUUAUUCUAUUCUCUAUUGGGUGAUCUGCCUCUCCUCCCCACCUUCAUGCCUCCACUCUCCACCUUCUGCCUCUCCUCCCCAUCUUCCUUUAUUUUUUUCACUCCCACAACCUUUCACAUGGACUGAUGGGUAAUUUUCAGUACUCCUACUUUCAGAGUAAGAAGAGAAACUUCAAGUUCUUUUCAUCUAUACUAAAAUAAUUGAGAUAAAAAAUUAUGCACUGCAAUUGAUAAAUAGAGAAAAUAUUUGUAAUUGAAAUGAUGACUAUAUUAAAAUCCAAUAAGAUCAUAUAUGAAUCCAUGGCAAACACUCUGUUAUGCCAAACGGAAGAAAAUAUAAGAAAGAACAAUAUUCCAAUCAGGAAUGAACCAAAAAUGUCAAAUAUAACAGCAUAAUGAGACCAAGAAAUCACUUAUAAGAAAAACAAUCUUAAAUCUAAAGGGCCCAAGACAAGAAAAUAAAAAAGGUCAUCCAUGAAAGGGAAAACCUGUCGGGAUUAAAGAACUGCAACAGAAAAAUCUUGGCAAGCCUCAAGAGACCUCAUCCAUGAAGUUCUUUUAGCAUCUGAACGAGUUGUGGGUUGAAUAAGGCUGAAGCUUGCUAGAAUUCAGCUGCGCACUCGUCGUUUCUGCUCCUCAUGGCACGUUCUGCUGGUACACAUCCCAUUCGUCUAGUGCCCAUCGGAUUCUCUUGUUGUUGCAUGUCGGAUUCCCCGCGGUGAGUUUCGAUGGAGUUGACAAUCGAGUUCUACAUGAUGACCAAAAAAUGUUUGGGUCGAGCCAUCCUCGCCACCUCUUCACAGAUGAUUUGCUGCAUAUUGAAACUGCUAUGGUGUUCAGUUUGAAGGAAAGAAGAAGACGACAUCAUAGUGAGGCUGGGUGCUGUUGAUCAAAAUGUGCAUGUGCGGAGGGAUAAGGAGGGAGAAUUAGUGGAUGGGAAGCAUGGGUGGCUAUUCAUUAUGAUAGAUGGUUUUGGGCAGCCCAAAACAUGGGCUGUGUCAGAAGAAAGACGUUUGAUGUGUGGUAGAGAUAGGUUUUUUUGAUUGCCUAAAGAAUAGGGUGUUGCAGGGUAUGGCAUGGUCUGAAGUACUUGUCUUGAGCAACUAAAAAUAAGCUUUAAAGAGAGAGUGGUAUGGGGUUAAGAAACUUAAGAUACGUUUUAAGCCAUCUGAAAUAUGAGCAGUAGCAAGUAGCAACAAAACACAAUUGAUGGGUGUGAGAAAUGGGAAGCUAGGCUAACGACCUAUGGAGAAUAUUGAUGGACGGAUGCAUGGGUUAGUUUAAGGUGUGUUUGGUAUGUUUUAAAUGAUAUGAAAGCUAAGUAUAAAUAUUUCAUAAAAUCAUACAAGUUGCAUAUUUGUUUUUUAUUUACAAAAUUAAAUUAUUUUAUGUUUUGAUGUGUGAUUUUUAAUAUCAUGUACACUUUACUUAUGAUUCAUGAUAUCUAAAAAUAAUAAUUAUUUUGGCAUGUUUAUUAUAAAAAAAAAAAAUAACACAUUUUGUUUUAUAUUUUAAUAUAUGAAUUAGAUAACCAUAAUAAACUCAAAUUAUAAUUUUGUUUUUGGUUCACAAAGUAUUAAAAAAAGAAUUGCUUUGAUAUAUAUUAAUAAACUCAAAUCUUUAUUUUGAUUUAGGAUUCGUGUGAUGUUAAAAAAUAAAAUUAUUUUAUCAUAAAAUAAAGCUUUGAAUAUAUAUUUAAUAAUCUUAACAUAUUAUUUCUCAAUUUAAUCAUUCAAUAUAUUGAUUAAUACCUCAAUUUCUAUAAUUUAUAAGAUAAAGUUGACAAAAAAAAAAACUUGAAUCUUAUUAAAUCAUUUUUUUUUUAAAAAAAAAUACCUCAUUCCAAUUCAUUAUCAAAACCUUAUUGUAUUUUAUAUUUUUAAAGAAUAUGAUAUCAAUUAUUAUAUUAUUUUAAAACAUGAAUUUAUUUGUAAGAAUUGAGAUUUUAGAAUUCUAAACAAACCUAAAUAUGCUAUAACUCAAUCAAAAAAACAAAGUCCUAAAUUAAUAAUUAAGGAUCACUACACACGAAAUAGGGAUCCACUUAGUCUCUCCAAAAUAUCUAAUUGAAAAUCCAAAACUAGUCAUCGAUAUAGUCUUAGUGGACCAUCAAUUAAUAAGAGCUAAAAACAACUCAAAAAAUAACCACAAUUGCACAUUAAAACAUCAAAGGAUAUAGGAGGACAAUCUUAUAUGGAAUGUGUCAAAAGAACAAAAUAGAGGGUUUAUAAUAUUCUAAGAAAAAAAACACGUUACCGUAUAUACAUAAUCUUCUUUCUUAGUUUAGACUUUAAUACGAUAGUAUAAAACUAAAAUUGUUUUUUUGUCAGCCACUUUAUUAAGCCAGGUUUAAGUCUUUUCAUACUUCAACUCUAUCCCAGUUCAUUUAUGCUAUAUCUUUAUAUUUUAAUACUUAGGGUUCAUUUGCUUUCAUUCGUAUUUUUCAAUUUUAUAAUUUCAAAGAGAUGCCCAAAUAAUAUUACUUUAAGCGCUUUUUUAAUUUUUAAAAUUUUUGUUGGUUUUAGGAUAGAAAUUGUCUAUUUGAUAACUGUUUUUGAGAAUAGUUUUUUUGUUCUCUAGAACAAAACAAAAAAAAAAAAAAAAACAUUUGAUAAUAAAAAAUAUGAUAUUUUUAGAUAACAUCUUUUAAUUAUUUUCUAUUAUCUUCACUUGUUUUUUAUGGUUAUUUUUAAAAAUAAUUAUACAAACAUAUAGAAUUAUUAAAAAUAAAAUAUUAAAUAUAAAAAUCAUUUUUUAAAAAAUAUUAAAAACAGAUUAAAAACAUUUUAGGUUUUAAAAUAAAUAUUUUUUUUUUCACAUAAAACAUUAGAUAACAAUUUUUAAAAAGUUUUUGAAAACUGUUACUAAAUAUACCCAAAACGUUUGAAUUUUCAAAAAUAGUAAACAUGCAUGUUGCGUGUGUAGUAGUUUAAAAUUUGCUCUUGUAUGGCAAAAACAUGCAACAUGUUAAUUGUUGACUUUUUAAUAAAGUGAUUCCCGACAAUGUUCCUAAUGGCCAUUGGAGAACUUUAAUUUAGUAAAAAAAAAAAAAGAUAAAGUACAGAACUCGUCAGUUGAUUUUUCAAUUGUUUAAAAUUCAUUUAGACAUUUUGAUAAAUAAAAAAAGCACGAGUUAAUCCGGUCAAAAAAAACAAACCAACAAUUCCACAGUUUCCACUAAGUAAUUACCUCACGGGUCAUGUGUGAGCAAUGGGGUGAUUGUUUUUUACUUGCAUGUGAAGCAACCUUACUCAUUCUAAGGGAGCUAGGAGCCUAGGAGUAGGGCCUGUUUUCCCACCCUUCAAUAUUAUUAUUUUUCGAAAAUAAGUUUAUUUGGUGAAUUGUUUAAUUUUAAAAGCAUUUUUCAAUCUGCAUCAAAUAAAAACUUGUUUCCAAAAAUAAUCAUUUUGUCUUUUGUCCAAGUUGUAAUAGACACCACCAUUGAUUUUUCUUUGGUUAGAAUACCCAAUAUAUGUUGACUCUUUUUCCUAUUAAGCGUGACAAUUUAUUUUGCAAAUAUUAAAUAUAAAAAUUAAUAUAAAAUUUAUUUUAAAAAUAUAUUUAAAAUAUUAAAAACAGUUUAAAAACAUUUUAAGUUUGAAGUAGAUUUUUAUUUUAUAAAUGUGAAAGAAUAAUUUUUAAAUGCUUGAUAUCUUUAUGUUUAUUAUUUUGUACCAUCAAAUUUUAAAAAAGAAAAUGGUUAACAAAUAUGAGUGAUAUAUCUUAAUUCUAAAAACAAAAAGGUAAAACCAAAAAAAAAUUAUAAAUUUUAUUAUUUACCCAUUUUUCUAAAGACAAUUUCAUAAAAAGGAAUUAUUACUUUGGACUGUAUUUGGCAAUUAUUUCUGAUAAUAGAUUUAAAAAAAAUAAGUUUUAAUAUUUUGUGUAGUGGAGUCACAUGUUAUCUACAUCCUAACUAUCUAAGUGCUGAAAUGCUGUUGCAGGUUAGAUGGGAAGUGGAGACCUAUUUAUAGGCUAUAAGAUAGUAGUGAAGUGGAGAAGUGGAGAAACUGUCAUAUCCCCAAUCAUUAUCCCUAAAUUGUUAGCUACUUAUAGCAUGUCAAAAUAUUGAACAUUACCACCCAAUCGGUGGAGAAAAAAAAAUAAAAAGCGGGAAAAAAAAUCCAUUAAAAAAGUGUUGAGGAAAAAAAUUCAUAAAAACUUAUUGCUAUAUAUUUAAACAUUUCUGAUAUAUAUAAUUAGAAUCAAGGAUAAAAAUACCAAUAAUUAUGGAUAUAUCGAUAUUUUAAUUUUAGGGAUAUAUCAGAAAUAUCAGAGAAAUAUCAAUGAAUAUUUUUUCACAAAUAUUGGUGGAGCAAAAAUUAUUUAACAUUCAUAGGAAUGCUUGGAAAAACUGUAAAAAUGAUAAAAUAAGCAAGAAUACACAUUUUUAAAUUAUUUUGUAAGUAUAAUUGAUAUAGAUAUGAUAAAAAGAAAAAAAAAUUAAUAAACAAAUAUAUAUCGAUAGAUUCGAUAUUUCAAUUUUAAGAAUAACAAAUAUGCAUUUUGGAAAUGUAUAAAAUUAGAAUUGAGUUCAAAAUUUUUUUUAUUGAAUAAAAAUAAUUUAUACAUAUGACAUUGCAAUAGGACUUAGUAUCAAAAUGAAGAUUGAUAUGGUUCUAUUAUGUUGUUAGAUGAAGGGAGCCUAUCUUGUUGAAGACAAUAUUUAUUUUCAAAUUUUUAAAAUACUUUUAUUAUAACAUGUUUUAUUACAUUUUAAAUGAAAAAUGAAAAAAAAAUUUAUAUAAUAUUUUAUUUGAGAUUUAAUUUCUACAAUUUUAUUAAAAAUAUGUUGUAAAAUUUUUUUCUAUUAACAUUAAUUUAUUUAAAUAAUUAAAAUUAUUAAUAAUUUAUCUUAUGAAAUUAAUUUUAAUUUCUAAAAUAUGGCCUAUAGAAAGUGAAAUUUAUGAUUUCAUCGAGAUGGACAAUUAAUAUAUAUUUUUAUAGGGGGAGGAAAAUUGUUCUCAUAAUUUGUUUCCUUGUUUUUUUAUUUGUACUAAAUCUAAAAAUCAAAAGGCCACUCACUUCCUCUGACUCGGCCAUGAAAAAGCCAUUUCUCAAGUUGCCUUCCACAAGAGAGAAUCCCUAAAAAGGCCAUUUUUUCCUCUGCCACUCUCAUUCAAACGCAGGUACUAAUCUAAUGAGGUUAUUAUUUCUAUUAUUAUUAUUGCAAUCCUCAUUUGAUUCCCAUUAAAAUCCAUUCCCCAUUCCAUUUCCGGGAAGAUACUUCCUCGUUUGAUUUUGGAGACAAUCCAUGCAAAAACCCCAUGGAAAACCAUAAAAAAAAAUGUUUUUUUUUCUUUGCUCUGUGUGGUUUCUGGAUGUGUUGUAAGGGUCUCUUAGCUUUUGUGCCAUUGGAUUUCAAUUUUUUGAACCCUAACUCCACGAUUUUUGAGGCAGGCUGAAAAACUCAACCUUUGCCUGCAAAUCAUGGUAUUACCGAAUAGAAUCUGAUGCUUUUUUUUUUUUUUAAAAAAAAAAAACGGAUAGCUUUUGUAUCCUGUGCGUGGGUUAGAGUGGUAGGAAAUAUCAAUAAAUUUUCCGAAAAAUCGGUAAAAAUACCAAUUAAUACCGAAAUAUCAGAUAAAUUUUGGAGAAAUUACCGAAAUUUCCGUGGACCAAUAAUUGGUUACGAAUUUUGUGUUGGAGCCGGCUGAUCAAUGAUAUUUCUCUCCAAAAUAGUAUUUUAUUGUUAAUUAUUAUGAAAGCAAUGAUAAAAAAAUUUAUUAAAAAAAUAUGACAAAUUUUAUGCUAAAAUUAUUUAUUAAUCAAAAAUUGUUUCUAUGAAAAAGAUAAACAUGAAAUAUGAAAAUUCUAAAAUUAUUGAAAGAAAAAUAUUAUAAAAUAAAUAUCAUAAAUAAAUUAAAAUGGAUAUUUUAUAAUUCUAAUUUAUUUAUUACAAAAUUCAUUAUAAAAUAUUUUAUUGCUAUGUAAUAAUGGUCCAUAAUUUCCAUCCCAUUGUAGAAAUAAAGCAAAGCUUUCUUAAACUACAUUGGUACGUAAUGAUGAUCCCAUUUUUUUAACCAAAAAGUAGAACAAGAAACAUGAAACCUAGAUAAGAAAAAAGCAAACAAACAAGGGGAAAAAGAACUAAGAGUUUUAUUGGAGAUUGAUGUUCUAUUUGUUGUUUAAAAGUUCAUCUCCUUGUACCAAAAAUGCAGGUCCUCCUAAUCAUGGGUUAGCUUUUUAAUUUCUCAAUCACUAGAGGACAAUUUCAAGGGACAAGUCUUGUUAAGGUAAUUCUUUACUCUAGUUUCUCUCUCUCUAUACUUUGCAAUGAAACUCCAACUUGUCAAUACUUCAUUUUUUUUAAUGGACAUUGAACAUAAAUAAUCAAACUUGCAGUUGAGUUAUUUGAUGGUUAGUAGAUUUGGUCUAGUGGGUGGGUUCACUUUUGAUUUAAUUUGAUUCCAUUGAAUGUGACGUUGAUGACUUUAUAUUUUGAGUAUUAACUUUUGUUUGUUUGUUUCCAAGUGUAAUUAAAUUUCUCUACUCAUGAGUUUUUAAGUAAAUAUAUUUCCAUUUUCCUUUACUAGGCAAAUAACAAAUAUGUUAAAGGAUUUAAAUGUAUUUCAUUUUAAUGUGUUUAUGAUACUUAGAUAGGAUUUAAAUAAGUUCAUGCAUGAAACAUUAGACUUCCCGUUCUAGCAUCCUUGUAUGACAAAAAUUUCUCUUAUUACAUGCUAAGGACAUUUAAGUUGUCAAAGAAUGCAAAUGGUUCAUUGAUGAACUAGUUUGACGUUGACAACUUCUAACUUUGUCUAGCAUAUGAAUGAGACUUUUUCUUUUUCUUUUUUUUACAAAUGAUGCUUGAAUUGUCCAAUUGGACAAUAUAAGGAAAACAUAAUAUCUUUGAAGUUAUGCUCUUAUGCUUCAUUCAUUUUUUAGAAAUUUUGACAGUCGUUCCUUUUGUUCUCUGAGUGCAUAUUUGGACAAGGCUGAAUAAUAUGCCUUCUCCAUCUUGUUUAUUUGGAGAACUAUAGGGAAAUGCUGUCGAAAUUUUUCUAAAAUGAAACGAAACAUAAUAGUAGUUGAAAUGUAGGGAUUAUGUUUUCCUAUAUGGGAUAGGAACCACCACCUAAACUAGGAAGUUGAAGAUGUUAUAAUGCAUAAGACAUGUAGUUUAAGUUGAUUUUAGUUUAACAAGAUAGAAUCAUGAGAGUUAAUUAUGUCUCUUGGUUUAAUAUUUUGAUAUAUAAAUUUAUUUUAAUUUUAUAGAUAUAUGCAUAAUAAAUGAUCUUCGACGAUUCGCUAUUGAAUAAAGACUUAAAAAAAUGUAACAUAUAUUUAUUUCUCAUUUGUAUGGUAGUGCAUAAACUAGAUACAAGCAUCCCCAAAGAAAAUCAAAUAUGAGAAUCCUAGAGAUAUACAACUAUUUUCUAAAACAGUUUCAGCAAUGUUGGAGGGUAAACCGGCACCUAAAGUUGACUUUCCAAUCAAUGUUUUUGGGAUGAAAUUUCAAACCUUCCUCUUGACAACUGAAAUGAAGGAUGUAAUUUCUGCAAAAGAGUUGACUAUGAAUUUUAUAUGUUUCUAUAUUUGGUGAUAUUUUGUUGUAAAUCUUUAUGUUACAUUCAUGAUAUAAAUAAGUAGAAACUGUUUUUUUUUUUUUUUUUUAAGUAAUUCUAAAUUGGGUGAUAUUUCAUUAGGUGGCUGCAUGAACAUCUGGAUGAUACACUACAUGAGAAAAUUAUAUUUGUUCAUCUAGGAAUGGUGUCCAAGGUUGGAACAAUAACCCCACAAAUUGAAAAAAGAGCAAAGUUCAUUGUUGAUCGCCUAAUUGACUCCAAAUUGGCAGAUUUGAUUUUUCUUCCGUAUAACCCAAGGUAAGUUGUUAAUUAUAAUUGUUUUUAAUUUCUUAGCCUUAUAAAUGCUAUUUAUCUAAAUUAUAUGUUAAUAUAUUGUAGGUUUCAUUGGGUUUUGGCUGUAAUUGACCUCAAAUCACAAACAGUCUACUAUUUAGACUCACUAUUACAAUAGCCAUACCAAGAUAUAAAAGAUAUUGUGAACAUGUAAGUCUACCAUAAUUUUAGUUUUCAUGUCUCAAAAUAAACACUAAUGUAAUCUUAUUUUUUGUAGGGGGUUUCGAAUUUUUGUAUCUCAAAAGAAGAAAGGAUCUAAAAAAAAGCUCAAGUGGAUAGUUAUUGAGGUUACAUUUUUUUCUUCUAAACUUUUUGAAGACUUACCUACAUUUAAGUUGCUUUCUUGAAUUAAAGUUUACUUGAUUUUUGAAAUGUAAAGAUUCUAUAUGGCUUUCUCUCACAUGAAUAUAUACCUAUAUAUAUAUAUAUAUAUGAAUUUUAUUAGCUUAUAAUUGUUUUUGUUAUUAUUUCCUAUUCCUAAGUUGAGUUGAGAAGGAUACCAUAUACGUUUGUUUCACCACCUUAUGAAAAUAUAAUCUACAUUGCUAUGAAUACAAUGUACUCAUUUGUCCAUUAUUCCACUAGUAAUGAAGUAGUACUAAAAAAAACAAAACAAACCUAUAGUAUUUACAAUCCUUUACAACGAUUUAGAUGUAUGUGUGGGUAAGGAAGCAAUGAGGAUUCAUUUAGAUAGUUUUGAUCAUGUUACUUAGGUGUGAGUUGUUCUUUAUAUCUUUCUUAUGGCCUUAGUAUGUCUUAUAUACAUCCUAUUAUUUAGUUUAAACAUUUCUUGUAAAGCACAACCUCUCUCUCUCUCUCUCUCUUUCUCUCUUUAAUCUAAACUUUUUACUCUUUUAUCCAUCUUCAAUCAAAUUGUUCAAAUGUAAAACAUUUAUUCCUUAUAAUUACUAAUUGCAUUUCUCUUCUAUAAUGUCAAUCUAUGAGAUAUAAAAGGAUGCUAAUACUACAUAUUUCCAAAUAUAUUAUCGAUAAUUGCUCUUGAAGCUUGAUUGGUAUACCUUAAUGAAGUCUUAAAAGUCAUGAUCUUUUCUAAGGGAUAUUUUCACACAAACAAAAGUUAACUAUUUUUUUUUUCAAAGUUAAUCACUAUUCUUAAAAAAUAUAAUUAAUCAUUACCUUUAUCUAUUCCUUUUUUUUGUCCAUAUUUCACAUAUACAUGUUAUUUGACAUUCUUACAUUUUACCCAAUUUAACCCUCCAAGUUGUAAAUAGGGGAGCUUAGGGUAUUAUGCUAGACAUGUAUUGACUUAAUUUAGGUGCAAAUUUUACUUGAAACUAACAUUAUGUCAUUCAUUGUUUUUUAAAAUUUAAAUGUGAAGGAUGAAAAAAUUGACCAAAUUUAUAUGUUGUCAUAUUUGAUCGUGAAAAUUUAUUGAUAUAAUUUUGCUCAUAGGGACCCAAACAGUUGGAUGGUGUCAUGUGCGGAUAUUUUGUCAUGCGAUACAUGCGAGACAUAAUUGCAAAUAGAAGUCUUCUAACAUCUCAGGUUUAUUUACCUAUGUAUUUUCAUAAGUACAUGAUAACUUAUACAUAUAUUUAAUGUUUCACUUUAACAUAUUUUCUCUUCUCAUAUAUUUUAGUUUGAAGGGAAAAAAACCUAUUCGUGAGCUGAGUUAGAUGAAGUGAAAUCUGAAUGGGUCUCUUUUUUUAGCACUCUUAUCUUAGACCAAGUAUAGUGGGUAUGUGAAUUUUAUAAUUUUUUAAUAAAUUCUCAAACAUAAAUUUUAAUUAAUGUUGCAUCUUUUCUCUUUGCAAGGUAUAGGGUGACAUUUGCAGUUGUUGCAAUUUUGAGAUUUCAAGAUCAUACGUAAGAUCUUAUUGUCAUGCAUAGAUGCUGAAGUUUUGGAUACUUUUAGGUACAUACCUAUAUCUUUUAAAAGAUACAUUUGAUGAAAGUACCAAUUCAUGUUUUUUUUAUGUAUGUUUGUUGGAUUCUUUUAACAUAAAUUUUCGUACAUGUUAAUAUCAUUUUAUCUACUUGCAAGAAGUUGCAUAACAUUUGUAAUAGUUGGAAUUUUGAGAAUACAACAUCAGCAUAGGUUCUUCCUAUCAUGUAUGUAAAGUUGCAAUUAGUUUUUUCUUUUAUUGGAUAUUUUUAGGUACAUAUCUUAUCUAUAUUUUUUGCUUAAAAGUUCAUUGCUAGAUUUUUUUUUAUUUUAAAAUUUUUUUUAUGUAUUUUGGUACAUGUUUAUAUCUUUUUAAUUAGUACUUUUAAAUAUAAACAUAAACUAAUGUUGUUUUUUUCUUAUUUGCAAGAGGUUGGGUGAUAUUUGCAACAUUUACAAUUUUUAGAGUACAAGAUCAUGCAUAAGUUUUUGUCAUCAUGUAUAGCUAUUAGAUUUUUUGGUAAAUAUUUGUUAUUUUAUAUAUAUAUAUUUGAUAAGAGUACAAGAUCGUGUAUAGUUGCUUAGUUGUUUAUGAAUACAUUUGGAUAUAUUUGGGUACAUGCUUAUAUCUUUUUUUUUUAAAAGUUUGAAACAUAAACAUAAAGUAAUGUUGUGUCUUUUUUUUUUACUUGCAAGAGGUUGGGUGACAUUUGUAGCACUUGCAAUUUUUAGAGUACACGAUCAUGUAUAAGUUCUUCUUAUCAUGCAUAAUAAUUUAAUUUUUGGUUUUUUUUAGUAAAUAUCUUAUAUAUAUAUAUAUAUAUAUAUAUAUAUAUAUAUAUAUAUAUAUAUAUAUAUAUAUAUAUAUGAUAAUAGUAUAAGAUCAUCUAUACUUGCUAGGUUGUUUGUGGAUACAUUUUGAUAUAUUUAGGAUACAUAUUUAUAUAUUUUUAAUGAAAUUUUAAACACAAACAUAAAAUAAUGUUACUUUUUUCUUUCUUGCUUGGGGUUAGGUGACAUUUGCAGUAGCUGCAGUUUUUACAGGAGAAGAUCACGCAUAAAUUUUUGUUAUCAUGUACAACUACUUGAUAUUUGGUUAUUUUUGGGUAAAUAUCUAUCAUUUUUUCAUAUACAUUUGGAUACAAUGUUUAUAUCAUUUUAUUAAUCUUUCAAAUAUAAACAUAUACUGAUGUUUUUUUCCUACUUGCAGAAGGUUAGGUGGCAUUUGCAGCAAUUAUAGCACUUUUGAAGGCACAAGAUCAUGCAUACAUUAUAUUUAUCAUGUAUAACUAUUGGAUUUUUGGGUCCAUAUUUGCCUUUUUUUUUUUUAUGUAUAUGUGAUGAUAAUACAAGAUUAUGUAAGGAUAUUAAGUUUUUUUUUUUUUUUUUUUUGUCAAUAUAUUUGCCUACAUGUUCAUAUUUUUAAAAAAAAUAUAUAUUUUAUACAUUCAUGUAGUUUUUCCAUAUAUAUACACACACAACAGGGCUCAAUUUUUAUGUAGAUCAUUUGGGCAACAUGUUAGGUUGUAAUUGACAUGUUCCAUAUGCAACCUUGAUAUGAAAUAAAACAAUUUCCUUUAUAUGAAUAAAGAAAUCUUGACAUAAAAGACAUUGUAUUCCUUGACAUAAGAAUAAAGGAACCUUAACAUAUUAAAAUUUCAACUUUCAAAAAAAAAAAAAAAAAAAAAAAUAUCCUUGACAUAUGUGUAAAUUAAAUUUAAAAGCAUAUACAACAACAUUGACAUAUAUCAUACUUAAGCUUAACAUAUAUUGAAUAUAAUCUUGACAAAACAAUGAGUCAACCUUCACAUAUGUUUAACCUAACCUUGACUGAUGUGGAAGAAACAUUAACAUAUGUCAUAUUAAUAAGAUUCCUAUGUUGAUAGAAAUAAGGUAUACCUUAUUUCAUGCAUAUGUCAAGCUAGCUUUUAUCAUUUCUUGACAUUGGCAUAGAUAACAUUUGUGAAUAUCGAUCUACCUUAACAGAUAUACCUUAUCUUGACGAUGAAAAACUGUCAAUGAAGACCUUUUUUCUUGUAGUGUGAGAGCAUUAAAAUCUAAUGGAUUUUUUUUAUAUAUCUCAAUUGAACUGCCUUAAGAACCGUCAAGUGCAACCAUCGAUGACAUUGUGUCUAUAAACAUGAAAGGUCACCUCAUGUCUAUAGCCUUAUCCAAAUUAGAUGAAGUAUAAUCAUAGUGAGGUAUUAUCCACCCUAGAUUAUUAACAAGGUUAAAUGAGUAAAGUCCAUGAUUCAAAAAAUUAUGUUGAUCAUUGGAUAUAGAAUUGUUGGUUAUGAUGAUAAUCAACUCUCAACUUCAAAAGGGAUUUGUGAUAUCCCCAAAUAGUCUAUUACUCAAUGACUUGGUGAACCUUUAGCUAUAGUUGAUGAAUUAGUAGUAACAGAAUGUUGGGGUGCGCUACUUAUGCAUAUCUUAUAAGGCAUAAUGUAUAGUGGCAAAUUGAUGCCCACACAAUCUUAUCAAAAAUAAUAUAUGUUCAAGUUUGAUUCAUAAUGAAAAAAAUGAUCAUAUAGCAAAUCAUGAUGUGUUUUGAUUUGUAAGACUGUAACAUUAACUGCAAAGACAUGUAGAUUUAUUGAACUUGCUUUCUAUUUAUACUUAAUUAAUAUCCAUAUGUGUGUGUGUGUGUGUGUAUGUAUAUAUAUAUAUAUAUAUAUAUAUAUAGAGAGAGAGAGAGAGAGAGAGAGAGAGAGACAUAUCACUACACAAAGUUAUACAAGAAUUGCAUUGACAUAGGUGAUAUCAAGGAUUAAUAUCAGAAGCAAACAACACAAUAACACCCUCUAAAAUCUCCACAUUUAGUCGAUUUUCACCAUAGUUUGCAUAAUAUGCUAUUGUAAUGAUCACGUGGUAUCAUUAGGUUGUAAAACCCAUCCUCCAAAACCUAAUAACAACCUGAUUUAUAGGAUUAUAUCCAUAUGUGUAUGUGUGUGUAUAGAGAGAGAGAGAGAAAUGAAAGAAAGAAAAAAGAGACAUAUCACUGCACAAAGUUAUAAGAUAAUUACAUUGACAUAGGUGAUACCAACGUUUAAUAUCAGAAGCAACCAACACAAUAACACCCUCUGAAAUCCCCAUAUUUAGUCGAUUUUCACCAAUUUUUAUAUCACGUCAUUGAUUUUAUUUUUAUUUUUUUACUUUCAAAAUUUUGAAUUGAGCACCCAAAACUCAGCCUAACCUAAUUAGCUAAAUACCAAUUUUGGAUGUUGUUUCUAGCUAAUGUGGAAUUUCACUUGAAAGAGGAAAUGAAAAAUAAGUUGGUGGUGUGGAGGGAUAUAAAAGGGAAUGACUAUAUCACUAGGUUAACUUUGCUUUGAAAUAAAAUGGACAUAUGUAUAUAUAUACAGACAUAAAUACAUAUUAUAAAUUAUAUAUGCAUAAAUCAAUAUUUAUAUUUUGUACAUAUAUUAUAAAUUAAUUAAAAUAAAAUUAUUGUAAAUAAAUUAAUUUAAAUUAUUGUGUAUUUUGUAUAAUAAGUAAAUAUAAAAUAAAUAUAAAUUUAUAAACAAAAUUAUCAACAUUUUAAAAUAAAAAAUACUUAUACAUGUAUCACCAUUUAUUUUAUGUCAUUGAAUACAUCCAAAUUAAAUAAAUCUCUGCAAAAUAUGCUUUUAAAUUUUGAAUAUUAUUAUUAGAUCUCUCCCUCUAUCUCUCUCUCUCUCUUCCUCUCUCUCUCACACACAAACACACACACACAUACACACAUCCAAUUUCCAUGUUAUCGAUAUUUUAUGACAGAAUAUCCACUAAUAUUUUUCAAUAUAUUCCAAUAUAUUUGUAAAAUCGAGAUACCAAUACAUCCGUAAAAACUUAUAUUUUUAUCUUUAGGUGAAUAACAAUUCAUUAUAUAGCUUUGCAUAGUGUAACAAUACUAUGAACAAACUUUAUCUGAUUUGACCUCAUGUUCACAGUAUUACAUAAGGAUUAUUAAACUACAUAUUAUAAUGACCUAUCUUUAGUUUUGAAAGACCUCACAAUUAGAGUACUAAAGUGACAAUAUAAUUUAUAUUUUAAUAUACAUAUUAUAAGAACAUUAUUGAUCACGUGAAUUGAAUUGAUGCGGUGGAACGAAUCACAUCUAUAAUGUUGAAAUGACAAUACAUUUCACAAGUAUUAUCAUAUUGAAAAAUAAUAUACUAUAAACAUGUUCAUAUAAUAUAAUCAUACUAUUAGUAGUUAUAAGAUAAUUUGUAUUUUAAUGUGCGUACCAUGUGGCUUAUGUGGUAUGGUAAGAACACCAUGCAUCACAAUUUAUUUUUAAAAAUAGUUGGUGGCUUCUAUUAUAUUCACUUGUAGUUGUAGAUUGAGCUAGGAACAAGGAUGACCGCACUUCCAUUAUUGCCUAUAUUGCAUACCUUGGUGGUAGCUACAUUUUUUGUUGUUCUAAAAAGCAAAACAUAGUCACUCACCCCUCUACUUCGAUAGUAGCUAAAGUAAUAUGGAUUCAUUUACGUAGCAUUCUCACUCACACUAUUCAUUCUAACAAAAUUAGAGUCACUUCUUUAAGCUCUAACCUACUUAUACAUUCAAAGAUGACCGAAUGGCUAUAAACUACCACUUUGUUGGUGAAAAAGAGACCAAUAGGAAUCUCAAUAUCUCCUAUGUCUUUACCAAUGAUCAAUUAGCCGAUGCCUUAAUUAAACAACUUGCUAAGCAACAUUUUUUUCUCCUCUCAUUCAAGGUUGGUAUCUCUAAUGGAGGAUCAUCUUGUGAUGACAUAAUGGACAACCCAAAUUAUCUUCCUCCACCAAUUUGGCCAAGUCAAUAGUUACAAAUUUUACAUAACUUCACAAAUUUUCUAUCCAUAAAGAAAGUCUUCCUCUACUUUAGGUUGUUAAUGUAUAAACCAAAAAUAGCUUAAUAGCCUUGUAUACAUUAGUCUUAUAAAAUCAAUGCUAGUGACAACUUUUACACUAUUUAUAUUCUCUCUCUCUCUCUCUCUCUCUCUCUCUAUCUAUCUAUCUAUCUAUCUAUCUAUAUAUAUAUAUAUAUAUAUAUAUAUAUAUAUAUAUAUAUAUAUAUGUAUUAGUUUGUCUAGAAAUAUUUUUAAGGGACUUAUUCUUAGUCGUCAUAUUAAAGGUCGGAGUAGGGUCAAUGAGUGUUGUCAUUGUAAACAAAGGCCAAGAAUCAAAAGAGUAUAUUUGCAGUCAUGGUAGAGGGGUGUCCAAUCUUUGGUCUCCAAUUUUAUGAGUCCUAUCCUAUUUAGUAAGAGAGGAUUUGAACCAUGCCAAUUUCAUGGAAAAUAAAGAGACAUGUUUUUUCUUCUUCUUGUUAUUUUUUUUUUAAUUACAAGAAAAAAAACAAUAGUGUGUUAUUAAGUUAUUUUUAAAAACAUGUUUCAAAAAACAAAAAACAAGAAACUUGUUUAUAAAAGUUAUUUUAAAAAUACUUUUUUUUAAAUUUUGAUUUUAUGAAAAAAAAAAUUAUAAAUUCAAUUUAUAAUAUGAAUGCUAAUAUUAUGAUAAAAUCAUAAAUUAUAUUUUUCAUAGAAAAUUGAUACUAUUUUAUUAUAUAUUAUAAAAAUACAAAUAUUAACAUUUUCAUGAAAGCAUGAUUGAUUUUUUUUUUUUUUACAAAUAAAUAAUAAUCAUUUAAAAAUAACAAUGGUUAAUAAUAUUUUAUUUUAAAAAUGAAUACUUUUUUUUUAAUAUGUAAAUAGGUUGAGUUUUUUUUAUUAUUAUUAUAUGUGCACAUUUAGUACUCAAUUAUAACACAAUACAUAACUGAGUAUUUUGAACUAUUCUUGAUUUAGUCUAUAAUUAAUUUGGUUAGUUUUUUAAAAUUCUAAAUUAUUCUUAAAAUUAGAAGAUUCAUUAAAAAUUUAAAGCACUUAAUUUAGAAUCUAUUUACUUUGCAAGACAAGUUAAAAAAUAUGGCUCGCACAAAAGUAAGAGUAAGUCAUGAUUUAUUAUAUACUUGUUUAAGUCUAUAUUUCUAGUAGUGACUGGAUCUAUUUUUUAGUUCUAAAUUACUUUAAUAGUUAUUAGAAUCAUUAAUAAAUUCAACACAUUAAAUUUUAGUUAAUUUGAAAUCCAUUUGUUUAGCAAAAAAAUCAUAAAAAUAGUUAAGGAAUUAGUGGGGAUACGGAAAUGUGAGGAGGGUACAACAAAUUUCAUUUUCAUUUCUUAUACCCUCACGUUUCUCGUACCCUCUUCACAUUCCUUGUAUUAUCCUCACAUUCAUUGUAUUAUCCUCACAUUCAUUGUACAUUUAUCAUAUUUUUUGUACCCUCUAAUUUUUUAAAUUUUUUAUUUUUUUAUUUUUUUUCACUUCACUUGAGGACAAUAUUGUGUAAAAAGACUAAAUAAACUUCAAAUUGAAGUAAAUAAUUUUCAAAAAAAGUUAAAAUUAAAAGAUUAAAAUAUUAGGAAAUUAGUGGGGAUACGAAGAAGGUGAAAAAUGUACGAGAUAUGUGAGGAGGGUAUGAUAAAUUUUGUUUUCAUUUCUUAUACCCUCACAUUCCUCGUACUCUCCUCACAUUCAUUGUACCCUUCUCAUAUUUUUGUACCCUCCAAAUUUUUUUUUUUCAUCACUUCACUUGACGAUAAUAUUGUAUAAAAAGACUAAAUAGACUUAAAAUUGAAGCAAAUAAUGUUUGAAAAUUAAAAUAUUUAAAGAUUGUUGGUGGUAUGAAGAAUGUGAGGAGGGUAUGAGAAUUAUUUUUUUUCAUUUUUUAUACCUUCACAUUUCUCGUAUUAUCUUCACAUUCUUCGUACCAUUCUCAAAUUCAUUAUACCCUUCUCACAUUUUUUUUGUACCCUUAAUUUUUUUUGAAUUUUUUUUCAUGUCGCUAGACGAUAAUAUUGUGUAAAAUAAACUUGAAGUUGAAGCAAAUAAUAUUAAAAAUAUUAAAAUAUUAAAAAAUUGGCCGGGAUACAAAAAAAUAUAAGAAAAGUACAAGAUAUAUGAGAAGAGAAUGACAAAUUUUGUUUUAUUUUUUAAAUAUUAAAAAAUUAGUGGGAGUACAAAGAAUGUGAGGAAGGUACAACAAAUUUUGUUUUCGUUUUUUGUAUCCCCACAUUUCUUGUACCCUUCUCACAUUCAUUGUACUCUUCUCACAUUUUUUAUAUCCUCUAAAUUUUAAAAAUUUUAAAUUUUAAUUCUUUUUUUUUUUUUCACUUCACUCAAUGAUAAUAUUGUGUAAAAAGAUUAAAUAGACUUCAAAUUGAAGCAAAUAAUGUUAAAAAAUUUAAAAUAUUAAGAUAUUAAUAAAUUAGUAGAGGUUUGAAGAAUGUGAGGAGGGUAUGAAAAAUUUUGUUUUCAUUUCUUGUACCCUCACAUUUCUCGUACUGUCUUCACAUUUCUCGUGCCCUCCUCACAUUCAGUGUAAAAAAACUAAAUAGACUUGAAAUUGGAGCACAUAACGUUCAAAAAAAUAUAUUAAAAUAUUAAAAUAUUAAAAAAUUGGUGGAUGUGUAAAAAGAAUGUGAGGGUAUGUGAAAUAUGAGGAGGGUUUUUUUGUUCAUUUCUUGUAUCCUCACAUUCUUGUACCCUUUUCACAUUCAUUGUACUUUUUUCACAUUUUUUAUACUCUAAUUUUUUUUUUUCAUUUCACAUCACGUUACAAUAAUAUUGGGUAAAAAUACUAAUUACACUUGAAAUUAAAACAAAUAAUGUUAAGAAAAAAUUGAAAGAUUAAAAAAUAAAAAAAUUGUCGUGGGUAUAAAGAAUGUGAGAAAGGUACAAAAAAUGUGAGGGUCUUCAUAUUCUUCAGACCUUCCUCACAUUUUUGUACCCUCUAAAUUUUUUUAAAAAUUAAAUUUUAAUUUGUUUUCACUUCACUUGUAAAUGAUAUCGUGUAAAAACACUAAUUAUACUUGCAAUUGAAGUAAAUAAUGUUUGAAAAAAUAAAAAUAUUAAAAUAUUAAAAAAAAAUGGGUUGGGGUACAAAGAAUGUGAGGAGAGUACCAAAAAUGUGAAGGUGUGUAUCCUCAUAUUUUUUGUACUCUCUAAAUGUUUCAAAAUUUUUAUUUUGGGCUUUAUAUUUUUUUUCCCCACUUUAAAUGACAAUAAUAUUUGUAAAGAUUAUCAUUGUUUUUCGAAUUUAUGGAAAUAAUCUCCAAAAAAAUUCAAAGAUUAAAAUACUAAAAGGGUAUCAUACAAUUAUGAUUUUUCUAUCAUAAUUUUAUCAUUUUGGUAAAAGUUUUAUCAUUUCACAAAAACAUUUUCCACCAAAUUUUCUUUAUUUUAUUGCUUGAUGAAAAAAUUCCAAAAAAGAAAUUUAUAUUGAUUGGUAACAAUGCUAAAUCUGAAGAAUUGUUUUUUUUUUUUUUAAUUACCUUGCAUGUGUCUUAACCUUAUUGGCCUAAAAAGGUGGGUAUGGUACCGAAAAGUAAAUUUCAAUACCGUAGCAUUGCCCAUUAAUUAAUAGGGUCUUGCUACGGUACUGAAAAACACUUUUCGGUACCAUACCCACUUUUUUGGGCUAAUAGGGUAGAGACACAUGGUGUGCUAAAUUAAAAAAAAAAAAAAAAAAAAAACCUCUUCUUCAAGUCACCCAACCGGUUGCCAUGGGAAAUAAUCCCAUGCAACACACAUUGUUACAUUUAUUACAUUAACCAAUUAUAAAUUUGUUUAAUGUAAUUAUUUUGUUUAGGAAAUUUUUUUUAUGAAACAUAAAAAUAAAGAAAAUUUUGAAAAAAUAAAUUACAGUUUAUUUAUUUUUGUACUAUAAAGUGAUUAAACCCCACAUAAAAAAUAAAUUUAAAAUAAAUAAAAAAAUAUAAAGAAUUUGGUGAUAUAAUUUAUAAAUUAAGGAAAAGUAAAUUUAAUUUAUUUUAACAUCAAAUAAUUUGUUGACAAAAAUUUGACGAAUAUUUGAAGUGUGAAAAGCAAUAUAAUUGGUUUAUGAAGUUAAAAAAAUGGGAAAACUAGAACUAAAUUUUAUAAAAUAUAUAUUAAAUUAAAAUUAAAUUAGUUGUGUACUAAUUAUUAAUUGAGAAUAUAUGAUUAAAUUAUUUCUUAGCUUUUCAAAAAAAUUGGUUGAAAUAUUGAAAAUACGAAAAAGGUAUAAUUACUAACAAUAUGGAAAUCCAAACCCCUCACAUAUUUUUUCGGUAAAUUUCCAUUUUGAAUUUUUCGAUCCAUUUCAUACCCUCAAAAUGUACUGAAUUUUUGAGUAUUUUUGGAUUUGGAUUUUUCCGGAAAUCAUUUGACCACCUACCAAGUGUAACAAACUAAUUUAAACAACAUCCAAGCCAUAUGAUGUCCCAAAAUUUUUUAAAAAGUCCAAAGAAGUCGAGAAUUGGGAAGGUACAAAGAAUGUGAUGAAUCCUCACAUUCUUCGUACUCUUAUGAAUUUUUUAGUAUUUUUGGAUUUGGAUUUUUUCGGAUAUCAUUUGAUCACCUACCAAGUGUAACAAACUAAUUUAAAUAACAACCAAGCCAUAUGAUGUCCCAAAAAAUUUUAAAAAGUCCAAAGAAAUGGAGAAUUGGGAGGGUACGAAGAAUGUGAGGAUUCCUCACAUUCUUCGUACCCUUGUGAAUUUUUGAGUAUUUUUGGAUUUGGAUUUUUUCAGAAAUCAUUUCACCACUUCCUAAGUGUAAUGAACCUAUUUAACAAUAUCCAACCCAUAUGAAAUCCCAAAAAAUUUUAAAAACUUCAAACAAGUGGAGAAUUGGGAGGGUACGAAGAAUGUGAGAAUUCCUCACAUUCUUCGUACCCUUUUGAAAUUUUUAGUAUUUUUGGAUUUGGAUUUUUCCAGAUAUCAUUUAACCACCUUCUAUGUGUAACGAACCUAUUUAACAACAUCCAAACCAUAUGACGUCCCAAAAAUUUUCAAAACNNNNNNNNNNNNNNNNNNNNNNNNNNNNNNNNNNNNNNNNNNNNNNNNNNNNNNNNNNNNNNNNNNNNNNNNNNNNNNNNNNNNNNNNNNNNNNNNNNNNNNNNNNNNNNNNNNNNNNNNNNNNNNNNNNNNNNNNNNNNNNNNNNNNNNNNNNNNNNNNNNNNNNNNNNNNNNNNNNNNNNNNNNNNNNNNNNNNNNNNNNNNNNNNNNNNNNNNNNNNNNNNNNNNNNNNNNNNNNNNNNNNNNNNNNNNNNNNNNNNNNNNNNNNNNNNNNNNNNNNNNNNNNNNNNNNNNNNNNNNNNNNNNNNNNNNNNNNNNNNNNNNNNNNNNNNNNNNNNNNNNNNNNNNNNNNNNNNNNNNNNNNNNNNNNNNNNNNNNNNNNNNNNNNNNNNNNNNNNNNNNNNNNNNNNNNNNNNNNNNNNNNNNNNNNNNNNNNNNNNNNNNNNNNNNNNNNNNNNNNNNNNNNNNNNNNNNNNNNNNNNNNNNNNNNNNNNNNNNNNNNNNNNNNNNNNNNNNNNNNNNNNNNNNNNNNNNNNNNNNNNNNNNNNNNNNNNNNNNNNNNNNNNNNNNNNNNNNNNNNNNNNNNNNNNNNNNNNNNNNNNNNNNNNNNNNNNNNNNNNNNNNNNNNNNNNNNNNNNNNNNNNNNNNNNNNNNNNNNNNNNNNNNNNNNNNNNNNNNNNNNNNNNNNNNNNNNNNNNNNNNNNNNNNNNNNNNNNNNNNNNNNNNNNNNNNNNNNNNNNNNNNNNNNNNNNNNNNNNNNNNNNNNNNNNNNNNNNNNNNNNNNNNNNNNNNNNNNNNNNNNNNNNNNNNNNNNNNNNNNNNNNNNNNNNNNNNNNNNNNNNNNNNNNNNNNNNNNNNNNNNNNNNNNNNNNNNNNNNNNNNNNNNNNNNNNNNNNNNNNNNNNNNNNNNNNNNNNNNNNNNNNNNNNNNNNNNNNNNNNNNNNNNNNNNNNNNNNNNNNNNNNNNNNNNNNNNNNNNNNNNNNNNNNNNNNNNNNNNNNNNNNNNNNNNNNNNNNNNNNNNNNNNNNNNNNNNNNNNNNNNNNNNNNNNNNNNNNNNNNNNNNNNNNNNNNNNNNNNNNNNNNNNNNNNNNNNNNNNNNNNNNNNNNNNNNNNNNNNNNNNNNNNNNNNNNNNNNNNNNNNNNNNNNNNNNNNNNNNNNNNNNNNNNNNNNNUUUUCGGAAAUCAUUUCACCCACCUCCUAAGUGUAAUGAAGCUAUUUAAACAAUAUCCAAGCCAUAUGAUGUCCUAAAAAAUUUUAAAAACUCCAAAAAAGUGGAGAUUUGGGAGGGUACAAAGAAUGUAAGGAUUCCUCACAUUCUUCGUACCCUUGUGAAUUUUUUAGUACUUUUGGAUUUGGAAAAAAAAGAAAUCAUUUCACCACCUCCUAAGUGUAAUGAACCUAUUUAAACAACAUCCAAGCCAUAUGAUGUUUCAAAAAAUUUUAAAAACUCCAAAGAAGUGGAGAAUUGGGAGGGUACGAAGAAUGUGAGGAUUCCUCACAUUCUUCGUACCCUUGUGAAUUUUUGAGUAUUUUUGGAUUUGGAUUUUUUCAGAAAUCUUUCGACCACCUUCCAAGUGUAACGAACCUAUUUAAACAACAUCCAAACCAUAUGAUGUCCCAAAAAAAUUUAAAAACUCCAAAGAAGUGGAGAAUUGGGAGGGUACGAACAAUGUGUGGAUUCCUCACAUUCUUGGUACCCUUGUGAAUUUUUUAGUAUUUUUGGAUUUGGAUUUUUUCAGAAAUCAUUUCACCACCUUCCAAGUGUAAUGAACCUAUUUAAACAACAUCCAAGCCAUAUGAUGUUUCAAAAAAUUUUAAAAACUCCAAAGAAGUUGAGAAUUGGGAGGGUAUGAAUAAUGUGAGGAUUCCUCACAUUCUUCGUACCCUGUUGAACUUUUUAGCAUUUUUGGAUUUCGAUUUUUCCGAAAAUCAUUUCACCACCUCCUAAGUAUAAUGGACCUAUUUAAACCAUAUCAAGCCAUAUGAUGUCCCAAAAAAUUUUAAAACUCCAAAGAAGUGGAGAAUUGGGAGGGUACGAAGAAUGUGAGGAUUCCUCACAUUCUUCGUACCCUUGUGAAUUUUUUAGUAUUUUUGGAUUUGGAUUUUUCCGGAAAUCAUUUCACCACCUCCUAAGUGUAAUGAACCUAUUUAAACAAUAUCCAAGCCAUAUGAUGUCCCAAAAAAUUUUAAAAACUCCAAAGAAGUGGAGAAUUGGGAGGGUACGAACAAUGUGAGGAUUCCUCACAUUCUUGGUACCCUUGUGAAUUUUUUAGUAUUUUUGGAUUUGGAUUUUUUCAUAAAUCAUUUCACCACCUUCCAAGUGUAACGAACCUAUUUAAACAACAUCCAAACCAUAUGAUAUCCCAAAAAAUUUUAAAAACUCUAAAGAAGUGGAGAAUUGGGAGGGUACGAACAAUCUGAGGAUUCCUCACAUUCUUCGUACUCUGCUGAAUUUUUUAGUAUUUUUGGAUAUCAAUUUUUCCGGAAAUCGUUUCACCACCUCCUAAGUAUAAUGAACCUAUUUAAACAUAUCCAAGUCAUAUGAUGUCCCAAAAAAUUUUAAAACUUCAAAGAAGUGGAGAAUUGGAGGGUACGACAAUGUGUGGAUUCUUCACAAUUCUUGGUACCAUGUGAAUUUUUAUAAUUUUGGAUUUNNNNNNNNNNNNNNNNNNNNNNNNNNNNNNNNNNNNNNNNNNNNNNNNNNNNNNNNNNNNNNNNNNNNNNNNNNNNNNNNNNNNNNNNNNNNNNNNNNNNNNNNNNNNNNNNNNNNNNNNNNNNNNNNNNNNNNNNNNNNNNNNNNNNNNNNCCAAGUGUAACGAACCUAUUUAAACAACAUCCAAACCAUAUGAUGUCCCAAAAAAAUUUUAAAAACUCCAAAGAAGUGGAGAAUUGGGAGGGUACGAUGAAUGUGAGGAUUCCUCACAUUCUUCGUACUCUGCUGAAUUUUUUAGUAUUUUUGGAUUUCAAUUUUUCCGGAAAUCGUUUCACCACCUCCUAAGUAUAAUGAACCUAUUUAAACAAUAUCCAAGCCAUAUGAUGUCCCAAAAAUUUUUAAAAACACCAAAGAAGUGGAGAAUUGGGAGGGUACGAAGAAUGUGAGGAAUCCUCACACUCUUCGUACUCUGCUGAAUUUUUGAGUAUUUUUGGAUUUGGAUUUUUCCGGAAAUCAGUUGACCACCUUCCAAGUGUAACUAACCUAUUUAAACAACAUCCAAGCCAUAUGAUGUUUCAAAAAACUUUAAAAACUCCAAAGAAGUGGAGAAUUGGGAGGGUACGAACAAUGUGACGAUUCCUCACAUUCUUUGUACUCUGCCGAAUUUUUUAGUAUUUUUGGAUUUCAAUUUUUUCGAAAAUCAUUUCACCACCUCCUAAGUAUAAUGAACCUAUUUAAACAAUAUCCAAGCCAUAUGAUGUCCCAAAAAAUUUUAAAAACUCCAAAAAAGUGGAGAUUUGGGAGGGUACGAAGAAAGUAAGGAUUCCUCACAUUCUUCGUACCCUUGUGAUUUUUUUAGUACUUUUGAAUUUGGAUUUUUACGGAAAUCAUUUCACCACCUCCUACGUGUAAUGAACCUAUUUAAACAAUAUGCAAGCCAUAUGAUGUCCCAAAAAAUUUUAAAAACUCCAAAGAAGUGGAGAAUUGGGAGGGUACGAUCAAUGUGAGGAUUCGUCACAUUCUUCGUACCCUUGUGAAUUUUUAACUAUUUUUGGAUUUGGAUUUUUUCGGAAAUCAUUUCACCACCUUCCAAGUGUAACGAACCUAUUUAAACAACAUCGAAGCCAUAUGAUGUUUCAAAAAAUUUUAAAACUCCAAAGAAGUGGAGAAUUGGGAGGGUACGAACAAUGUGAGGAUUCCUCACAUUCUUCGUACCCUUGUGAAUUUUUGAGUAUUUUUUGAUUUGGAUUUUUUCAGAAAUCAUUUGACCACCUUCCAAGUGUAACGAACCUAUUUAAACAACAUCCAAACCAUAUGAUGUCCCAAAAAAAUUUUACAAACUCCAAAAGUGUGGAGAAUUGGGAGGGUACGAAGAAUGUGAGGAUUCCGCACAUUCUUCGUACUCUGCUGAAUUUUUUAGUAUUUUUGGAUAUCAAUUUUUUCGGAAAUCAUUUCACCACCUCCUAAGUAUAAUGAAGCUAUUUAAACAAUAUCCAAGCCAUAUGAUGUCCUAAAAAAUUUUAAAAACUCCAAAAAAGUAGAGAUUUGGGAGGGUACAAAGAAUGUAAGGAUUCCUCACAUUCUUCGUACCCUUGUGAUUUUUUUAGUACUUUUGAAUUUUGAUUUUUCCGGAAAUCAUUUCACCACCUCCUAUGUGUAAUGAACAUAUUCAAACAACAUCCAAGCCAUAUGAUGUUUCAAAAAAUUUUAGAAACUCCAAAGAAGUGGAGAAUUGGGAGGGUACGAAGAAUGUGAGGAUUCCUCACAUUCUUCGUACCCUUGUGAAUUUUUUAGUAUUUUUGGAUUUGGAUUUUUUCAGAAAUCAUUUCACCACCUUCCAAGUGUAACGAACCUAUUUAAACAACAUCCAAACCAUAUGAUGUCCCAAAAAAUUUUAAAAACUCCAAAGAAGUGGAGAAUUGGGAGGGUACGAAUAAUGUGAGGAUUCCUCACAUUCUUCGUACCCUUGUGAAUUUUUUAGUAUUUUUGGAUUUNNNNNNNNNNNNNNNNNNNNNNNNNNNNNNNNNNNNNNNNNNNNNNNNNNNNNNNNNNNNNNNNNNNNNNNNNNNNNNNNNNNNNNNNNNNNNNNNNNNNNNNNNNNNNNNNNNNNNNNNNNNNNNNNNNNNNNNNNNNNNNNNNNNNNNNNNNNNNNNNNNNNNNNNNNNNNNNNNNNNNNNNNNNNNNNNNNNNNNNNNNNNNNNNNNNNNNNNNNNNNNNNNNNNNNNNNNNNNNNNNNNNNNNNNNNNNNNNNNNNNNNNNNNNNNNNNNNNNNNNNNNNNNNNNNNNNNNNNNNNNNNNNNNNNNNNNNNNNNNNNNNNNNNNNNNNNNNNNNNNNNNNNNNNNNNNNNNNNNNNNNNNNNNNNNNNNNNNNNNNNNNNNNNNNNNNNNNNNNNNNNNNNNNNNNNNNNNNNNNNNNNNNNNNNNNNNNNNNNNNNNNNNNNNNNNNNNNNNNNNNNNNNNNNNNNNNNNNNNNNNNNNNNNNNNNNNNNNNNNNNNNNNNNNNNNNNNNNNNNNNNNNNNNNNNNNNNNNNNNNNNNNNNNNNNNNNNNNNNNNNNNNNNNNNNNNNNNNNNNNNNNNNNNNNNNNNNNNNNNNNNNNNNNNNNNNNNNNNNNNNNNNNNNNNNNNNNNNNNNNNNNNNNNNNNNNNNNNNNNNNNNNNNNNNNNNNNNNNNNNNNNNNNNNNNNNNNNNNNNNNNNNNNNNNNNNNNNNNNNNNNNNNNNNNNNNNNNNNNNNNNNNNNNNNNNNNNNNNNNNNNNNNNNNNNNNNNNNNNNNNNNNNNNNNNNNNNNNNNNNNNNNNNNNNNNNNNNNNNNNNNNNNNNNNNNNNNNNNNNNNNNNNNNNNNNNNNNNNNNNNNNNNNNNNNNNNNNNNNNNNNNNNNNNNNNNNNNNNNNNNNNNNNNNNNNNNNNNNNNNNNNNNNNNNNNNNNNNNNNNNNNNNNNNNNNNNNNNNNNNNNNNNNNNNNNNNNNNNNNNNNNNNNNNNNNNNNNNNNNNNNNNNNNNNNNNNNNNNNNNNNNNNNNNNNNNNNNNNNNNNNNNNNNNNNNNNNNNNNNNNNNNNNNNNNNNNNNNNNNNNNNNNNNNNNNNNNNNNNNNNNNNNNNNNNNNNNNNNNNNNNNNNNNNNNNNNNNNNNNNNNNNNNNNNNNNNNNNNNNNNNNNNNNNNNNNNNNNNNNNNNNNNNNNNNNNNNNNNNNNNNNNNNNNNNNNNNNNNNNNNNNNNNNNNNNNNNNNNNNNNNNNNNNNNNNNNNNNNNNNNNNNNNNNNNNNNNNNNNNNNNNNNNNNNNNNNNNNNNNNNNNNNNNUCAGACACACGAAAAAAUCAAAUAUAGGUAAGAAUUCCAAAAGCAACGAGAUGCAUACCUGGACAGCUUUGGUUGCAAUUGCUCCUUGCUCGUUGCUGCGUGCUUUUCCUCCCUCCUUCUCCAAUGCCUCCAAUGCGUCUGCUCCAGAAAGAAUCUCCUCUCCUUAAUAAAAAAAAAAGCUCCCUUUUCUCCUUCCUCUCUCACGUAUAUAUACGCCUUUCCCUAAAACUAAAUCUCCCUAAAAAAAAGGCCAAAUCUCCUAUUUUCUCUCUUCUUUUCUCCUUAUCCUUUUUUAAAUCUUCCAAUUCAAAAGCAAUCUUCCCAACUUCAAAUUCUCCUCCAAAACCUUCCAAGGAGAGUCCCACUUUCCUUAAACUCCAAUGGUAAGUUUCCUUGCAAAAACAUGAAAUUUUAGAAGUUAAAUAAUUGCAUGAAUAGAUAAAUAAGUAAAUAAAUUAGAAAAUGGUAAAAAUAAUAAAUAAAUAAAUAAGUUGAGGAAAAUAAUAUAAAGAGGAAAACGAAAUAAAAUAAAAUAAAAUUAAACAAAUUAACAAAAAAAAAUGGGCCCUACAAACCAUGCAAACACGCAAGUCAAAUAAGUCACGCUAAAAAUGUCCAAAUGGGUCAAGUGUGCCUAAACGGGCCUAUGAUGAGACUAAGCGGGCCUAGGAUGGUGCCUAAUGGGCCAAGUGUAUCUAAAGGCUAUCCUAAAAAAAUAAGAAAAGCCUAAGUCUAAAUUAGGGCUGCCAAGGGUCACGAUAAGGGAUCAAAUAAUCCCUUAACCAAAGUCUCCAAGGUGACUCAGAAAAAGGUAAGUCGUACGAGUAGUAAUGGGCCACCAAGGAACUACCGUGGAGCACUAGAAGUGGAUUUAAAGACAUGUGCUAAAAGGGCAAAAUUGAGGGUCUACAAAUAUGCCCCUCUUCGGUAUAGAUCACGAGUGUAGAGAAUGCAAGUAGAAGCACGAGCAAUGAGCGAAAUGAAGUGAACUAUACUGAAGAAUUAAAGAAGGACCAGAGAUUUUGUCCUAGCGCAUGAAGAGGUAAGGUCAAAAGAUGGGGUCUCAACGAUAUGGACGGGACAACUCUAUGCGGGGGAAUGACAAAAGAGAGAACAGUAUGUGACGAGUAACACAAAAAUGGAAAGAGGUGGAAGGGAUGAUUCAAAGUCAUGGAUGACAUGAAUGACUCUGGAUCAUGGACAAGGUGAACGACUCUAGAUCCAAAAUAGGAUAAAAGACUCUGGGUCAUGAGCUCAGGGCUCUAAUAGGAAAGAAUGACUCUGGGUCAAGAUGGAAAACGACUCUAGGUCGAGAGCCCUAGGCUCUAAAUGGGAAAGGAAAUGACUCUGGGUCAAAAUGGAAUAUGACUCUGGGUCGAGAGCUUUGGGCUUUAAAUAGGAAAGAAUGACUCUGGGUCGUAAUGGAAAGUGACUCUGGGUCGAGAGCUCCGGGCUCUAAAAUAGGAAAUAAUGACUCUGGGUCGAAAUGGAAAGUGACUCUGGGUCGAGAGCUCCGGGCUCUAAAUAGAUAGCCGAUCAGGAUACUUUCCGACUCAAGAUGUCGGGUCGAGGCCACUCACAAGUGGCUAGAAUGAUGAAAACGAAACAAUCUCAGGGAUGUGAAUGAUGCAAAUGACUCCGGGUCGUGAGCUCAGGGCUCGGGGUGCUAUGAAUGACUCUGGGUCAAGAUGGAAAAUGACUCUGGGUCGAUGAAUAGCUCUGGGCUAUGAGCUCCGGGCUCUAUGACUGAUCGGCUAGAAGGAGAAUGCGAUACGCAAACUCCAGGUCAAACCACUCAUGGGCGACCAAGUGAUGAAAGCUCAGCUAAGAGCUGGAAAGACUCUGGGUCUAUAGGAAAUGAUAGCUCAGGGCUAGCGGGCUCAGGGCCUAAGGGAAAAAAGAUAGCUCAGGGCUAUAAGACUCAGGGUUUAGAAGGAAUGGAUAACUCAUGGCUACGAGGCUCAGGGCCUAAAAAAAGGAAAGAUAGCUCAAGGCUAGUGGGCUCAGGGCCUAAGGGAAGAAGAAUGCUCAAGGCUAUAAGACUCGGGGUCUAGAAGGAAUGAAUAACUCAAAGCUAUGAGGCACAGUGCCUAGAAGGGAAUAAUAGAGAAGACCAACUCGAAAGUGGUCAUGAAAUAAAUUGGCUCAAAGCCACAUACUCAAAAUGUCAAGGGUCGGACUACUGAAACCAAGAAGGGGAAUAUGUCCCAGUAUCCAGGGUGCUCAUACUGCCGAAACAACCAGUAAAUCAAUCAUCCGCUGAAAUCAAUAGGUCAGAAACUGAUGCAUCGUGACAAACCUCUGAAAAGUCUAAACUGAAGGAACCCUCUAUGUCUGAAAAGCUGCUCUGUCGAUGAAUCUCAAAAGGUAAAUCUCAAAGAAUGUAUAUCACGGCUCAUCUAAAAGUAAACCUCAAAGUGUGUAAAAUGCUGCUCAUCUGGAUAAUCCAAUCUGCAAGGUAACAAUGACGAAAACAAAUCUGUCUCAUGAACAUCUGGCUAAAGGAUCCGCCCACACUCCUCGGGUGAAACCUGAUGCAACCCAUCUCUAUCUCAACAAAUCCAUAUAAGGAGGCUCUGAUACAGUCGAUCGUCGAAAGCUCUGGGCUAGUACUCAAUCUAAAACCAAGCUGGCCACUGUCUCAAUCUCAAGGAUACUCAAAGAAAAUGGGGGAAAUAUGCCCCAGUAUAAGAUCCGAUAUCAAAGUCAUGAGGUAAACAACCGACACUAAUCAUCCAUCCUCGUACCACUGCCUAAACACAAUCUCAUCGAGGAGAGUGGAAUAUGCCCCAAUAUGGGUAUCUGAUGUCGAAGUCGUGAGGCAAUUACCUAACAAUGAUCAUCCAUCCUCGUACCACUGCCCAAAUACAAUCUCAUCAAGGAGGGGGUAAUAUGCCCCAGUGUGGAUAUCUGAUGUACAAUAAAGAGUCUGUCAAGAUCAACCAAACAUCUCUAUAACCAUGAAUAAAGAUAGUCAUGUCGUCCAAUAACAGAUAGGAAUCUCAGAAAAGGGGGGAUAUGCCCCAGUGUGAAUAUCUAAUGCACAACCAAAGAGUGAAUCCAACAUCAUCAGUCAACUGUCCUCAGCUCAACAAUAAUCUGCUAGGAAGUCAGAAUAAAGUACCGACCAAUACCUCAAGGAAAACUCUCUAAAUCUGAUCUCAAAUGAAUAACCAAAAUGAUGAGGAAUAUGAUAAUCUCGAGAGUAGAAGCACGUCUCUGAUGAAUCCUUGACUAUAUCCAACAUGAAUCUGGUAACCUCAAAAUGGGGAAAUAUGUCCCAGUAUGCCAGAUCUAUACACUGCACUGAAAACUGCCUCCAACUCAGUAAUAAUCCACUAGUCUAUCUUAGAAAUACUCCGCAAAUGGAAACACUAGGGGCUCAACAAUGCUCCACUAGAACUGAUAUAAUCUCAACAUACCCCACUACGGAUCUCUAAUCGGUGAAAAUGACCAGACUCAAAGAAAGUGCUCCACUAGGGGCUCAUCUCAACCAAAUGAAAGGGGAAUAUGCCCUAGUAUGGAUAUCUGAUGUACAGUAGAAGCCAGACAACAUCAAAUAUCAUCCAUAAAAUGAAGCAAUCAUCCACAUCCAUCACCAAAUCACCUCCAAGCAUCAAAGAAGCAUCUCCCAGAAGAAGAAACAUGACAACAUCUAUAUAUCAACCAAAUCCCAAACGCCAACCUAAGUAGAGGCUGUCAAAGAUAACAUCUGAUCUCAUGGUCUCAGGGUGGUCUUAAGACACGGGACGUAACGUAGGCCAGGGUGAUAGGGUGAAAGAAAUGAAGGGAAACUCGGCUCAAAUACCCAAUGAUCAAACCCAUACCCUCGUGUAUAAGAUGUAAUGCAUAGAUAAAUCUCAUGAGCCAUGGACCUAAAGGUAACCAAAGGAAAUGUCGAUGGCGAAAUGAGAGAAAGAUGAGUAGUCAAACCAUCAAUGAAAUAUGUGAAUGAUGUGAAAAAGGUAUCAAAUCAGUAAUGGGUAUCGAUAAGUAGGGAAUGGAUAAAAAGUGGAACGAAGAUCUGGAAAGAGGUAAUGGGAUACAAAAGAAAACAAUGAGAAAGUGGAAUGAGUGAUGAUCAACCCAUGUUAGUACAAUAAAGAAAAGUCAUAUCACCAAUGAUGGAAUGGUGGGUAAGACAAUGAUCCGGAGACCCUAGUAAAAGGUCACUCAUAUCUCAUACUUAAUACAUAUCAACCAUGGUCCAAGAAGCAUAGGAUACCAUAGAACUCUCACAUGAACCCUCGAGACUCCAAAUGCAUGACAAGAAUGGCUUAAGGAGUGAAAACUCAUAUAAAAAAUCUCACAAGAACCCACAAUGACAAAUAUACCCAAUAAACAAACCUCAGAAGGUGACAUAAGUGCCCAAUGGAGUAAGAUGCCAUAUACAAACAUAUCAUUGCGCUUUUUCUUUCUUUCCUUUUUUUUUUUUUUCUCUUUUUUUUUUUUUGUUUUUUUUUUCUUUUUUUUUUUUUUUUUCUGUUUUCUGUUUUGGGUUUUUUUUUUUUUUUUUUUUUUUUUUUUUUUUUUUUUUUUGGGGCAGGGCCUGAUUAUCAAAAAAUCAAACCCCAAUGGGAAAAAAACAAAAAAAGAAAAAACCCCCCCAAAUCCCUGAAGAAAAAAUGAACCCCCCCCCCUGAAAAAACCCCCCAAAAUAAAAUUUCCCAAACAAUGUCAAAAGAUGGAAAGAAAAAAAUGGAAUGACCGCCCUUUUUGCCCCAAAACGUGAAAAAACCUCCACCCCAGGGAAAAAAAAAAUAAAAUGAAUUAAAUUAUGUUUAAGUCCAAAAAAAAAAUGAACUUGUGGGGAUAAAAAAAAAAANNNNNNNNNNNNNNNNNNNNNNNNNNNNNNNNNNNNNNNNNNNNNNNNNNNNNNNNNNNNNNNNNNNNNNNNNNNNNNNNNNNNNNNNNNNNNNNNNNNNGGAAUGGUGGGUAAAGACAAAAGAUCCCGAGACCCUAGUAAAAAGGUCACUCAUAUUUCAUACUUAAAACAAUAUCAAACCAUGUCCAAGAAGCAUAGGAUACCAUAGAACUUUUACAAGAACCCUUGAGACUCCAAAAGCAUGACAAGAAUGGGUUAAGGGGGGAAAAAUCAUAUAAAAAAUUUCCCAAGAACCCCCAAUGACAAAUAUACCCAAUAAACAAACCUCAGAAGGGGACAUAAGUGCCCAAAGGGGUAAGAUGCCAUAUACAAAAAUAUCAUUGGGCUUUUUUUUUUUUUCCCUUUUUUUUUUUUUCUCUUUUUUUUUUUUUGUUUUUUUUUUCUUUUUUUUUUUUUUUUUCUGUUUUCUGUUUUGGGGUUUUUUUUUUUUUUUUUUUUUUUUUUUUUUUUUUUUUUUGGCGCAUGCUCUGAUCAUCAAUAAGUCAAACUCCAAUGGGAAAGAUACAAGAAAUGAAUAAACUCUCUCAAAUCACUGAUGAAUACAUGAACCCCAACCCAUGAGACAACCUCUCAAACUAAGAUCUCCGAAUCAAUGUCAAAUGAUGGAAUGAAUAGAGUGAUAUGACUGCCCUUUUUGCACUAAGACGUGAAGAAUCAUCAACCCAAGGAAGAGAAUAGAUAAAAUGAAGUAAAUAAUGAUAGAGUCAAGAAAGAGAAUGAACAUGUGGUGAUAAUAAAAUAGAACAAAUAGGGUGAUAAGAGGAUGGUAACAAAAUGAGAAGAUAGACCUAUAAGUCUAAAGCUCAUGAGACUUUCCUAGCAAAGCAUGCAUAUACAUCAAAGGGUCCCAACCUAGGUGUAAAAAAUGGUAAUCAAGGCUAUAAGAAAGAAAUAAGGCUAUAACAUACCACGUGAGGCUCAAUGGGCUAGCAAUGGUUCAAUAUAUCAAUAAAGGUGAUAAGGUGUAAGGCUAACCGAAAUAAUGGCCACCCAUCCUGCGACCAUGGUCUCAAAUGUAAUACUUCUUCAACUAAUCCACAUUGGUGGGGUUUGAGAACUGGUCUCUAUCCAGAUAUGUCAAUCAUAUUUCCUCUCUAGGGUCAACUCUCUAAUGACAAGUGUUGUACUCCAAGUAAGUCCAUAGGGUCUCCUGGAAUAGAUGAAUCUCCAUGACCAUAACCGGGCUAAUAUCGUCCUCAAACAUAUCAUCAACAUAAGCGGGAUGCCCCAACAUAAAUAAACUGAAUCUCUUAUGAACUCUCAAUAAUGAAGAUCUCAAGCAUAUCAAGAGAGUGAACUAUCUCUGGCUAAUAUGUGUCAAGCAUCCAACUAUCAUCCAAUACGUCCAUCUCAUGCUCGUCAUGAAGAAAGUCAUGUCAAUCAAAUCUCCCAUCUGAUAAAAACUAACAUCCUCUAUAAGAUCUCUCAUCUGAUAAACUUUGACUCAUAAUCCACUAAACUCAUCAUAUGUACGAAGUCACCCUCAACAAUGUCACUGGCUAACUGGGUGGUAGGGGUGGGUGGUAAUGAAUCAUAUGACAUCUCAUCCUGAACUGGAUGAUAUCUAUCUCACUGUCCAUCUCUGGCUCAAACCUGCUAAUGUCUCUUGAAUAGAGUCAUGGUGACUGUAAGUCGAUCAACUGUAUCAUGCUAAGGAUCCAUACUUGACUGCUUUGAAACCUUGACCAAUCUAUCUCCAACUCUAAUAUAAAGAGUCGAAUCCAAACUGAAGCGAAUAACAUUCCUAUAAGGUACAAAGACACGGAAAGAGAAAUGACAUGAAGGAAGCUCAGAAGAGGUGGAAACACACUAAUCACAAUGUAGAAAGGUGGCCCAACUGAGACUCAAACAUGUAUCAAUCUCUGAGCACACCAAAAAGAGACCAUGAAGAGGAUAACUGAACCCAAUUGUGACCAAGGCAGCUUUGAAAGUCCACAGAUGCACCCACGUGUAGGAAUGAAAUCUUAAUUGGAUCUAGGCUAACCUACAAGGUUAAGGUGGCUCUAUAAGGUAAAAUGGGUGGGUUAAAGGAUCCCUAGCAGAAGCGAUCGUACCCUCCGGCGGUACGCAACCCUCUGCACGCCUCCAAGGAGACGGGGUGCUUCCAUGCAAGGUAGUCAUCACCUCCACACAUGCACUUCCUCGCGUUCCCAGGGGGUUUCUUAAUGGUGAAGGCUCUCCCAUCUCUCAACACUCAGGGAUAAUCUAGAGUGCACAAUGAAGGAUGUGGGUGCAUCCGAAAAACCUAAGAUCUAAAGUGAGAUAGUGAACAAAGACAAGCAAUCGUACAAUCAUGCAAGAGAAAAGGGUUGUCAUGCAACAAACAGUCAUGUGAAGCGGAUAUGUAUCAUACAAACAAGGUCCUAUCUAGCUUAUGUGAGAGUGAAUCAUGCUAGAGUGAGCAAAACAAUCAAGUGAUCAUCCAAGGCAAUCAAUCAUGUUAAGAUAGCAAACCAAACAAGCAAGCAAAUCAAAUCACCUUGCCUAAAAAGAGAGGUAUCCACUAAUCGACCAAUUAAACGCCACAUUUUCCUUAACUAGUGUUCAAGCUUGAUCCUCAAAAUCCCCAGCGGAGUCGCCAAUUUGUGGACCCGCAUUUUUCACGUGCGCCCCCACUCGAUCGGCGAGACUCGCUUUUUAUUGUGAAAAAUUAAUUUUUGAAAAAAAGUUGGAGUCGCCACCUAUUUUAUUUUUAUUUUGAAGGGAAAAUAAAACAAGAAAGAAAAACCCUAAAAAGUGACUCCAUAGUUUUGGAAAAAGCAUGUCUUUGAGAAACCCGAGUCUAAGUCCGGGGAUCAGGUUACUUAUUGGGAAGGUACCUCUAGGAGGUAGCACCCCUCUAAGCCCUAAAAAGGUCUCUACUGACUAAGUUAAGGGAAGCGUGACAAUUAAAUGGUUGAUCAUGGAUACCUAAGUAGACUAGGUGAUUUCAAAUAUUGCAUGCCUAAUAAGAAAACAAACCAUGAGAGGGAAUCGAAGUGCGUACCUGAACGACUUUUCAAGCGCUAUCACAAGACAUAAAAGUUAGUGUAGAAAUAUAUCGCACAACAUAUGUUUUAUCCAAGAUAAUAAAACAAGCAUCAAAUAUGCAUCAAGUCAAUCAAGCAUGUCAUCAAGCAAGGGCAUGGUACACAAAGAUAUGGAUAUUCAUGGAAUUUCGAAAAGUGGGGAGAUAGAGAGCGUACCUAGAUAGCAAGCUAAUACUCCUCUAUGGGAAACAAGGUUAGCCCAAUAACAAAUUCAAAAUAAUCUCAUGCACCUCAAAGAGGAAGCACAAUCAAUCAGAUAUCAAACAAACAAUAUAGAAGAGAAUAUCAUGGAUGUCGGGCCCCCACCAAAGCCCUAAUUAAUUUUGCAUGAAUUGAUUCUAUGAAUUCCAUUAUUUGGAAUCAUGAAGUUUAUUCAUGCUUGUCAAAAAUCGAGAAAAUCAUAAAAUAGUUCAAGAUGAUGAAAAUGCAUGCCAGAAGGGAAAAUGGUAGCAAAUAGUAUGUUAAAAUUUGGAUUUUAUGCCUAGAGACUUCUCGGGAAUUUUAAAUAAAACUAGAGUUAUUUUUUACGGGAAAAGAUUUUGAAAUCCAGAUUUAAAAUGUGUAAGAUAACAAAAAGAAUAAGGAGAAACAUUAGGAGGAGUAUGGUGUGUGGCAAGGUGACCACUAUAUGAGUGAGGUCCGAAGGUGCACUUCAGACUAAAUGGUUGAAACAGAUUGCAUAGGGAGGAUUCUGUAGACCACUGGUUGUCUAGAAAGAAACUGAAUGUGUUCGUUUCUGAGCCCAUGUUCACCGGAUUUUAGGGUGCCACCUCAUUUAAAAAAAAAAGGGCUUCAAUUCAAUUCUAGUUUCUCAAGAUCACAAUCUGAAUUAUCAACAGAAGCUUCUGGUGAAGACAUAAUGCUCAAUUUCAGAUUAAAUUUCCUGUUCUAUAACUCGUUUUCUCUGAAUUCCUUUAAUGUCUAUGCUUUCUGAUCAUAUAAGUUGCCCGUCUGGUUCCUUGUUUGAGACUCUGCCGAACCUGGAAUAAUGCUUCUAGGUCUAGCUGAGGGGACCUACACCCCUUUUCAUGGAACCUGAGGCAUGCGUUAGUUCGAAACUCUAUUACUUUGCCUCCCAUUGCUUUAAGUCUUUUAGCCAUCUCAGCCACAAAUCUGGAGAUUCAUUUAUCUUUCUUUAAUAUUCAAGCCAAAUGUCAAUUCAGUCCGCUUAAACCCCGAUUUGAAUGAUUUUGAACCCUCUUUUUGCGCUCUUGAUGUUUUUCAUUUCAACUACAAUGACAAACCACCCUUCGAAAAAAGAAGAAAUCUGGACCGAAUCCUAAACUUUUUCAUUCACAACUUCUUGAGCCUGACUCUGAGUCGACACGAUUGAAUCACCUUGGAUAAGAGUGCUUCUAAAAAUCCUCCAGAAUGUAGGCACAAGGCCAUCAGAGAAUCCGGUGGGGAUGGUGGGCACCAAGGUGGCAUCUGUAUAGGUGAAGCCUGGAGACGUGACUGACUCCUCUGCUGGUGUUGAAUCCUUGUAUACAUUCUUCUUUCUUUCGGCACUUUCCGGGACUCCCUGCUGUUCAAAGCUUUGGUGAUAUCUGGUAAGGAUUGAAGAGUUCCAACAAACUUGGGUAGCUCUUGAGAAGUAAGAACCCUGGUGUAAUUAGCUUUCCCCAUCCGUGUCUCUGUUGGAUCCAUGGGCUCAAAUUGAAGCAGUUACUGAAUGGGUCACCAAGCAAAAUAUAUGUCAGUGUCCUCGCAAACUGUUCGGGCUAUUUGAAACCUUUGCUUCUGGCCUCCAUUCAUAUUUAUUCCUCUUUUACCUAUUUCCGUGAGGUCACCGCAGGGGAAAAACUCAAAAUCCUUAGUUAUCAUCAUACUUAAAACUGUCAUGUCGGUUCCCAAAGAGGAUGCUCUCUUUGACAUUUCCUGUUAGUAUACAUGGGGACUGAGAUACAUAGGCUUUUGUACCACCGAUCUUACUGCAAGUUCUUGUUCUAAGGAUUCCAAAGAGGCUGCCAAUUCUUCAAUUUCAUCUCUCCCAUCUUUACUAUUAGAUGCAGACUCCUGUAGUAGGCUCGGAUCAAAGAACAAUCCUUUCAAAACAUUAUUCUUCCUCAACAACCCAGUUUGAAGAGACAAAUUUUCAGAUACCAGCUUUUGAGCAAAGCACUCCAAACACUUGACUUCUUCUAUGAACUCAGAUGUCUUUUCUCAACUUUCACAAAUCUCCUGAAACAUUUUAUCUACAACUGUAUUGCUCUGUUUAUCCCGAGUAUUACAUAUUCUGUUGCCCAUCAUAUCUGCAUUUUCCACUGCGUCAACGCACUUGACCGUCUUCGAGCUUGACAUUUGAAGUAUUUCAUACUGAAUUUUCUCUUGAGAGCUUCACAAAAGCAAUAUGUGUUUCAUCAACGUUCAGAUCAGGUAUUGGAGUUUUCUGUAAGCUGGCGGAACGGUUGGAGACUUUGGCAUCAUAAAUUGCAGCAAGAUUGAAAUUCUGAAUUACAUCUCUAAGUGUCCCAGAGAACUUAGUCACGUCCUCCUCCUAUGCCAUUUCUUGAUAAUUCUCGUUCUUUCCAAAUGCUUCCGAAGGUUGAAAUUAGUACCCUUGUUUGUCUUAAGGAAACAAACCGUUGUACUGACUAUUCUUGUACUUAGAACCUCCAUGAUCAACUAGAUUCAGAUUCUGAACCAGCACUUUGCAAUUCUGAGUUUCACGUUCAUCAAGAAAACCCAAGAGUGCUUCAAUAUCUUCUUUGCCCAUUCUGAUGGAUUAUUGUCUAAAGCAUCAAAGACACUCUUCCUAAUUCUGGCAUAGCCUGUUAUGCAUUGUGCGAGUUUGAAAAAUUGGGCAUCAAAGUGGAGUUGGCUCUGGACAUUGAAUUGCUGAAAUGGGAGCCUGAUAUGAGCAUGAAGGAGGCCGCUGUCCAGCACAUAAACUUUCUGGCAUAUUCAAUGAGCCAUCAAAUCCAACUGCUGAGUAUGAAUAUUCAUCAUUUAAUCCACCGUCUUCUUCAACUGAAAGAAGCUCUAUUGAUUCUGGUUUGAAUCUAACCUUUGCACUGAUUUUAUCCAUGCGCUCAUUGACAGUUUCUUCGGAUGAUAAUGCCUCUCCUCUAAUUUACUAACACGAUCUUUGUAGUCAAUUUUCGAAACAUUGUCGCUGUUCACGUUAUUGCCAGGGUCAAGAAAUGGUAGGAGAUUCAUAAACUCCAACGUGCUUUCCUUUAUCUAACCAUCAUGAAGAAGAAGCCUUAAAUCAGCCACAAGUAUCCUAUAUUCUGCAAAAUGUGAUGAAAUUCUGGGGCGUUGACAUUCAUCAAUUAUGACAGCUUCCCAUUUUGAUUCAUAUUUCCAUUCACCCUAUCAUCGACAUUGAAAAUUAAGUGUGCAACCUUUACAGGACCAAUGGAUGGCUUAUUGACAAAAGGAUCAUAGUCAAGAAGGUAAGCUGCCAUUUCUUUAAAACUUGUCUUCCCAACCCUCACUGAACGUUUCAGGUCUGAUUGCUCAAAGGUUUUCCUUUUCCCAAAACAGUCUCAUUCCAUUUAAAACUGUGCUUCUCAUUUUCCGAAGGCCAUAUCCGCGUGCCCAAAUGUUUGGAAUACAUAAUUCUGGUCAGAAUGUCUCUACUGACAGCUGCAGAAUCUGAACCAAGCCAUUUCGAAAACCAGGUAUCUCUUGGUCCCCGAUCAAACCAUGUCUCUUUCUAUUAUACAGAAGUUCGAGCAAGUCUCAUAAAGCCUGAAUUUCUGCAUGUAGCCACUGCCGGUGUCGGGUUUAUCCAAGCGUGCUGCUUCAUUUCUGAUGCCAAAUUCCAGAUUCCUUCUACGCGUUGACAGACCAAUAUGUUAUCCUUACCAGGAAGCUGAUAUUCGAUAGUAUGAGAUCGAUUUGAUGUCUCCACUGAACUCACUGUUCCUCAGCAGUCUUUAGUUUUGUUGCUCCCCAUAAGAAUCUCAAAAAUACUGUCCUAACAAUUUCUAUGCAAUAACUGACAGAAACAUUCACCUCCUGUGCAGUUUCCACUGAUCCAACCUUAAUGUUGCUUGUUGUUACCUUCGACUCAGAAUAUGGUACAGGUUUUUGUUUUCUUUAACAGCUUCUAGAGAUCUUGAGAAAAUCGAUUCUGAUGACUUCUCUAAACAAUGGGCAUCUUGUUUGAACCCUUCAAGCAAUUCACUUGCUCCUUGUCCUUCAGAAUUGAAUGAGGAAACCAGUUUUUCAGCUGUACAAAACAUAUUUUCCAGCAAUUGACUCCCUUCAGCUCACCCUUUCCAGCAACCAAGCAACUAACCAACGUAUCAAGAAGCUCGAUAAUCACCACUCAAGGGUUACCUGCUGUUUCUCCCAUGGGGAAGUAACGAUUCAGUUUGCCCGUCAUCAUUGCAUGUUAUCUUAGUCUUCACUUUUGUCAAGACGAGCCUUGUGGACAGCAUGUUGGAUUUGUUUUUCAUGCUCUUUGAGAACUGCUGCACAUCAGUUGAUAAUGCUGAACUGUUACCAAGGAGAUUUAUGAAGAAAUCCAAUGAUCCCUCCAAUACAGUAGGCAUAAUUCGAACAUAGAUUUUGAGAGCAUCAAGCAACUUAGAAAGGAAGCAUGUCUCCACAUCCCUUAAUGCAAUACCAGCCAUGGAGGAUGGUUGCAAACCCCAGGUUUUUGCAAUAAUCUUUACAUUAUCCUUCCCACUGUCCAUGUCAUCUGCAGUAAAUGUAUCAAGAGCCUUGUCGCCUCCAUGAAAAGCAAUAUCUAGACCAGAACUUAUCCCACUGACAAUCGUAUCUGUGUCUUCAUUCAAAACAUCCGUUUUCAACUUCUUUCUAUCAUUUCUUCUAUGCACAGUAAAAUUUUCGAAACUUCUUUUCCUUUUCAAACCCAACUCUUGAAUUGUGGAUUGACUACUUAGUGAAGAAGGUAGUGUCAAUAGAACUUGAGGAUCAGGGAGCAACAUUCGAACCCCAUUCUCAAUUUCUUGCUUCAAAGGUGCCAGUCUAUGCAUCAUUUGAUUGCUGGAACAAGAAGUAUGAUUAAUAGCGCUUAUGAAGGAGUCCAAAAACUUCAGUUCCUCCAAGAGAAGCCUUAAAGUUCCAUGCUUCACAAAAACAUUAGGGUGAAGUAAACCCCUUAUUGACAACCAAUCGGCUAGAUGGAUAACAACAAAUACAUUCCAUAAUACUCUGCACAUCUGAGCUAUCAAAGGAUGGCAGAUCUUGAGACUCGGAAUUGAUGAAAUUGAAGGGCAGGCCAAUACCAACUAAGGAAACCAAAUCUGCAACCAGAGGAACAGCAGUAAACCAGGUAGGUGACGUACGGUCUUCAAGGUUGCAAGGAAACUCAUCUAUGUAUGCUGAACAAAAGGAGGUCUCCCUUUAACAAAAGAUAAAAGUAUAUCUCUGUGAUAGGCAACCUCUGUUACUUUAAGCUCCUUCAUGAGACUCAAAAAUCGCUUUGGAUCACUCCUGAAUGGACAUGGGUGUCUCUUCAAAUCUGGCAUCAGUCCGUUACAAAGAUUGGUACAAAGUAUAACCAGAACCCUGUGUGCCGACUCUGGAGCAGGGCUACCUUCUUCCUUUCCAGAAGUACUGACCAACUGUUCUGGAGUGACACUCCCAAAUAGCAUACUCUAAAGACCUGGAGGCGCCAAUGAUUCUGGAAUAAGAACUCUGUCCUUCAAUGUAAACAGAACAUAAACAACUAUUUCGUCAUCAUCAUUUCCGGGCCCAUGAAGAACGCCUGAAUGCAUUUCUUUCUGCUGUAGGAUCCGCCUCAAUAAUCCUGGUUUACCCACUUCCAAAAAUGACAUUGCAAACCCAAUAAAUGAUUUUCUUGUCGAAUGCUUCCUUUUCUUUUCAGCUUGCUUCAAUUUAUACCCCGCAGACUUUGGAAAGAUUGGGAAUUCGAAAUUAAAACUCUUUGCAACCUCAGAAGUCAGACUUGAGCUACGUCUAACUAUUGAAGCCAUCAGCAGGAGAACAGCCUUCUGGCGCUUCCCUUCUUUACUGUUCAGUUCUCUAUAAAUAUCUUCCAACUUUUCUUCAACAAUCAAACGAGCAAAACUUAUCAAUAAUCUUACUAAUAACAAUCCUCCUGGUGUCAUUUGGUCCAUAGAUUCCAUCAGGAUGACUCAAUACAACAGACAUUAAUGACAAGAUAUAUGACAUUCCAGGUUUCCCCUGCCAACGCUUCCAUAAUGUUGUAUCGAACUUGUUCAUAGUUUUUCUGUUACUCCCUUUUCCCUUCCGAGAUUCCUCUCCGUGUAGUCCAACUUCACUUGGACAAAAUACCUGAAAUAAGAAGCCAUGUGCGUCAUACCAACACGCAUUUCAGCACAAGUGCAACCGGUCUAAGGUCAAAGCAGAACUUUGCUUGUGGCAAACUAUAUUCUAUACAGAGAAUCCCAGUCCUCAACAAGGGAGUCCAGAACAGGAGAAUGAACUUUCACUGACUUGUUAAACCGAUGCAGGGACCUGAAAAGAAAGAAGAACUGGAGCUUUAUUACGAAAUUGCUACUCUUCUUCUUCUAGUGAUCACGAAGGUUUAUGCGGGUCAGCCGUCACUGCACUCAACGAUCUCUCUGUAUUUCUCUCUUUUUCUCUAAAACCGCAGAAGUAUUUUCUUUUCUCUAUCCCUCUCACCCACAUUUAUCAUUGCAAUCUAGAAAACCAAAUUUCUUCUCAUUGGUAUUUCUUCAAAUAACUCUCGUGCUCCUCAAUUUGCCCUCAAUGUAUAUACCCUGAACUGGUGGAAUUCCGAGAAGCCAUAUCUCUGAUCUCCAUAUGAAUCCACAAAUUUACAUGGCUGCCACUAACCUUAACAAGUGCAUAAACGACCAUCAAGCCACUUGGACAUGACUACGUGGAAGAAUCUCUUCUGGGUCCCGAAUUGUGACGGCAGUUUUUACAACAAGGGCUAGAACAGAACAUUAACAGGAAAAGAACGGCAACUAUCACGGGCUUUCUUUUAUAUGAACUCACAAUAUGGCAUGUCUAGCCAGAAUUUUGAAAGAGCUGAUCCCUUUGUUGAAUUCUUGUGAUUGCAUACCCAAGCUUUGGAGUCACCCCCAUAUGAAGAAUUGAUGACUACGUGACGGGUAGGAAGAAAGGCAAAACAGAUAUGGUAGAGAGUAGAGGAAACGAUGGGAAAACAGACAUGGGAGAUUAAAAGAAAAUAAAACCACAUCUCAUGAUUUUUCAAUAGGCUCAGGUUAGUGGGAACAGGCAUGGAGUUAUAUGCUUCCGAAGACAUUAAUGACAUCCAAAAUCAAAACAAGGCAAACAGGCAAGUAACCAAUCUCAACAAAGCAAAUUGUGGCCCUUUUCGUCCACACAAAAAUCAACAAAACAAUCAAAUAUUCAGGAAUCAGACACACGAAAAAAUCAAAUAUAGGUAAGAAUUCCAAAAGCAACGAGAUGCAUACCUGGACAGCUUUGGUUGCAAUUGCUCCUUGCUCGUUGCUGCGUGCUUUUCCUCCCUCCUUCUCCAAUGCCUCCAAUGCGUCUGCUCCAGAAAGAAUCUCCUCUCCUUAAUAAAAAAAAAAGCUCCCUUUUCUCCUUCCUCUCUCACGUAUAUAUACGCCUUUCCCUAAAACUAAAUCUCCCUAAAAAAAAGGCCAAAUCUCCUAUUUUCUCUCUUCUUUUCUCCUUAUCCUUUUUUAAAUCUUCCAAUUCAAAAGCAAUCUUCCCAACUUCAAAUUCUCCUCCAAAACCUUCCAAGGAGAGUCCCACUUUCCUUAAACUCCAAUGGUAAGUUUCNNNNNNNNNNNNNNNNNNNNNNNNNNNNNNNNNNNNNNNNNNNNNNNNNNNNNNNNNNNNNNNNNNNNNNNNNNNNNNNNNNNNNNNNNNNNNNNNNNNNNNNNNNNNNNNNNNNNNNNNNNNNNNNNNNNNNNNNNNNNNNNNNNNNNNNNNNNNNNNNNNNNNNNNNNNNNNNNNNNNNNNNNNNNNNNNNNNNNNNNNNNNNNNNNNNNNNNNNNNNNNNNNNNNNNNNNNNNNNNNNNNNNNNNNNNNNNNNNNNNNNNNNNNNNNNNNNNNNNNNNNNNNNNNNNNNNNNNNNNNNNNNNNNNNNNNNNNNNNNNNNNNNNNNNNNNNNNNNNNNNNNNNNNNNNNNNNNNNNNNNNNNNNNNNNNNNNNNNNNNNNNNNNNNNNNNNNNNNNNNNNNNNNNNNNNNNNNNNNNNNNNNNNNNNNNNNNNNNNNNNNNNNNNNNNNNNNNNNNNNNNNNNNNNNNNNNNNNNNNNNNNNNNNNNNNNNNNNNNNNNNNNNNNNNNNNNNNNNNNNNNNNNNNNNNNNNNNNNNNNNNNNNNNNNNNNNNNNNNNNNNNNNNNNNNNNNNNNNNNNNNNNNNNNNNNNNNNNNNNNNNNNNNNNNNNNNNNNNNNNNNNNNNNNNNNNNNNNNNNNNNNNNNNNNNNNNNNNNNNNNNNNNNNNNNNNNNNNNNNNNNNNNNNNNNNNNNNNNNNNNNNNNNNNNNNNNNNNNNNNNNNNNNNNNNNNNNNNNNNNNNNNNNNNNNNNNNNNNNNNNNNNNNNNNNNNNNNNNNNNNNNNNNNNNNNNNNNNNNNNNNNNNNNNNNNNNNNNNNNNNNNNNNNNNNNNNNNNNNNNNNNNNNNNNNNNNNNNNNNNNNNNNNNNNNNNNNNNNNNNNNNNNNNNNNNNNNNNNNNNNNNNNNNNNNNNNNNNNNNNNNNNNNNNNNNNNNNNNNNNNNNNNNNNNNNNNNNNNNNNNNNNNNNNNNNNNNNNNNNNNNNNNNNNNNNNNNNNNNNNNNNNNNNNNNNNNNNNNNNNNNNNNNNNNNNNCCCAAAAAAAUUUAAAACUCCAAAGAAGUGAGAAUGGAGGUACGAUGAAUGUGAGGAUUCCUCACAUUCUUCGUACUCUGCUGAAUUUUUUAGUAUUUUUGGAUUUCAAUUUUUCCGGGAAAUCGUUUCACCACCUUCCAAGUGUAACGAACCUAUUUAAACAACAUCCAAACCAUAUGAUGUCCCAAAAAAAUUUUAAAAACACCAAAGAAGUGGAGAAUUGGGAGGGUACGAAGAAUGUGAGGAAUCCUCACACUCUUCGUACUCUGCUGAAUUUUUGAGUAUUUUUGGAUUUGGAUUUUUCCGGAAAUCAGUUGACCACCUUCCAAGUGUAACUAACCUAUUUAAACAACAUCCAAGCCAUAUGAUGUUUCAAAAAACUUUAAAAACUCCAAAGAAGUGGAGAAUUGGGAGGGUACGAACAAUGUGUGGAUUCCUCACAUUCUUGGUACCCUUGUGAAUUUUUGAGUAUUUCUGGAUUUGGAUGUUUUCAGAAAUCAUUUCACCACCUUCCAAGUGUAACGAACCUAUUUAAACGACAUCCAAACCAUAUGAUAUCCCAAAAAAUUUUUAAAAACUCGAAAGAAGUGGAGAAUUGGGAGGGUACGAACAAUCUGAGGAUUCCUCACAUUCUUCGUACUCUGCUGAAUUUUUUAGUAUUUUUGGAUAUCAAUUUUUCCGGAAAUUGUUUCACCACCUCCUAAGUAUAAUGAACCUAUUUAAACAAUAUCCAAGCCAUAUGAUGUCCCAAAAAAUUUUAAAAACUCCAAAGAAGUGGAGAAUUGGGAGGGUACGAACAAUGUGUGGAUUCCUCACAUUCUUGGUACCCUUGUGAAUUUUUUAGUAUUUUUGGAUUUGGAUUUUUUCAUAAAUCAUUUCACCACCUUCCAAGUGUAACGAACCUAUUUAAACAACAUCCAAACCAUAUGAUAUCCCAAAAAAAUUUUAAAAACUCUAAAGAAGUGGAGAAUUGGGAGGGUACGAACAAUAUGAGGAUUCCUCACAUUCUUCGUACUCUGCUGAAUUUUUUAGUAUUUUUGGAUAUCAAUUUUUCCGGAAAUCGUUUCACCACCUCCUAAGUAUAANNNNNNNNNNNNNNNNNNNNNNNNNNNNNNNNNNNNNNNNNNNNNNNNNNNNNNNNNNNNNNNNNNNNNNNNNNNNNNNNNNNNNNNNNNNNNNNNNNNNNNNNNNNNNNNNNNNNNNNNNNNNNNNNNNNNNNNNNNNNNNNNNNNNNNNNNNNNNNNNNNNNNNNNNNNNNNNNNNNNNNNNNNNNNNNNNNNNNNNNNNNNNNNNNNNNNNNNNNNNNNNNNNNNNNNNNNNNNNNNNNNNNNNNNNNNNNNNNNNNNNNNNNNNNNNNNNNNNNNNNNNNNNNNNNNNNNNNNNNNNNNNNNNNNNNNNNNNNNNNNNNNNNNNNNNNNNNNNNNNNNNNNNNNNNNNNNNNNNNNNNNNNNNNNNNNNNNNNNNNNNNNNNNNNNNNNNNNNNNNNNNNNNNNNNNNNNNNNNNNNNNNNNNNNNNNNNNNNNNNNNNNNNNNNNNNNNNNNNNNNNNNNNNNNNNNNNNNNNNNNNNNNNNNNNNNNNNNNNNNUAAUGACCUAUUUAAACAACUAUCCCAAGCCAUAUGAUGUCCCAAAAAAUUUUAAAAACUCCAAAGAAGUGGAGAAUUGGGAGGGUACGAAGAAUGUGAGGAUUCCUCACACUCUUCGUACUCUGCUGAAUUUUUUAGUAUUUUUUUACUUCAAUUUUUCCGGAAAUCGUUUCACCACCUCCUAAGUAUAAUGAACCUAUUUAAACAAUAUCCAAGCCAUAUGAUGUCCCAAAAAAUUUUAAAAACUCCAAAGAAGUGGUGAACUGGGAGGGUACGAACAAUGUGUGGAUUCCUCACAUUCUUGGUACCCUUGUGAAUUUUUUAGUAUUUUUGGAUUUGGAUGUUUUCAGAAAUCAUUUCACCACCUUCCAAGUGUAACGAACCUAUUUAAACAACAACCAAACCAUAUGAUAUCCCAAAAAAAUUUUAAAAACUCUAAAGAAGUGGAGAAUUGGGAGGGUACGAACAAUCUGAGGAUUCCUCACAUUCUUCGUACUCUGCUGAAUUUUUUAGUAUUUUUGGAUAUCACUUUUUCCAGAAAUCGUUUCACCACCUCGUAAGUAUAAUGAACCUAUUUAAAUAAUAUCCAAGUGAUAUGAUGUCCCAAAAAAUUUUAAAAACUCCAAAGAAAUGGAGAAUUGGGAGGGUACGAAGAAUGUGAGGAUUCCUCACACUCUUCGUACUCUGCUGAAUUUUUUAGUAUUUUUGGAUUUCAAUUUUUCGGGAUAUCGUUUCACCACCUCCUAAGUAUAAUGAACCUAUUUAAACAAUAUCCAAGCCAUAUGAUGUCCCAAAAAAUUUUAAAAACUCCAACGAAGUGGAGAAUUGGGAGGGUACGAACAAUGUGUGGAUUCCUCACAUUCUUGGUACCCUUCUGAAUUUUUUAGUAUUUUUGGAUUUGGAUGUUUUCAGAAAUCAUUUCACCACCUUCCAAGUGUAACGAACCUAUUUAAACAACAUCCAAACCAUAUGAUAUCCCAAAAAAAUUUUAAAAACUCUAAAGAAGUGGAGAAUUGGGAGGGUACGAACAAUCUGAGGAUUCCUCAGAUCCUCGUACUCUGUUGAAUUUUUUAGUAUUUUUGGAUUUCAUUUUUCCGGAAAUCNNNNNNNNNNNNNNNNNNNNNNNNNNNNNNNNNNNNNNNNNNNNNNNNNNNNNNNNNNNNNNNNNNNNNNNNNNNNNNNNNNNNNNNNNNNNNNNNNNNNNNNNNNNNNNNNNNNNNNNNNNNNNNNNNNNNNNNNNNNNNNNNNNNNNNNNNNNNNNNNNNNNNNNNNNNNNNNNNNNNNNNNNNNNNNNNNNNNNNNNNNNNNNNNNNNNNNNNNNNNNNNNNNNNNNNNNNNNNNNNNNNNNNNNNNNNNNNNNNNNNNNNNNNNNNNNNNNNNNNNNNNNNNNNNNNNNNNNNNNNNNNNNNNNNNNNNNNNNNNNNNNNNNNNNNNNNNNNNNNNNNNNNNNNNNNNNNNNNNNNNNNNNNNNNNNNNNNNNNNNNNNNNNNNNNNNNNNNNNNNNNNNNNNNNNNNNNNNNNNNNNNNNNNNNNNNNNNNNNNNNNNNNNNNNNNNNNNNNNNNNNNNNNNNNNNNNNNNNNNNNNNNNNNNNNNNNNNNNNNNNNNNNNNNNNNNNNNNNNNNNNNNNNNNNNNNNNNNNNNNNNNNNNNNNNNNNNNNNNNNNNNNNNNNNNNNNNNNNNNNNNNNNNNNNNNNNNNNNNNNNNNNNNNNNNNNNNNNNNNNNNNNNNNNNNNNNNNNNNNNNNNNNNNNNNNNNNNNNNNNNNNNNNNNNNNNNNNNNNNNNNNNNNNNNNNNNNNNNNNNNNNNNNNNNNNNNNNNNNNNNNNNNNNNNNNNNNNNNNNNNNNNNNNNNNNNNNNNNNNNNNNNNNNNNNNNNNNNNNNNNNNNNNNNNNNNNNNNNNNNNNNNNNNNNNNNNNNNNNNNNNNNNNNNNNNNNNNNNNNNNNNNNNNNNNNNNNNNNNNNNNNNNNNNNNNNNNNNNNNNNNNNNNNNNNNNNNNNNNNNNNNNNNNNNNNNNNNNNNNNNNNNNNNNNNNNNNNNNNNNNNNNNNNNNNNNNNNNNNNNNNNNNNNNNNNNNNNNNNNNNNNNNNNNNNNNNNNNNNNNNNNNNNNNNNNNNNNNNNNNNNNNNNNNNNNNNNGAACCUAUUUAAACAACAUCCAAGCCAGAUGAUGUUUCAAAAAAUUUUAAAAACUCCAAAGAAGUGGAGAAUUGGAAGGCUACGAACAAUGUGAGGAUUCCUCACAUUCUUCGUACCCUUGUGAAUUUUUGAGUAUUUUUGGAUUUGGAUUUUUUCAGAAAUCAUUUGACCACCUCCCAAGUGUAACGAACCUAUUUAAACAACAUCCAAACCAUAUGAUGUCCCAAAAAAAUUUUAAAAACUCCAAAGAAGUGGAGAAUUGGGUGGGUACGAAGAAUGUGAGGAUUCCUCACAUUCUUCGUACUCUGCUGAAUUUUUUAGUAUUUUUGGAUUUCAAUUUUUCCGGAAAUCAUUUCACCACCUCCUAAGUAUAAUGAACCUAUUUAAACAAUAUCCAAGCCAUAUGAUGUCCCAAAAAACUUUAAAAACACCAAAAAAGUGGUGAUUUGGGAGGGCACGAAGAAUGUAAGGAUUCAUCACAUUCUUCGUACCCUUGUGAUUUUUUUAGUACUUUUGGAUUUUGAUUUUUCCGGAAAUCAUUUCACCACCUCCUAUGUGUAAUGAACCUAUUUAAACAACAUCCAAGCCAUAUGAUGUUUCAAAAAAUUUUAAAAACUCCAACGAAGUGGAGAAUCGGGAGGAUACGAACAAUGUGAGGAUUUCUCACAUUCUUCGUACCCUUGUGAAUUUUUAAGUAUUUUUGGAUUUGGAUUUUUUGAGAAAUCUUUCGACCACCUUCCAAGUGUAACGAACCUAUUUAAACAACAUCCAAACCAUGUGAUGUCCCAAAAAAAUUUAAUAACUCCAAAGAAGUUGAGAAUUGGGAGGGUAUGAACAAUGUGAGGAUUCCUCACAUUCUUCGUACCCUGUUGAAUUUUUUAGUAUUUUUCGAUUUCGAUUUUUCCGAAAAUCAUUUCACCACCUCCUAAGUGUAAUGAACCUAUUUAAACAAUAUCCAAGCCAUAUGAUGUCUCAAAAAAUUUUAAAAACUCCAAAGAAGUGGAGAAUUGGGAGGGUACGAACAAUGUGAGGAUUCCUCACAUUCUUCGUACCCUUGUGAAUUUUUGAGUAUUUUUGGAUUUGGAUUUUUUCAGAAAUCAUUUGACCACCUCCCAAGUGUAACGAACCUAUUUAAACAACAUCCAAACCAUAUGAUGUCCCAAAAAAAUUUUAAAAACUCCAAAGAAGUGGAGAAUUGGGUGGGUACGAAGAAUGUGAGGAUUCCUCACAUUCUUCGUACUCUGCUACAUUUUUUUUAGUACUUUUGGAUUUGGAUUGUCCGAAAACAUUCACCACCUCCUAUGUGUAAUGAACCUAUUUAAACAAUAUCCAAGCCAUAUGAUGUCCCAAAAAACUUUAAAAACACCAAAAAAGUGGAGAUUUGGGAGGGCACGAAGAAUGUAAGGUUUCCUCACAUUCUUCGUACCCUUGUGAUUUUUUUAGUACUUUUGGAUUUUGAUUUUUUCGGAAAUCAUUUCACCACCUCCUAUGUGUAAUGAACCUAUUUAAACAACAUCCAAGCCAUAUGAUGUCUCAAAAAAUUUUAAAAACUCCAAAGAAGUGGAGAAUUGGGAGGGUACGAACAAUGUGAGGAUUCCUCACAUUCUUCGUACCCUUGUGAAUUUUUUAGUAUUUUUGGAUUUGGAUUUUUCCAGAAAUCAUUCCACCACCUCCUAAGUGUAAUGAACCUAUUUAAACAACAUCCAAGCCAUAUGAUGUCCCAAAAAAAUUUUAAAAACUCCAAAGAAGUGGAGAUUUGGGAGGGUACGAAGAAUGUGAGGAUUCCUCACAUUCUUCGUACCCUUGUGAAUUUUUUAGUAUUUUUGGAUUUGGAUUUUUCCGGAAAUCAUUUCACCACCUCCUAAGUGUAAUGAACCUAUUUAAACAAUAUCCAAGCCAUAUGAUGUCCCAAAAAAUUUUAAAAACUCCAAAGAAGUGGAGAAUUGGGAGGGUACGAACAAUGUGAGGAUUCCUCACAUUCUUCGUACCCUUGUGAAUUUUUUAGUAUUUUUGGAUUUGGAUUUUUUCGGAAAUCAUUUCACCACCUUCCAAGUGUAACGAACCUAUUUAAACAACAUCCAAGCCAUAUGAUGUCUCAAAAAAUUUUAAAAACUUCAAAGAAGUGGAGAUUUGGGAGGGUACGAAGAAUGUAAGGAUUCAUCACAUUCUUCGUACCCUUGUCAAUUUUUUAGUACUUUUGGAUUUGGAUUUUUCCGGAAAUAGUUUCAGCACCUCCUAUGUGUAAUGAACCUAUUUAAACAAUAUGCAAGCCAUAUGAUGUGCCAAAAAAAUUUAAAAACUCCAAAGAAGUGGAGAAUAAGGAGGGUACGAACAAUGUGAGGAUUCCUCACAUUCUUCGUACCCUUGUGAAUUUUUAACUAUUUUUGGAUUUGGAUUUUUUUCGAAAACAUUUCACCACCUUGCAAGUGUAACGAACCUAUUUAAACAACAUCCAAGCCAGAUGAUGUUUCAAAAAAUUUUAAAAACUCCAAAGAAGUGGAGAAUUGGGAGGCUACGAACAAUGUGAGGAUUCCUCACAUUCUUCGUACCCUUGUGAAUUUUUGAGUAUUUUUGGAUUUGGAUUUUUUCAGAAAUCAUUUGACCACCUUCCAAGUGUAACGAACCUAUUUAAACAACAUCCAAACCAUAUGAUGUCCCAAAAAAAUUUUAAANNNNNNNNNNNNNNNNNNNNNNNNNNNNNNNNNNNNNNNNNNNNNNNNNNNNNNNNNNNNNNNNNNNNNNNNNNNNNNNNNNNNNNNNNNNNNNNNNNNNUUUGGAAUUGGAAUUUUUCAGAAAUCCUUUGACCCCCUUCCAAGGGUAAAGAACCUAUUUCAACAACAUUCAAACCCUAGGAAGAUCCCAAAAAAUUUUAAUAACUCCAAUGAAGUUGAGAAUUGGGAGGGUACGAAGAAUGUGAGGAUUCCUCACAUUCUUCGUACCCUGUUGAAUUUUUUUGUAUUUUUGGAUUUCGAUUUUUUCAAAAAUCAUUUCAGCACCUCCUAAGUAUAAUGGACCUAUUUGAACAAUAUCCAAGCCAUAUGAUCUCCCAAAAAAUUUUAAAAACUCCAAAGAAGUGGAGAUUUGGGAGGGUACGAACAAUGUGAGGAUUCCUCACAUUCUUCGUACCCUUGUGAAUUUUUAACUAUUUUUGGAUUUAGAUUUUUUCGUAAAUCAUUUCACCACCUUGCAAGUGUAACGAACCUAUUUAAACAACAUCCAAGCCAUAUGAUGUUUAAAAAAAUUUUAAAAACUUCAAAGAAGUGGAGAUUUGGGAGGGUACGAAGAAUGUAAGGAUUCCUCACAUUCUUCGUACCCUUGUGAAUUUUUUAGUACUUUUGGAUUUGGAUUUUUCCGGAAAUCAUUUCAGCACCUCCUAUAUGUAAUGAACCUAUUUAAACAAUAUGCAAGCCAUAUGAUGUGCCAAAAAAUUUUAAAAACUCCAAAGAAGUGGAGAAUAGGGAGGGUACGAACAAUGUGAGGAUUCCUCACAUUCUUCGUACCCUUGCGAAUUUUUAACUAGUUUUGGAUUUGGAUUUUUUCGGAAAACAUUUCACCACCUUGCAAGUGUAACGAACCUAUUUAAACAACAUCCAAGCCAGAUGAUGUUUCAAAAAAUUUUAAAAACUCCGAAGAAGUGGAGAAUUGGGAGGCUAGGAACAAUGUGAGGAUUCCUCACAUUCUUCGUACCCUUGUGAAUUUUUGAGUAUUUUUGGAUUUGGAUUUUUUCAGAAAUCAUUUGACCGCCUUCCAAGUGUAACGAACCUAUUUAAACAACAUCCAAACCAUAUGAUGUCCCAAAAAAAUUUUAAAAACUCUAAAGAAGUGGAGAAUUGGGAGGGUACGAAGAAUGUGAGGAUUCCUCACAUUCUUCGUACUCUGCUGAAUUUUUUAGUAUUUUUGGAUUUCAAUUUUUCCGGAAAUCUUUUCAGGCCCGGCUGUUGUUAAAAUAGGUUCGUUACCCUUGCCCGGUGGUGAAAUGUUUUCCGAAAAUAUCAAAAUCCUCCACUAGUUAGAAAUUCGCGAGGGUACGAAGAAUGUGCNNNNNNNNNNNNNNNNNNNNNNNNNNNNNNNNNNNNNNNNNNNNNNNNNNNNNNNNNNNNNNNNNNNNNNNNNNNNNNNNNNNNNNNNNNNNNNNNNNNNNNNNNNNNNNNNNNNNNNNNNNNNNNNNNNNNNNNNNNNNNNNNNNNNNNNNNNNNNNNNNNNNNNNNNNNNNNNNNNNNNNNNNNNNNNNNNNNNNNNNNNNNNNNNNNNNNNNNNNNNNNNNNNNNNNNNNNNNNNNNNNNNNNNNNNNNNNNNNNNNNNNNNNNNNNNNNNNNNNNNNNNNNNNNNNNNNNNNNNNNNNNNNNNNNNNNNNNNNNNNNNNNNNNNNNNNNNNNNNNNNNNNNNNNNNNNNNNNNNNNNNNNNNNNNNNNNNNNNNNNNNNNNNNNNNNNNNNNNNNNNNNNNNNNNNNNNNNNNNNNNNNNNNNNNNNNNNNNNNNNNNNNNNNNNNNNNNNNNNNNNNNNNNNNNNNNNNNNNNNNNNNNNNNNNNNNNNNNNNNNNNNNNNNNNNNNNNNNNNNNNNNNNNNNNNNNNNNNNNNNNNNNNNNNNNNNNNNNNNNNNNNNNNNNNNNNNNNNNNNNNNNNNNNNNNNNNNNNNNNNNNNNNNNNNNNNNNNNNNNNNNNNNNNNNNNNNNNNNNNNNNNNNNNNNNNNNNNNNNNNNNNNNNNNNNNNNNNNNNNNNNNNNNNNNNNNNNNNNNNNNNNNNNNNNNNNNNNNNNNNNNNNNNNNNNNNNNNNNNNNNNNNNNNNNNNNNNNNNNNNNNNNNNNNNNNNNNNNNNNNNNNNNNNNNNNNNNNNNNNNNNNNNNNNNNNNNNNNNNNNNNNNNNNNNNNNNNNNNNNNNNNNNNNNNNNNNNNNNNNNNNNNNNNNNNNNNNNNNNNNNNNNNNNNNNNNNNNNNNNNNNNNNNNNNNNNNNNNNNNNNNNNNNNNNNNNNNNNNNNNNNNNNNNNNNNNNNNNNNNNNNNNNNNNNNNNNNNNNNNNNNNNNNNNNNNNNNNNNNNNNNNNNNNNNNNNNNNNNNNNNNNNNNNNNNNNNNNNNNNNNNNNNNNNNNNNNNNNNNNNNNNNNNNNNNNNNNNNNNNNNNNNNNNNNNNNNNNNNNNNNNNNNNNNNNNNNNNNNNNNNNNNNNNNNNNNNNNNNNNNNNNNNNNNNNNNNNNNNNNNNNNNNNNNNNNNNNNNNNNNNNNNNNNNNNNNNNNNNNNNNNNNNNNNNNAACAAUGUGAGGAUUCCUAACAUUUUUCGUACCCUGUUGAAUUUUAAAGUAUUUUUGGAUUUUGAUUUUUUCAAAAAUCAUUUCACCACCUCCUAAGUGUAAUGAACCUAUUUAAACAAUAUCCAAGCCAUAUGAUGUCCCAAAAAAUUUUAAAAACUCCAAAGAAGUGGAGAUUUGGGAGGGUACGAAGAAUGUAAGGAUUCCUCACAUUCUUCGUAUCCUUGUGAAUUUUUUAGUACUUUUGGAUUUGGAUUUUUCCGAAAAUCAUUUCUCCACCUCCCAUGUGUAAUGAACCUAUUUAAACAACAUCCAAGCCAUAUGAUGUUUCAAAAAAUUUUAAAAACUCCAAAGAAGUGGAGAAUUGGGAGGGUACGAACAAUGUGAGGAUUCUUCACAUUCUUCGUACCCUUGUGAAUUUUUGAGUAUUUUUGGAUUUGGAUUAUUUCAGAAAUCAUUUGACCACCUUCCAAGUGUAACGAACCUAUUUAAACAACAUCCAAACCAUAUGAUGUCCCAAAAAAAUUUUAAAAACUCCAAAGAAGUGGAGAAUUGGGAGGGUACGAAGAAUGUGAGGAUUCCUCACAUUGUUCGUACUCUGCUGAAUUUUUUAGUAUUUUUGGAUUUCAAUUUUUUCGGAAAUCAUUUCACCGCCUCCUAAGUAUAAUGAACCUGUUUAAACAAUAUCCAAGCCAUAUGAUGUCCCAAAAAAUUUUAAAAACUCGAAAGAAGUGGAGAUUUGGGAGGGUACGAAGAAUGUAAGGAUUCCUCACAUUCUUCGUUCCCUUAUGAAUUUUUUAGUACUUUUGGAUUUCGAUUUUUCCGGAAAUCAUUUCACCACCUCCUAUGUGUAAUGAAACGAUUUAAAUAAUAUCCAAGCCAUAUGAUGUCCCAAAAAAUUUGAAAAACUCCAAAGAAGUGGAGAAUUGGGAGGGUACGAACAAUGUGAAGAUUCCUCACAUUCUUCGUAGCCUUGUGAAUUUUUGAGUAUUUUUGGAUUUGGAUUUUUUCGGAAAUCAUUUCACCGCCUUCCAAGUGUAACGAACCUAUUUAAACAACAUCCAAGCCAUAUGAUGUUUCAAAAAAUUUUAAAAACUCGAAAGAAGUGGAGAAUUGGGAGGGUUUGAACAAUGUGAGGAUUCCUCACAUUCUUCGUACCCUUAUGAAUUUUUUAGUAUUUUUGGAUUUGGAUUUUUUCAGAAAUCAUUUGACCACCUUCCAAGUGUAAUGAACCUAUUUAAACAACAUCCAAACCAUAUGAUGUCCCAAAAAAUUUCAAAAACUCCAAAGAAGUGGAGAAUAUGGAAGGUACGAACAAUGUGAGGAUUCCUCACAUUCUACGUACCCUUGUGAAUUUUUUAGUAUUUUUGGAUUUGGAUGUUUUCAGAAAUCAUUUCACCACCUUCCAAGUGUAACGAACCUAUGUAAACAACAUCCAAACCAUAUGAUAUCCCAAAAAAAUUUUAAAAACUCUAAAGAAGUGGAGAAUUGGGAGGGUACGAACAAUCUGAGGAUUCCUCACAUUCUUCGUACUCUGCUGAAUAUUUUAGUAUUUUUGGAUAUCAAUUUUUCCGGAAAUCGUUUCACCACCUCCUAAGUAUAAUGAACCUAUUUAAACAAUAUCCAAGCCAUAUGAUGUCCCAAAAAAUUUUAAAAACUCCAAAGAAGUGGAGAAUUGGGAGGGUACGAAGAAUGUGAGGAUUCCUCACACUCUUCGUACUCUGCUGAAUUUUUUAGUAUUUUUGGAUUUCAAUUUUUCUGGAAAUCGUUUCACCACCUCCUAAGUAUAAUGAACCUAUUUAAACAAUAUCCAAGCCAUAUGAUGUCCCAAAAAAUUUUGAAAACUCCAACGAAGUGGAGAAUUGGGAGGGUACGAACAAUGUGUGGAUUCCUCACAUUCUUGGUACCCUUGUGAAUUUUUUAGUAAUUUUGGAUUUGGAUGUUUUNNNNNNNNNNNNNNNNNNNNNNNNNNNNNNNNNNNNNNNNNNNNNNNNNNNNNNNNNNNNNNNNNNNNNNNNNNNNNNNNNNNNNNNNNNNNNNNNNNNNNNNNNNNNNNNNNNNNNNNNNNNNNNNNNNNNNNNNNNNNNNNNNNNNNNNNNNNNNNNNNNNNNNNNNNNNNNNNNNNNNNNNNNNNNNNNNNNNNNNNNNNNNNNNNNNNNNNNNNNNNNNNNNNNNNNNNNNNNNNNNNNNNNNNNNNNNNNNNNNNNNNNNNNNNNNNNNNNNNNNNNNNNNNNNNNNNNNNNNNNNNNNNNNNGAGAAUGGGAGGGUAUGAACAAUGUGAGGAUUCCUCACAUUCUUCGUACUCUGCUGAAUUUUUGGUAUUUUGGAUAUCAAUUUUUCCGGAAAUCUUUUCACCACUUCCUAAGUUAUAAUGAACGUAUUUUAAACAAUAUUCAAGCCAUUUGAUGUCCCAAAAAAUUUUAAAAACUCCAAAGAAGUGGAGAAUUGGGAGGGUACGAAGAAUGUGAGGAUUCCUCACACUCUUCGUACUCUGCUGAAUUUUUUAGUAUUUUUGGAUUUCAAUUUUUCUGGAAAUCGUUUCACCACCUCCUAAGUAUAAUGAACCUAUUUAAACAAUAUCCAAGCCAUAUGAUGUCCCAAAAAAUUUUAAAAACUCCAAAGAAGUGGAGAAUUGGGAGGGUACGAAGAAUGUGAGGAUUCCUCACAUUGUUCGUACUCUGCUGAAUUUUUUAGUAUUUUUGGAUUUCAAUUUUUCCGGAAAUCAUUUCACCACCUCCUAAGUAUAAUGAACCUGUUUAAACAAUAUCCAAGCCAUAUGAUGUCCCAAAAAAUUUUAAAAACUCGAAAGAAGUGGAGAUUUGGGAGGGUACGAAGAAUGUAAGGAUUCCUCACAUUCUUCGUUCCCUUAUGAAUUUUUUAGUACUUUUGGAUUUCGAUUUUUCCGAAAAUCAUUUCACCACCUCCUAUGUGUAAUGAAACGAUUUAAAUAAUAUCCAAGCCAUAUGAUGUCCCAAAAAAUUUGAAAAACUCCAGAGAAGUGGAGAAUUGGGAGGGUACGAACAAUGUGAAGAUUCCUCACAUUCUUCGUAGCCUUGUGAAUUUUUGAGUAUUUUUGGAUUUGGAUUUUUUCGGAAAUCAUUUCACCGCCUUCCAAGUGUAACAAACCUAUUUAAACAACAUCCAAGCCAUAUGAUGUUUCAAAAAAUUUGAAAAACUCGAAAGAAGUGGAGAAUUGGGAGGGUUUGAACAAUGUGAGGAUUCCUCACAUUCUUCGUACCCUUAUGAAUUUUUUAGUAUUUUUGGAUUUGGAUUUUUUCAGAAAUCAUUUGACCACCUUCCAAGUGUAAUGAACCUAUUUAAACAACAUCCAAACCAUAUGAUGUCCCAAAAAAUUUCAAAAACUCCAAAGAAGUGGAGAAUAUGGAAGGUACGAAGAAUGUGAGGAUUCCUCACAUUCUACGUACCCUUGUGAAUUUUUUAGUAUUUUUGGAGUUGGAUUUUUCCGGAGAUCAUUUCACCGCAUCCUAAGUGUAACAAACCUAUUUAGACAGAAUCCAAGCUAUAUGAUGUCCCCAAAAAUUUUUAUAACNNNNNNNNNNNNNNNNNNNNNNNNNNNNNNNNNNNNNNNNNNNNNNNNNNNNNNNNNNNNNNNNNNNNNNNNNNNNNNNNNNNNNNNNNNNNNNNNNNNNGAAUUUUUUAGUAUUUUGGAUUUCAAUUUUUCUGGAAAUCGUUUCACCACCUCCUAAGUAUAAUGAACCUAUUUAAACAAUAUCCAAGCCAUAUGAUGUCCCAAAAAAUUUUGAAAACUCCAACGAAGUGGAGAAUUGGGAGGGUACGAACAAUGUGUGGAUUCCUCACAUUCUUGGUACCCUUGUGAAUUUUUUAGUAAUUUUGGAUUUGGAUGUUUUCAGAAAUCAUUUCACCACCUUCCAAGUGUAACGAACCUAUUUAAACAACAUCCAAACCAUAUGAUAUCCCAAAAAAAUUUUAAAAACUCUAAAGAAGUGGAGAAUUGGGAGGGUACGAACAAUCUGAGGAUUCCUCACAUUCUUCGUACUCUGCUGAAUUUUUUAGUAUUUUUGGAUAUCAAUUUUUCCGAAAUCGUUUCACCACCUCCUAAGUAUAAUGAACCUAUUUAAACAAUAUCCAAGCCAUAUGAUGUCCCAAAAAAUUUUAAAAACUCGAAAGAAGUGGAGAAUUGGGAGGGUUUGAACAAUGUGAGGAUUCCUCACAUUCUUCGUACUCUGCUGAAUUUGUUAGUAUUUUUGGAUAUCAAUUUUUCCGGAAAUCAUUUCACCACCUCCUAAGUAUAAUGAACCUAUUUAAACAAUAUCCAAGCCAUAUGAUGUCCCAAAAAAUUUUAAAAACUCCAAAGAAGUGGAGAAUUGGGAGGGUACGAAGAAUGUGAGGAUUCCUCACACUCUUCGUACUCUGCUGAAUUUUUUAGUAUUUUUGGAUUUNNNNNNNNNNNNNNNNNNNNNNNNNNNNNNNNNNNNNNNNNNNNNNNNNNNNNNNNNNNNNNNNNNNNNNNNNNNNNNNNNNNNNNNNNNNNNNNNNNNNNNNNNNNNNNNNNNNNNNNNNNNNNNNNNNNNNNNNNNNNNNNNNNNNNNNNNNNNNNNNNNNNNNNNNNNNNNNNNNNNNNNNNNNNNNNNNNNNNNNNNNNNNNNNNNNNNNNNNNNNNNNNNNNNNNNNNNNNNNNNNNNNNNNNNNNNNNNNNNNNNNNNNNNNNNNNNNNNNNNNNNNNNNNNNNNNNNNNNNNNNNNNNNNNAAAAAAUUUGAAAAACUCCAAAGAAGUGGAGAAUUGGGAGGGUACGAACAAUGUGAGGAUUCCUCACAUUCUUCGUACCCUUGUGAAUUUUUUAGUAUUUUUGGAUUUGGAUUUUUUCGGAAAUCAUUUCACCACCUCCUAAGUGUAACGAACCUAUUUAAACAACAUCCAAGCCAUAUGAUGUUUCAAAAAAUUUUAAAAACUCGAAAGAAGUGGAGAAUUGGGAGGGUAUGAACAAUGUGAGGAUUCCUCACAUUCUUCGUACCCUUAUGAAUUUUUUAGUAUUUUUGGAUUUGGAUUUUUUCAGAAAUCAUUUGACCACCUUCCAAGUGUAAUGAACCUAUUUAAACAACAUCCAAACCAUAUGAUGUCCCAAAAAAUUUCAAAAACUCCAAAGAAGUGGAGAAUAUGGAAGGUACGAAGAAUGUGAGGAUUCCUCACAUUCUACGUACCCUUGUGAAUUUUUUAGUAUUUUUGGAUUUGGAUUUUUCCGGAAAUCAUUUCACCGCAUCCUAUGUGUAACAAACCUAUUUAAACAGAAUCCAAGCUAUAUGAUGUCCCCAAAAAUUUUUAUAACUCCAAACAAGUGGAGAAUUGGGAGGGUACGAAUAAUGUGAGCAUUCUUCACAUUCUUCGUAGCCUUUUGAAUUUUCUAGUAUUUUUGGAUUUGGAUUUUUCCGGAUAUCAUUUGACCACCUUCUAAGUGUAACGAAUCUUUUUAAAUAACAUCCAAACCAUUUGAUGUCCUUAAAAUUUUUUAAAACUCCAAAGAAGUGGAGAAUUGGGAGGGUACGAAGAAUGUGAGGAUUCCUCACAUUAUUCGUACUCUUGUGAAUUUUUUAGUAUUUUUCGAUUUCGAUUUUUCCGAAAAUCAUUUCACCACCUCCUAAGUGUAAUGAACUUAUUUAAACAAUAUCCAAGCCAUAUGAUGUCCCAAAAAAUUUUAAAAACUCCAAAGAAGUGGAGAUUUGGGAGGGUACGAACAAUGUGAGGAUUCCUCACAUUCUUUCAAUCCCUCAGAGUCAUUCCAAAAUUGACUUGUUUAAAAAUUGUUGAACUUAUGUUGAAUCCUCAUUUAAGGGGUUAUAUAGAUUUGAUCAUUUUUCUUCAAUAGGCCAUCAAGUAUUUUUUGGAUAAUCGGAAUUAGGAGGUGCAAUUUAGGCAAGUUGUCAUGACUUAAGCCAACCUUAAUUUGGAUAAGGUUCGACUAUUAUUUAUAAUCUUUAGGUACAAUUUUUUAUUUCCAAACUUAAUUAAGGUGAAAUACAAAUAAAAAUUCGAACAACCCAAACCUAAUCCAAAUCCAAUUUAAUAUUUUUAUAAUAUUUAUAGUUUAAAUUAUUUUAUUUAAUAAAUUUAUUUUAUUUAAUUUUGUAGAUGUUACGAUAAUAAUAUAAAAUUAUAAUUUUUUUUCCCUUUUUUACAAAGAUACAUAAUUUUUUUUCCCAUUUUAAUUAUCAUCCCAAACUAUUUUUAAAUUUAGUAUAAAUAUGCAAAAAAAAUGUAUUUUACACAAAAUAUAAGUACAUGUUGAAUCAUAUAGACCCAAUUUGCUCAAGUCUAAUACAAAGAACCCAAACUCAAUCCAACCGUGGAAAUUUGAACAUCAUUAUUUUCUAGGAUUAAUUUUAUUCACCUCACUUAAAUUUAAUAUAAAUAUAAUUAAUUACUAUUAAUUUAAUAUUUUAUAAAAUAUGUCAUCUUCCUUUUAUCAUUUAUUAAUUUCAUUCCACUCUCAUUUUAUUCAAAGUAAGUGAAAUUUCUCAUCUUGUCAUGUUAGUCUCCUAAAUAGAGUAAAUAUCAUGGAAUGCCAUGAAAGGGACAUGAUAUUCCAUAUAUACCAAGAAUUAUAUAAAUGAAUUUUUAAAUAAUUAUUUUGCACCCAAUCAAUGGAGGACACGUGGCUCAUUUGAUAUGUCCAAGUGUGUUUUAACUUACGAGAAAUGAAAUCGAAAUUCUACGGAGCUUGACUACUUUUUCAUCAUAAUGUACAAGGAUGUCGUAAUUACUAAAUACAUAAAUGUUCGUGCAUUACAAGAUCAAAAUUUGAAGACUUGAAGUUGGAUUAAGAGGUUUUAAAUACUUAUAAUCAUUGUGACUCAUUUAUUUAGUUUGUAUGGAUAACCUAUGAGGAUUGAAACCCAAAUUGUAUAGACCUUGACUUCUUAUUCAUCACAAUGUACGAGGAUGUCAUGAUUACUCAAUAGAUGAUUGUUCGAGCAUUACAAGAUCACAAUUUGAAGACUUGAAGUUGGAUUAAGAGGUUUCUAAUGCUUAUAAUAUUUAGUUUGUGUAUAUGUAUUUUAAAUAUGGAUGAGUAAACAUUCAGUUAUACUCAUCCCUAUACAUACAUUUUCAAUUAUAAAAUUCAUAUCACUUACACCAAACAAAUUUUAUUCCCUAUGCAUAUACUACCUGAUAGAGUUGACCACCAUGUUAGUCGAGUGUCAUUGCAUUGACCAUCGUCUUUAACAUUAUUCCCAUUGGAUUAUCCCUACCUUGUGUGCUACUGUUUUUGAACUUCUGUGUUAGGAGGACACAAAUUCCACCUUAAGGCCUUCAAUUUGACCUUUAUUAUUAACACACCUUCUCAUACAUUUAUAUAACCGCUUGCACGCAACUAAAGGUUGGUUUAUAUGGAUGUUCGUUUACCACAAUGAUGUCCCUUCAAAGAAAGAGUAAUUACAUGUAGCAAAAUACCAAAUGGCCUAUCCAUACACGAAUUUAUGGAGGAAACCAAACAAAUUACAACUUAUACAAGGAAAUAUGAACCGGUCGACCGGUUAUAUUCUACCGGUUGCCUACUUAUCUCAACCGGUAGCCACUACCCCUUUGACAAUGCAGCAACCAAAAGGGGCAGUGGCUAUCGGUUGAGAUAAGUAUGCAACCGGUCGACCGGUUCAUAUACUUCAUUUAGUUUUCAUUUAGGUAUGUGAUAUGGUGAUGAGAUCAAGAAAAAUGACUUCUCUUUGUUACUAUUCCCAACAUAAAUCAAGACAUAGGCUUACCCACAAACAAGCUCACAUCAAACACCAAACAAUAGUAAUGUGAUCCUUAAAAAACCCAACCUUAUCAUGUAUAGAUCUCAAAAGAGUUGCAUAAUCAUGAACCAAGCCCUUAACAACCAAGGUCUCCACGUUAACUUUUGCUUAUGCCUCGCACCCUAAUAUGACUCUUCAUAAUAAACUAGGUUCGGCAAGCUCAACAUCUAUAGAAAACUACAUCACUAUAGAUAAUUCAUAAAAAACAAACAACUUAACCUUUGAAGUUUGGUCCUUCAAACAGAGGAGCAAGACAAGAAACAAGCACUCAAAUAAUCAUCAUUUCUAGUUACCCUUCUCCUUACAAAUAACAUCCACUCUUCAAACUCUUUAUCUAAUAAGAAGCGAAGGUUAAAGGGCAUUCCCGCGAUUGUAAGACUUCCAUCAAAUGUUCAUAUAGUAGUUUAUGGAGUUUUAGGGUUCCAUAAAAAACUUUUGAGACUGAAAGGAGUGAAUAUGAUUUCAAUUUUCACCAGAGUUGGCUUUGAAAGAAAGCAUUGUAGGGUUCAUUUGGAAUGUUGGAAUAGGAAAUAGGAAUUUGAAAAUUCAUUCCAUUUCAUAUUCAUUAAUCUGCUUAGCAUAUAACUAGAAAUAGGAAUAGGAAUAAAAAAUUCAUUAUCAAGAAAAUUAAAACCCGGUCUUGUAAGAAUUUUGAUUCUUCUCUUGCACAUAUGGUAUAAUGAUUCACCUACAUGUUCAUUCUCAUUCUAUUCCUAUUCCUACAUGCCAAAUGCACCCACUCCUGAGCCGUGCUUUAACAUAAUGUCACGACAACCCUAUAAUUCUAAGGCUCGAUCAAACAGUCAGUUAAACAGUAACAGCUAUAAUACCUGCACCACCAUUGGACCAGCAGCUAGAAGCAGCAGCUGCACGGUUGUCAUGGAUGCUAAGCUGCUUUGUGAGCUUUACAAGAAGAGAGGACUGUUUCUGGUUACGCUCCCUCCUUCGUUUCACAUUCUGAACCUCCUGAAGUAGUUCUUCAAUCCUUGCAGUGCUUUGGGCACUGAGAACCAAUGUAUAAAAAAUUGCAGUUUUUUUAAUGAAAAAAAAUUCAGACGGGAAAAUAGAAGAUAUUGAAUAAUUAAGGUAGUGUUUAAGUGUCAGCUUCAUGAUGUGUUAAAUGCAAAGACACCAUUCAUCAUGCAACCAAUUCAUGUAAAAAUUCUUUAAGAUACCAGUUCACACCCCUUCUCACAACCUGUCAAGAGGAUAGAAUAGAUAUUUUUCUUUUUUAUUCUUUAGAUGUUCUUCAUGCAUGCUGAUGGAGAAUGGUAUAAUUUUUUUCCCAUAAAACUCAUUCUCUGCUAGAAAUGGAGAUAAAAUAAAUUCCAUAACAUAUAUAAUUUCUAUGUAACAGCUAAAGAUACUUCAAUAUCUUUGUAUUGUGCUCAUAUUCCAUCACUAGGGAUGCAGAGGCAUCAACAGAAUUGAAGUGAGUGGUAUGUGGAACCCAGGUAGUGAGUUAGUUCCAGGUUAGGGAAUUAGAGGUGGCGGGAGAUUUCUUGGAAUUGAUUUUAUGAGGUGCAAUAUAACUAAGGUGGAAAAGAUGAGAGCAGGAUGAAUCAUUGAAGGAUUCUAAAUGUGGCUAGUCCUUACUCCUUACUCCCAUCUUUAUUGCCUAGCAGAUGUGCUGCAUCCCAGCAUAAAUGCUGGCCUCCUAGGAGACAAUAUUUCUAGAGCUAAUUAGCUGUUUGGGUAGCAAGAGGGUCUAGGGAGUUCUGAAUUGCCUUCUCUCUUAUAUGUUCUGUUUUAGUUUCCCUAAUCUGAGUAUUCACUCUCUUUUACAUGAUUUAUACCCUCUUGGCCACUUCCUCUGAGAGUUUCUGCUAUCUAUAAAAAAAUUUACCAACACAAACAACCAAAAGUAUUCCAAUAGUAAAGCAUUCAUAUUUCCUCUUUUUGAUAACAUAUAUAUUAAGGUAUUUAGAGAAUUGUGUGUUUCCAUAUGGCAAAGAGUACCAACCUGACAGAACUGUAUAACUGAUUAAGCAUAUCUUCCUUGGAUUUUUCUACUUGGCAAAGGACAACUGCCUGCUCAACCACAACAGGUAAUAAAGAAUACUAAGAGAACUACAAAAGCAACAAAAUACAUGAAUCAUAAUGGAUUUAAGAAAACAAAUCGACUUUUGGGACAUUGGUAGCAAGGCUGUUCAGAACAGCUUCAACAUAACCACGCACUUCUUAAGACAUCCAUCGGAGCUCUUCUUCUGGAUCUGCAGGUCUUCUGGCCAUUGUAUCCUAUAAAAUUUUCAAUGCAACCAAACAGUAACCACAAAAGACCUAAUAACAAAUGAAAAAAAUGUGAACUAUAGAAUUUAUGUUCUGGGACCAGUACAGAAGUCAAAGAUGGCAGAAGCACCAAAGUUCUAAAUUAACCACAAUUAUAUCAAGAAACACAAAAGACCAAAUGCAGGUAAGCUCCAAAGCAACUAGUUGUGCUAUAGAAUUGUGCCAAAAAGAAAAGGAAAAAACAUUUCAAAAGGACUCACAAGAGAACCAUCAAAAAGACUUUGCCGCAUGGUAAGACCAAAUUCACCCUUCACUUGACCUGAAGGCUGAAUAACAUUUCUCAAUUUGUUUAACCACUCAGCCUUAUCCGCUGCGCUCUCAGCCUUUAACACAACAGCACUGUGAGCUGCAUGAUAAAUGGAAAAUUUAAGUGUAAAAUCACUAAAUAGGAGAGGGGAAAAUGACAACAGUCCACAAGCAGGACUAGAAGUACAGUCAAAAGAAUAAUAACGUACCUUUCAACACUGUCUUAUAUGGAACUUUGCUUGUUAUUUUGAAGACAAGACUGGGUGAUUUCUCUAGUCCAUUUUUCUUUUUACUUUUGGAACUUUUUGGUGGGGGUUCAUCUUUAUCAGCAAUUUCUUCAAUGUUGCAUUCCUGCACAGUUUAUCCAACAGAUUUGGAGACAAAUCCACUAGCAAUGCAUCUUCCAUUAUUUUUAAAAAAUGAGCCCUAAUGUAGAUUUGGAUCACACACGACCGUAACCAUUCAUCUUCAUUAAAGUUUCUAAAACCCCAUGCAACCGUCAAAACUAAAAUAUAUAUAUUAUAUAUCCACAAGAUGGCACAUACAAUAUGGACUUGCCAUGUCAUAACAUUUCAAUAGAACCAAAUGAGGGAAGCACAGAUUCACCAUUUUUCACAUCCUAUAAAGAAAACCUAAGCUGGAGAAAAAUGAAAACUCAGCUAAGAAAGACUAAGUUCAACCAUAGUCCCUGGCUAGCUGGCUAGCUGGCUUAGGGUCAAUUUCCUAAACCUCUCACAUAAUGGCCAAUCAUCAACACCUUGAUUAAGUUGAUGUGGUGUCAAGGCCUCAUGUGAUGCCAACUUACACCCAUGACUACCUAUCACAUGCAGGUUGACAUGUCAUAUUCAUAAGAUGGCAAGUAGGGAUGCCUAUAAUGCUAAGCAGCUUGUCAAUGCAAGAGGUGUCAGGUAGUGGCUCAAUUGUGACAUAAGGGUGGUAGCACAUGGGUAUGCACACACAAGGCACCAUGUAGGUGGCUCGACUCAACUAGAAUUGAAGUGUAGAAUUUUAUUGGGUUGAGAUUUUCCCCUUGAAGGGAAUGCCCUAAGGAGUUUCGAAGUUUAGGAAUACAUGUUCAAAUUUUUUUUUUAAUUACAAAAAAAUUGUUAUGUUUAGUCAUAAAUGAAGUGGAGCUCUCAAUUUAUAAGUUUCUAAGCUCGGGAGUCCAAAACAACAAAAGGCAACCUCGUUCGGUCAAUGUAGGGGUCGACCGGUUCACUAGCCAUUGGAGCAUUUAAUGCAUGAUAGGUUACCGUUGCCUCGACCGGACAUCGACCGGGAAAGGUGUAAACCUCAACCGAGAAGAGAAGGCUACUAGAUGAGAGAGUGUGUUUUUGACACUCCUCGAUCGGUUCUCGACCGGCCAGGGUAAACCGGUCGACCGGUUUCAUAACCGGUUGAGCCCGCUGGCUAUAGCCUCGACCGGUUGAGCUUUUUGGCCCCGAAGACCUUCCUUUUGAAAUUCCUUUCUUUUCUACUACUUAGGCAAGGUCUUUAGGUGAAUUAAUAUGCCACUUUUGAAUCAAUUUGCCUAAGGUAUGUUUGAUAAAACUCGGGUUUUAAAGAAAAUCAAGUUUUAAAGAAUAAACCGAGUUUUCUAAGAUGCAUGAAAAGGUAUGAACAUCCUAAGUGCACUCAUGCUAUCAUUUUACAUUCAUUUCCUAUGAUCUCAAGUCUUCCAAGUGUCUCGAUCAUGUAUCCAUUUGGUCCUUAGAUGAAUUUUCGAGUUUAUACCUGAGAUUCUUAAACAUUUAAAACAAUUAGUCACUUAACCAUGGUUUGUUAUCAUCAAAACCCGAUUAGGGGCACCCUUAGGCUAACAAUCUCCUAUUUUUUGAUGAUGACAAACCUUGGUUAUCUAGGAGAGAAGAAAUCUCCCCCUCAAUCCAAACAUGGAUCAAUUAAAGCGAAAAUUUAAAAUGACAUGCAAAAUUUCAAUAGGAGACAAUGUGAAUUCUGAAAAUAUCAUAUCAUAUAUAAUAAUAUCACAUGGAAAUGUCAUGCAUGUGUGUGCCCCUUAGAUCCUAAAAUUUCUCCCCUUUUGGCAACAUCAUAAAGAAACGAAGGGGGGGGGGGGGGGGGGGGGGUCUCAAAGAUAUCAAGGCGGAGGUGGAGGAAACACUAAGCGAAGGUAGGCCAUCAUUUCCUCAUGCUGCUGAUCCAUACGCUCCUCAAGAUGCCCAAGUCUCUGAUCGAGAUGCUCAAACUGAGAGGUGAAGCCGGUCUGAUACUCAUCUAUGCGAUCCUCCAUAGAGUGGAAACGAGUAUCAUUGAUGACUACAAACUCCUCCAUACGAGUCUCGAGAGAACUGAUCUGAGCGGAUAAAUCCAUCCAAGGCGCAUGAUCAGGUGCAUGAGGUGCCUAAAAUGGUAUCUCUACAUGAGAAGGCUCAGUGAAGAAUGGCUCAGAUGGUCCAACUGUGUAUGCUGGCUCAGAUAUCAUCGGCUCAGGAAAGGAUGCCUCAAACUGAACACUUUCCGUCUGAAGUGGAGGAGGAAUGUCACACUCAGGUAUGCUCUACUCAAAGUCCCUCUGAAGGUCUAGCCCACCCUCCAUCUCUCGAAUCUCGACCUCCUCCUCAUCUCCAGGAUGCAUCUAUCCCUGCCCCUGGUCCUGUGCCGGUGGUCGCUCAGCUCUCCUGAUCCAAGAGCCAUCAGGGGCCUUCUCAAACUUCAUCCGCCCCAGAGACUGCUCGUCAUAUGUGUCAUAUGUGGUUGGGGUCUCGAAAUCUGUCUCGCGACUCAAAUCAACCCCGGCAUCCUUGAAUACUCUCGUGAGGAAGCGACCAUAGAGGAGCACGCCGGUCUUGCUCUCACAGCAAGAUAUCAUAUGCAUCAUCAUCAGGUACCCGACAUGAAUCCGUCUCCCUGUCAAAAUGGAAUCCACUAUGAAAGCCUCGAGGUAGGAUACCUCGUCUCGAUGUCCACCGCGUGGCAACAGAAUGGAGCAGACCAUGUGAUGCAGGAUACGACUGAUCACUGUCAGGCUAUGUGCAGAGGGUUUGCCCAUCCCCUAGGUAUCGGCAAGUCCACACAGCCUUUGAAUAGCCUCUCUAGGCUCAAAUCCCGGCACCGUGGGCCACACCUUGGACUCAUACACCCUGAGUCCAACUGAUGGUAUAUCGAAAAUCCAACAAAUGCUCUCCGGACUCAAGGUGAUCUCAACUCCUCUGACAGUGGAAGUGAUCGGUCCUCCAACCCCGUAGGUCACCAGUGAGUAGAAAGUGCGAAUCAGAAUUGGGAAGAUAGGCUCCGAAAUAGUCACCACUAGCAGCCAUCUCAUCCGUCCAAAUAUCUCCUCAAAUCCAAAGUACUUAAGCUGGGAGAAAUUGAUGCUUCUCCCUGGAACAACUUUCCUCUGGGCGAAUUUUUGUUUAUAUCUCUAGUAGUCUUCGAUAGAGCCGAAAAGAGCGGUAUCGUACCUCGCCUUUCAGCGAGCCUCGGACUGAUCUGGCUGAGAUGGCUCAACAGGGCGCUUGCCUUGAGCCCUGGAAGCGGCUGACUCUCUCCUAGGCGCCAUCCGAAAGGCUGAGAUGAAGGAGACGAGGCUGAAGAGAGGGAUGCACACACACCUGAAAGCCCUUAAGCGCGGGAAGACACUGACGUAGGCUCUAACGCGCUAAUUGAGGAGAAAAUCGCCCAAAUGCGAAGCCUUGGGUCCCAAAAUCCAAAACCCUAGCCUCCAAAAUCCAAUCCGUACCUCUCAGAAGGCUGUAAUGGCGUCAAAAAUCCCUUGAGGGCAGCUGGAACUACACAAGGGUUGAAGAACCAGAAGAAAUGGGUGAGAAACUGAGGCGUGGGAGGCUCUUUAAAUUCUCAGCCUCGUCAAACCGGUCGACCGCCUGGUCAAUGCGGUCAACGCUUCAAUUUUGGUCUAUUUCCUUGUCUCGUGAUCCCCCCCCUGCCCUUUUCAGUUGAAAUCCCCAAUUUUUGUCUUCACUCUCUUGUAAUUGCUUUGUCAAACUGAUUUCAUAAGUCAUUAAUGACCCUAAGAGUUCUCUUCCAUAGGUAGCUUGGUCAAAUCUUUAGCUUCUUGAAUAGCGGUGACCGUUGUAUGCCACUUUGAGGGGAGAGACCUCAAUAUCUUCAUCACCUUUUCGGAUUCAUUUAUGACCCUUCACACUGCUUCAAGGCCAUUGACAAUUUCAGUGAACCAAGUGAUCAUCUCAACAAUAGAUUUAGUUUCUUUCAUGGCACCAGCUAACCUAUCCUUCUGUUACAUGUAUGUUUGACCUCCAAUAUUCUAGCAAUGGCAACCUUGGUUAGAGACCGGCUAGCCUUGCAUCAAGCAGGCAUCCUUAAUCUUGUAAUUGAUUUAGGGCCUACUGUGACUGCUGUGAACCCUCACAUGCAUCCAAUCUUCCAUAUAAGACCCAUGAAGCCACAUUCUAAGGGAUAGGGUCCUGGGGUUUUGAUGUAGAAUGCAAUUCACUCUUUAAAGCCCAAAUCCACAUCCCAUAGCAUGGCCCCCUCAUCCUACUGCCAUAGGGCCACACUGAGUCAUCCCUUAUCUUUCCUCUCAAAUAGCCCCAUUCUCUCCUCAAGCCCAGACACUGAGGCGAUUUUUCCAUAUUUUUAAGAUAGCCUCCCCGAACUAAGAAGCCUUUAUCAAUAAGCAGUGGCUACUAACGAUAGAUUAGUUGCCGAUUGCAGAUUCCAAGCUAUUCAAGAACUACAUCAUCACAAAUAAUUAUGAUACACAAUUUUCAUAAUCUCUAGCUAUUUGAGAUAGAGGUUUGGCCAAAACAAACUUCCAUUUUUCUUUUACUUCUGAAAAUCCAUUCAUUUGUCCUUUCAACCACUUGCUGCAGUCAUAUACAUGGAAUGUUGAGCUAAAAUACACAGAAUACCCUCAAACCAUGUUCAAACUAACAAAAAGAGGAGAAAAAAAAAGAAAAGGAAAAGAAAAACAACAAAUCAUCCUUAAUUACUAACUCUAACAGGUUAUAAAUAAGAUUAUAUGAUUUUAAUUUAUUAUAACUGUGAUUCUCAACAUGAAACAAAGUGUAAAAUCUUCAACAAAAGAAAUUAUUGUUAAGUGCCAAUCAUAUGUACGGUUUGCCACUCUUUAAAUCCACAUGUGCAAAUAAACAUAACAAGAAUUCCAAUAAAUAAAUACACACAUGGAUGAAUGCAACAAAUUACCUGGAAACAUGUUCAAGCAAUGCAUGGGCAAAUUGCAAUUUGAAGAAAGUGCAAUUAACUUCUACUUAACCAUGAAAAGAAUUAACAAUUGAUCAAAGUAAGAAAUUCUUCAUAUGAUAAAACAACAAAAAGAUCCUAUCCAUAAUACCCUUUUGAUCAAUAGAGAAAGAGACCUUUUUUGGUUGAAAACACUUCUUAACAAACAAUGCGGUCCCUGCAUAUUUGGAAUCUGCAAGAGACCACCAAACACGAUAAUUUCCAAAUAGAGGUCUGGAAAGGGCACACAUUAAUAUCUGCAUGGUUCAAAAGAAAUAUAUAAUUGCUAUUACUAGAUAUCCGAUAUUGGAGCAGCAUGGGUUAAUUUUCUUAGCUUUGAAAUACUAAAUUUCCACAACUCAACUCACAGAGCCCAAAUCCCAACUAUUUGGAGUUAACCACAUAAAUGUCUUUUGGCCAUUCAACUUUAAAGUUGUACCAUCAUUUAGGUCUUUAGCAAUCAUGCUGUUUAUUACAAGUUAAAAUUACUUGUUUUUCUUUACAUAAAAUUGUAUAUAGUCAAUUCUAGAGAAUGGUUGAAACUGAGAGACAAAACAUGUUGGUGGUGUAUGAUUAAGCAAAAAGUAUGGCUUAAAGAGCAGAACAGAAAACCAAGAUUCAUGUAGCCAACCCCAAUACUUGGGAUUAAAUCUUCAUGCUGUUGAAUUAUAUUCAAUUUGGAGAUCCAUCAGAGAGUUUUUUUUCUUUUCUUCAUCAAAUUAGUGCAGAUCAAUUCUACCUUAAGUGAUAUAAAACAUAAUGGUGCCAUAAAAAAAGCCUCAAGCAUAUCUUGAUAAUUGGAGCAUCUUCUUGAAUACUCACAAAAAUUAUCACAUCAAAUCCUCGAAUCAUCUACUGAUUUUUUUAAUCCCAUCUAGAAUCAUCUUCUAGAAUCACAUUUUUUUAAUCCCAUCUAGAAUCAUCUUCUGUCACACCAAAUGGCCAUGCACUAACUUGAAAAUUUUGUAGACAAAUGUUCUUGAGGAUUUAAGACUUCUACUGAGGAUUUAAUUUUCAUUGUCAACCUAAUAUGACCCUCCUCAUUUCUCCUAGGCUGAGAUCAACUUUAAAAAAAAUGACGUUCGAGACAUGACACUUGUGGGAAUGGAAGUGAUGGGAAACACUUAACUACUAUACCUAGUGCUGGACAUAACAAUAGGCAAGUAUGUAGUAUAUAAUGCACAUGACAAACAAUAAGUUUCCAUUGCUAGUAAAAUUCCAUCUGACCAUUAACAUGUGUUGAGCAUGAAAAUUGUUGGUCAGAAGUAAACACUACAGCUGCAAUUGGAUGUCUAAUGGAAAUUUAAAGGCUCACAACAAUGGAAAUCAAUGGCUCACAAGUGAGGAUUAAAAAUUAAAAGUUAAAAUAGUGCCCCUCCUGGGGAAGUCAAAAUUGCUCCCAUGCCAUCGGCCUGUUACUAGGAAUCUCAUUUUCAUUGAUAGCACCAUUCUAGAAUUGAGAUUUGAACUUCAAAUCUAUGCAAAACACAAUAGAGAUAUUUGUUUUCAUAAGACAUCCAAAUGCACCUUAAAUAAAAUCUAUUUAAAAUAGUAAAUCAAGAAUGGUUUUAAUAAGGAAAAAAGAUGGCCAAAACUUAGUACGAUAAUUUAUGCAAGCAGGCAAGCAUAUCUCAACCUAUUAUAUUAAUGAUGAACCAGUCGACCGGUUAUAUGCACUUGAUUGACCCGUGCACUCGACUUGUAGACACUGGUCAUUUCUUGAUGCACGUCCCAAAAUGGCCAGUGGCUACCGGUUGAUGCUUUUUCUCGACCGGUUGACACUGCCAAUUUUUUUUUGCAAAACCAAAAUGGGCACUUGCUACCGGUUGAUGCAUUGCCUCAACCGUUUGAAACUGCCCAAGUUUUAUGAAAAAAAAAUAUAGUAGGCUGACCAUAUUCGUAGACAUUAUAGUAGAUUAGACCAAGGGAGGAGAAUACAUACGUUUUACGAGGAACCAAUACUCAAUAUAACCUUCUUAACGCAUGAUUCUUCUAUGCUUUUGAUGGAAAUAGUCAUAACCUUCCUUUUGCCAUUCGAAACCAGGGAUUACAAACUCAAUAUUUAAAACACAAAAAUAUUCAUGGCACCCAAAUGGGAACCUAAAUUAUGUGACGUCCACCAACAAUUUUAAAUCUACAGAAGAAGGUUUAAAGAGAUGAAAAUAACCUAUAUAUCAAGAGCUAUAAACAAAAUAAGAUAGAUAUAAUAUAUACAUGUAGAAGAAAAUACAUCAUCCAUAUACCAUCAUCAGCAUUGAGUGAAUACAUUUACGCCAUUUAUGUGAAUGGCCGAUAACUACAUCCAUAAGUAAUACGAGAAGUCAUAAUUACAAAAGGUCAUUUAUAUUAGCCAAAUGUCCAAAAACAUAAUGAAAGUUUAAUAACUAUAGAACUAAUACAAAAUGUAGAAGGGGUCAUAUAUGGUCUGGUCCAUGAAGCGGGAAGUGGGAUCGCAAGAAGACCAUCAUCUCAUCAUGCUGGCCUCGUAUAACUUGCAUACCCUCUUUGACUUCCUCGUGUAAACCAUCAAUGCGAUUCUCCAGAGAUGUCAAACGUCGGUCAUUGGCUAAUACAAUCUCCUCCAAGCGGGUACCAAGGGAGCUAAUCUGGGCAUUGAGGUUAUCUGAUGCCUCAGAGUCGUCCGAUCCAAUUAGUGAAGGAUGAUUUGUUAACGCCCUAGCUCUUACACCACCUAUUGACGGUAUUCGUGUGACAUUUGAUUUUGAAGAAGUUCUUCCCUAUACUGAUCUUCAUAUUCUUCAUCCUCGGAGGACCCAUUGUCUGAAGACACAUCAACCUCUGAGGGGGGAACAGAAGACUUCCUUGCCCAUGAACUAUCUUUCUUCCGAACAAAAUGCAUGCGUUGAAGUGAAGCCCGAUCAUAUGUAUCAAAUGAUUUGAGUUUUUUCUCGUCUGUCUCAUUACGCAAAUUGACAUUGAAGUAUUUGACAAUCUUUGUAAUAAACAUGCCAUAGGGGAGAACUGAAUCUUCGCUGAUUGAACAUGCUUUCAUAUGUUGGAAAAUUAUGUAACCAAUAUUAACCUUUCUUUCUGUGAGAAUGUUGUCAACCAAAAAAGCCUCCAAGAAAGAUACAUCAUCUCGGUGCCCUCCUUUAGGGAUGAAAAUGUACGAUAUCAUGUGAUGUAGGAUACGACUCAACACAGUCAACAAAUGGGAAGUUGGUCUACUAGAUCUCAAGUAACCACAUAACCUCUGUAUAGCUUCUGCAGGUUUGAAACCUUCCACCCUUGGCCACUUCUUAGCUUCAUACAAACAAACCCCUUCAUUUGGAAUCUCUCAAAUCUGACAAAGUUCAGCAACAUCAAACACGAUCUGUACACCGUUAAUUGUGGUAGUAAUGGGUCCUUCAUCUUCGAAUGUCAUAUUGGAGUAGAAACAUUUGACAACCUUGGGAUAAAGGAACUCUUUGACGGAGACAAUAGGAAGCCAACCCAUUCUCGCGAAAAGCACAUUGAAAUGGAAAUAACUGAGCUUUGCAAAAUCAAUGUUCCUACCCAGGAUUACGGUCCGAUUCGCAAAGUGAAGAUGAAAUUGUUAGGCUAGGUCAGGGGUUGUGAACGUAGAUCGAUCAAAGGUGGCCUUCUUACGAACCUCUGGACUUGCUUCGACGGCAGGUCGUUUUCCUUUGUUGGUGGUGCGUUGUGAUCCAUCCGAGGUGUUCUGGUUGCUGUCGCUGGGUUGUUGUCGAUCGGAGAUCUUUUUGUUGGUCCCGCGCAUCCUUGAUACCACCGUUCUCUUCCCUUUCCUACCGGUGGAGGAUGCUUCGAUCGGUGCUCGUUUUGGAGCCAUGAAUAUUCCGAGUGGCCUUCAAGUAUUGCGUGAGGAUGAAGAAGACUGAAGUGGAAGACGGACGGGUUCAGGUCUUGCGCGAGGAUGAAGAAGAAUGGAGUAGAAGACAAAGGGGUUGAGGGUUACAAGUGGUUUGAACAUCGGUCGACCUUCCUAGUAUAUGGAAAGACAUCCAGUUUAUGAACUAAUAAAAUUUAAUUAACUUAAUGUCUUACAUUAUAUUUGCUAGACUUUUAAUUUAAUAGUUUCCAUAUGAACUCAUUUAACCUAUAAUGGAUUAAAUGAAUAAAUAUUUUGAUGUACCUUAAAUAAAUUAAUUGAAGUUAAUUUCACAAAAUUUAUAUUAAGGAAAAUAAAAUAUGACAACUUAAGUUAAUUAAAUCAUAUAAAUUAACUAACCUUUCUGAUAUGUACAAUAUAGUAUAAUGAACUCACUAAGAUAUAGUCAUACCUAUUAGAUUAAAAUUGUAAUUAACUAACAUAUACUACCAUAGGGGCAUUAAAAUUAAUUAUGGUUGUAUGACAAAUUGUUCGAAUAAGUACGAUAUACCAUGGUGAGUGAAAUAAAUUAAUGAAUCUGAAUUUAUUUAAAAUUUCCAUAAGUAGAAUAUCAUAACAUAUCUCAUUUUACAUAAUUUAGUCUAAUUAACUAACCUUUCUCAUAUCUAGGAUAUAUUAUGAAGCAUUAAUUAAAAAUAAAUUACGUUAAUUCAUGAAAAAAUAUAGUAUAAUGAACUCACUAAGAUAUAGUCACACCUAUUAGAUUAAAAUUGUAAUUAACUAACAUAUACUACCAUAGGGGCAUUAAAAUUAAUUAUGGUUGUAUGACAAAUUGUUCGAAUAAGUACGAUAUACCAUGGUGAGUGAAAUAAAUUAAUGAAUCUGAAUUUAUUUAAAAUUUCCAUUAGUAGAAUAUCAUAACAUAUCUCAUUUUACGUAAUUAAGUCUAAUUAACUAACCUUUCUCAUAUCUAGGAUAGAUUAGGAAGCAUUAAUUAAAAAUAAAUCACGUUAAUUGAUGAAAAAAUAUAGUAAGUAGGAAACGGUAUGAAAACAUAGUUACAAUAAAUAGGCUAAACAACAAUAAGAAAUGUCAAUAUUAUCAAUUAAGUCCAUAUCUUCCCUUUAUAUUUUGUUAAGUUAUACAUAUAUCCAUUUCAAAUGGGUGUAAAAAAUAUCCACAUUAGGUUGACUUUCCCACCUGCUAUAAAUGUUAUAUUUAAUGGCACCUAAAAAAUUGAUGCAAAUAUCCAAACUAUCAACCACCAAGUGUACCAUUGUGGUGGUAGGUUUUCAACAUGUGGCAACCUAUUAAAAAAUGUAAUAACUCCAUCAACCAACCACAUAUAUAUGUUAGUAUAUAUUUGGAAGGGAACAUAUUGUAAGGAGCUUGGAGACUGAACGAGGUCUGCUAUAUGUUGGAGAACAGGUUACAAAAAACAUCCAGAAGACAAAUCUUCAGGUCAAGCUGCAUCACACUUGGACUUUCCAUUUUAACGGUAUGAUCUUUAACUCAAUAAAGAUUAGGUAAACAAAUCCAUAAUACAUUUUUUAAGCUGAAUGCCCUCAUCUUUCAAAUGGAUGGGGAAAUAUUCCCAAAACCUAAUAGUGAUUUUUAAAUGGUAUGUAAUGAUGUUAAAGAGUUUGGAUUUUGAUUGUCUAUAGCACAUUGUUAGUAAUAUGCAUCAGUGAUAUGUUGAACAGUUGACAUUAAUUUAUUUAAUAUAAGUAAUUCAUGUUGGCUUUAAAAAUCACACUAUCAUCAAAAUUAUAGGGUAAUACAUAUUCAACUGACUUAAAAGGAGAUAAUCAACCUUAAGAAAUGUGUAUUAUUGACUCCCAAUGUGGGGUAAGUUUGGAAUAAGUUUGGCGGCGUACCCAAAAGCUUCCAUGCUUUUAGAUAGAAUUAUAUAAAAGUGAUUUUCCAUGUUUUUAAAGAAUGUGCAUGAGAGGUAUUAAUUAUUGUGACUGGCAAACUCCUUGAAGAUGGCAACUAAGAUUAAUGAUGGAAUUUUUGUUAACAUAGUAUGCCUAAAUAGGGCAACAUUCUAACGUUCUGAUAAGGAAUGAAGGCCUUAAUGAAAUGAACAACUAAAACAAACAAUUAGUUACUCUGUUAACAUAUUAUAACAGUGAACAUGUAGCGGUCGACCGGUUAAAUAAGACCGGUUGAUACAUUUUCUCAACCGGUAGACAUUGCCAAAUUUUGUAAGCAGCACCAAAAUGCAUUCGAUUAAUUUGUAGGUCAACCACUUUCUUCCACAUUAUAAUAGCUUAGAGCAAGGGAAGAGAAUAGAUUUGGUUUACGAGGAACCAAACAAUUGUACCGAUUGUUUUUUUAUGAUCAUCAAGACCAACAACACCAUUCCCUACCACAAAAAAGUUGGACAAUCUGAAAUAUUGUUCUUGCACAAGGACCUCCAAAAGAACUACAACCUUAGCCUCAACAGCAGAACCAUGUCUAGGAAGUUGAAUUUAACUAUUACUUCACUUGGUUGUCUAAGGUCAAUUUAAAUUAUGGUGCGUUUCUGUAUAGAUGUCAGACGUCGAUCAUUGUCUAACGCCAUCUUUUUAGGGUAUUGGUGUCGCAUUUGCAUUUUCACAAGUUAUUUCCUCAACAUAAUGAUUUUUAAGUGAUAUUUAAUGAUUUUAAAAAGUUUUGCUUAUGAUUGUGUAAAGCAGACAAGUAUCAAUUUUGCAACAUAUGACCUUUUAAAUUGAAAAUCAUGGGGAAAUUAUCAUGUGUGCAGUCUACACCGGUUCUAUAAUUUCUCAAAUUCUCAAUUUUUAUCAAAAAAUGAGAAUAGAUGACGUUGUCGAAUUCGGUUUAUCUUCAAGUAUGCAAUCAAUUGAUACAAAAGUGAUACGAUAAUUUGUUAAAGUAUUAUUAGGGCACUUUUUUACAUUAUUUAUGUAAUGUAGAUGAUGCAAUUGGUGAAGGAGAAAACAAUCAAGCGGGAGUUUGAAGUGAAGGAGGAGGACGUCGUCAAUGACGAUGCAUUUAUCGGUGGCACUUACCACCUAGGUGGAAACGGUUUGAAAGAGAAGGUGUUGAAGGGUAUUUCAGAUGAAGAAGUCUACAAAUUGCAAUUCGAUUACAUAGAUGAGGUUGAAACAUUUUACAACAUGUUAGCAAAAGUAGCCGGAUUUAGUAUUCGAAAAGAUGAUUUGAAGCUAGACAAGAACGGAGAUAUAAUAUCUCGAAAGUGGGUGUGUUCUAGAGAAGGACAGCGAGCGACAAAGUUUAUUGAAAAUGACAAGUGACAGCGUGAGCCACGAUCAUUGAGUAGAGUUGGAUAUGAAGCUGCAUUUUGUGUAGGCUUGAAUAGGAAAGAUGGAAAGUGGAUUGUAAAGGAAUUUAUAGGAGAUCAUAAUCAUAAUUUGGUCGAUGCUAUCAACACACAAUUCCUUCGGUCUCAUCGAACAAUAAGUAAUCCAGAUAAGGCACAAGUUGAUGUUUUGUGUAAAGUAGGUGUUAAAACCACACAAAUUAUGGACUAUAUGGUCAAACAAUCAGGGGGACAUGAGCACGUCGGUUUCACACAAAAAGAUAUAUACAAUCACGUUGAUGCAAUGCGUAGAAGUGAAAUUAAAGAUGGUGAUGUAGAAACGGCAUUGGCUUAUUUGUGUGGAAAGGCAGAAAUGGAUUCUUCAUUUUUUUAUAAAUUCAACAUUGAUGAAGAAAGUCGACUAGCAAAUUUGUUUUGGGCUGAUUCAAUUGCUCGAAUGGAUUAUGCGUGUUUUGGAGAUGUCCUAGCAUUUGACACAACCUAUAGGACAAAUGCCUAUAAAAAGCCUCUAGUAGUGUUGGUCGGUGUUAAUCAUCACUGCCAAACUGUUGUAUUUGGUUGUACAUUAUUAAUAGAUGAAAGUGUUGGGACAUAUGAAUGGGUGUUGGAGACAUUUCUUGAUGCAAUGAUGAAUAAGAAACCCAUAUCUGUUGUAACCGAUGGGGAUAAAACUAUGCGUAAGGCAAUUAAAAAAGUAUUACCCGAUACGUGUCAUCGAUUGUGUUCAUGGCAUUUGCAACGAAAUGCAUUCACGAAUGUGCAUAUUAAGGACUUCUCAAGCAUAUUUGCAAGGUGCAUGUUCAUGCGUGGGAAUGAAGAAGAAUUUGAAAAGGUUUGGCAUGAAAUGGUUGCAAAUUUGGGACUUAAUGAGAAUCGUUGGGUGAUCGAGAUAUAUGGGAAAUGUAAAAGAUGGGAAGAGGCGUAUUUACGUGGAAAUUUCUUUGGAGGGAUGAGAACCACACAAAGGUGUGAGAGUAUGAAUGCAUAUCUAAAUAGAUUCUUAAAAAUUUGCUUGCGACUAUAUGAGUUUGUACAACAAUUUGAUAGAACCAUACUGAGAAUACGACAAAACGAGGCAAAGGCAGAGGUCGAGUCAAACAAUUCUUCACCCGUGCUUUCAACCAAACUAUCCAUACUUGAAAAUCAUGCUGCGACGGUAUACACGAAAGAAUCUUUCCUUAAAUUUUGUGAGGAGAUGAAAAAUGCAGAGUUAUUCUUUGUGGUAGGUCUUGUAAGUGAUCAUUCAAUGCGGGCAUACACAUUAUCUAAGUUUAGACACCCGAACUUAAAUUGGGAAGUACAAUUUUGCCCGGAUAUUGUAACAUUAAAAUGCUCAUGCAUGAUGUUUGAGUCAAUUGGCAUUCCAUGUUGCCACAUGGUGGUCGUUAUGAAAGUAGAGCAUUUGGAAGAGAUUCCUCAGUCAUGUAUUAUGAAGAGGUGGACAAAGUUAGCAAAGGUGUAUACAAGAUCAGUACCAGUGAAUGAGACAGAUAACGACAUGGAUCGGUUUGUACGAUAUGGUUCAUUGAGUUCGAUGUGCAACAAGCUCUCCUACUUUGCGUUAGAUACGUCAUCUUCAUUUAUAGAGGCCAAAAAUGAAAUACAAAAUUUGACGGCGAGAAUGGAGGAACUCUAUAACUAUAAUUUGAAAGGAAAGAAAAUAGCAGCAGAUGGAGCGACAGGUACUAACCAAGUUCGUGAUCCAAAUAUUGUGAAGACUAAAGAGAAUCCAGGCAAAGUGGCAAUGAAUGUUCAAAAGGGAAGAUGAUGCAAUCGUUGUAAAAGAGUGGGUCACACAAUUCAAAAGUGUCCAGAAGCUACAAUCCCUCAAAAUGCUCAGCCGAGUUAUAUGGUAUGUCAUAUUCAAUAAAAAAAUUGCCCCUAAGAUUAAUUUUUGUAGUUGUACUUACAUAAAUAACUAACAUAAUUGUUUUGAUGGCAUUAUGAGUACGUAGGAGGAAACUAAUUUGUCUUCCCAAUGUGACAUUCAAAUGGAAAUGAUGCCUUCAACAAAUUCAUCAGUUGACAUUUUUGCAACCGUACAUGUAUGUACAAUAGGCUUGUUAUAUAAUUUCCAAACAUUGAUAACAUCUAAUUCAAUAAUAAUUGACAACACUUAAUUAUUGAAAAAUGCAGGGAAUGUUAGGGGAGCAUUUGUCGAAUGACCGAUCUGACAUGUACAUAGAUUGUGGUGAACUUAAUAAUGUAAGAUCGGGAAUAAAGAAACACUUUUGAUAUGAAUUUGAGCUAUGCAUUAUUUAAUGAUUAGGUUUAAUUAAUUGGAAUGGAAUUGGACAGCUGAAAAAAACAAUGGAAUGUGCAUGUGUAGAUAGCAGGAUUUCAGCAACAUGAACAAAAUAUGACAACACCAUGUCAAGGUGGGGAUCCAAACAAAUAUCCAAAUGAAAAGGAUAUGCAACCUUUUUUUUAUUCCUUAAUGGAGUAAGGGAUGGUAGGUAUUUAAUCAGUAUUUAUAUUAGUUGACGUUAUCACUUCCACUAAUGUGUACUUUUAACUUAACUAUUUAAUGAAAAGUUUGAAUUUUGAUCAAGAGUCAAGUUGAUUGAUAGAAUGCAAUAUCCUCUACAUUUAUAAUUUAAUUGAUAACAAGUGAUAAAAUGAUUGGUAAAUGAAGAAACCGAUUCAUUUAUAUCAUGUCGAAAAAAACGGUUAAUUAUGCGGAUUUAAUUAAAUUCAAUUGUGGUUAAAGUUUGACAAUUAGGUGGUUAUGAGUUAACUAUAGGAAAGUAAUCAAUAUGAUGCAAUUCAUAUGAAAUAGGUAAAGUUAGUGAUUUUACUCAAAAUGGGUAAAUCGUAGUUAGGUAAUUUGUAAUGGCAGCUUCCAUCAAUUUCAAACCUUUUAAUUGAACUUAAUGGUACCUUGUCGAAUGUUUAUGUAGUGAAAAGUUAUUGGUACAACUCAUACCCUUUUUGUGGACGGUAGUCGUACUCCUAAAUUGCACAAUAACAUUGCAGGAGGCAACCGGCUGAGAUUUGGCCUCAAGCGGUUGAGAAAAUUUCUCAACCGGUUGCCACUGGUAAAAAAAAUCCUCAACCGGUUGCCACUGGUUAAAAAUAACCUCCACUGGUAGAAGAAAUUCCUCAACCGGUUGAUACCAUUCCUCAACCGGUUGCCACUGGUUAAAAAAACCAUCAACCGGUUGAGAAAAUUCCUCAACCGGUUGAGCAAAUUCCUCAACCUGUUGAUACCAUUCUUCAACCGGUUCCCACUGGUCAAAUCAUUCAUCAACCGGUUGAGACAAUUUCUUCAUUGAUCAACUGCUUUCCACAACUCAAAAAAUUGCUCACUCGCUUUAGAAAAUUCUUCAAUCACUCAAUUGAACGCCGACACCGGGUGAUUCUGCAUCCAAAAUUGUUUGAGCUGGUUGGGACAAAUCCUCAAGGAGUUCACACUGCAUCCAUAGGGUCAUUAUCCAUACGAGGAAUAUUCUCAACCAGUUGGCAUAAUGCGUAUGCCUAUGAAAAGUGGACUUAGCUAAAUCGUUGGACUGGUUCUUACCGGCUCAACGUCAUUCGUCAACCGGUCUACUAAUGUACUAACUAUAUAUUUUUAGCAUAGAUAAAUGAAUAUUUACAAAUCUGAUUAGGUUAAAGAUCGUACAAAAUCACACAUGUCGAACAUGAAUGAUACUAAUAUAUUACAAUUUCAUUUUGACUACCAUAUUGAAAAAAGAGUAUUUGGAUAUUCAAAUAAAAUGGACUUAAUCAUUAAUAAUGUAUGGUCAUCGAAUCUCACAACUUCCCAAUAAACAUGACGAUAUGUGGAGAUGGAAAUGAUAAAUAUUAGAAAAAUAACAAAUAUCAUAAUAAUAAUUUUUUCAUUGCUCGUGUCAACGUCUUUUUACAAACAAUAGCCACAAUGGUUUGUUUUUCUCUAUUUUCCUCGUGUAAAACUAAAUCACAUGCUAUUUCUCGACGUAUUUUAACAGAAUUACAAAAGUCAGAGCUCGUCAUCAAAUCACCAUUUUUGAAUCUCUGCAUAUGUCUAAUGACAUGCACUCCACAGUCCCACCUAAGAAAGAGAAAAGAAAAGUAAAACAACUUAUUGAAUGGUUGUCUAAUUAUACCUCUAUUAAAAGAAUAGUAAUGUGAGUUAUGUAUUCAUACUAAGCCAUUAUCUUGGGUCGGAAUCGAAGGAGCCCAAUCAAUGGAGAAUUGGAAGACAUCUUUCCCUAUGUCAUACAGUUUGAAGAACGUUUGACAAAAUUCAACCUAAUUUAUUUUGAAAGCGGUUAAUAAAUAUAGAAGAGAAAAAAAAACCAAAUAAAAAGGAAAACAAAAAGCAGAAAGCAUACCAUUAUUUUGACACUCUUAAACCGGAACUCGUCCCGACUCUUCGAUCGUAAUGAAUCCAAAAUUUGGAUAUCAAAGUGCUUGAAGUCAAUGAUGCACAGAUACCAAUGACCAGGGCAAUCGUCAUGCAUUGGAAUAAAUAGCUAUAAAGGUAGGAAAACAAUAUAUAUGAGUUGGGCCACAAAAAAUAUUGUAUAUUAUAGGUGAAAACGAUAUCUACUCUAAAUUUCAUAUAUGCAAUUAAACAUUACAAAUAAUUACUAACCUUCUCGCAAUCAUCCAAUUCGCUAAUGUACUUACAAUGGAUUUUUUUCUAUCGAAAAAAGGAUGAGGACUCCUGCAAAAAAUCAUUUGCUAAUAAGAAAACAUAAUACGAACAUUAGUAUAUUGUACUUAAUAUGUAAGUAAACAACAAGAGAAAUAUGAGCUUACUGAAAAUGUCGUGGGAAGAUAGCAUCUUAUACUUCAUAUGCCUAUGAAUUGUCUUUCAAAAUAAUUUAGCUUUGAGGCUUCUAGAUUUAUUACCUGUUGUUGAACAAUAACUUCAAUAAAUUCAUUUAACUAAUAUAGCACGCAUUUGAUAUAAAUGAAGUAGGUACUUACAACAUCCAUCAAAUUUUGUCUAGGACGUAAGCACUCAAAAUCUCCACGAACUCCAUGUUCAUGACCAAAGCCAACAAGAAGCUCACUAAAAUAAUAAUAUGUUCAAACAAACUUGAGUAAAUUGGAAGCAUAUGAAGGCUAAAAUUGUAACAACACAUCUAUGAAUGUUCUAGACACGACAAACCUUUUUGACAAUGCUUUAUUGAAAACAUAAUCAGCGAUAAGAGAUUGAAGUACAUUGAAUGAUUGAGUAUCCACCACGUCUUCACGAAUGGACAUGGGGAUUGACUAAUUCGAAAACAAGACAUAAUUAUUAACUAUAUAUGUUAAGUAUAAAAAAUAAGAACAAUGAUAUUAAACUAUUUGUAUUAUACCUCUGAUGCUUCACAUUUUACCAUCUUCCUUAAAUUGUGUACAAACAGGGAGACCUUGAAUUUACUUGGUUUCCUCUCCCUUGAUGUACGUGUUUUCAUGACAUGAUUAGGAUAACCACAUAGUGCUCGUAAUGGUUCCUAAUAUGGAAAAUGCCAUUAAUAUACAUCUAUUUACUAUGUAAUGGUUAAGUAGUUGUAAAGAAAAUAAUUUUUUCUUUUAUAUGAUACAUACCUUUCCAUAAUCUCUUCUACUCCUUUUGAUUGGAAGUGGUAAAAUAUUUUGAUUUUCGUCUGGAAUGAUAUGCACUUCAAUUGAUGUAGCACAUGCAUCUUCAUUCUUUUCAUUCAAGUCCUCGGUGCAUAACUUCUCAUUUGACAAAGUGUGAAGAUAAUGUUCAUUCACAUUCAUAUUGUUCGUAUCUUCCAAACUUCUCUCGCAUGAGAGCAUGUCAUUCUUCGUUCCUUCCUCGUGCAUUCUCAAAGGUUUUCCGCUUGACCUAAGGAAGAGACCUUUCACUGUAGUAUAAUUCUCCUUAAAUUUAGCCAAAAUUUGAUCACAACUACUACUACUUGCACCAUAAGCCAUAUCAAUUAGAUGUGUCUUUAAUUGUUGAAAGGUUUUAUCCAUCUCCAUUAAGUUCCCACCAUCAACCUAGUGAUAUAUACGAACGUGAUUAAUAACAUCAUAAUACAAAGGUUCAAUGUUAAUAUAGAUAGUCACGAUGAAUAUUGUAAAACACUUACUCGUUUAAUAACAUCUUUGUUUAGAUUGAUUACAAAUUUCUCAUCGUCUUCAUUCUCACUCGCCAUUAUCAUUGCAUUUCCAUCAACGCAAUCCCUUAUCUCAUUUUCUAUCACCCAUAUUUUGAGCUACAAUAUAUUCAUCAAAAUAUAAUACAUAUCAGAUUUUAAAUCACUAAAAACUUAAAUCAAUAGUAAACGACUUUCAAAACUAUAACUUACAUUCUCAUUUGCAUAUCCACCAAGUUUUUUCAAUCUUCGUUUCCUGUCCAAUACUUCAUCAUCUCCCCAAGAAGUAAUCCGAGGAGAAGGUCGAGUAUAUAGCGGUAGAAAUUUCUCUUCAAACGCUAUAUGCUCGUGGUAGAAUAACUACGAGUAUAUUUGACAUAGAUAUAUAGUUAGUUCAUAAAUUAUAUUAAAACAAAAUCGUAUUUCACUAUGAUGUAAAUUAAUUACAAGGACAUUACCAUUAAAAACAAUAAGCAACUGCAAACCCCACUUUGUUGUUUCUUCUUAAACUCUUCAAUCCCGUGCACAAGAUAGGACAACACAAAUUCUGCCCAAUUCAUCUUCUUUGUUGAAUCGAUGUCUUCCACAAGAUGUAAGAAAGAACGAUUCACAAAAAGCUUCAUUGUUGGGCACAAUAAUGCACCCAACACAAAUAAUACAAAACGAACUUUAAAAUCGUUUUCACCCUCUUUAUCCUCCCUAAUUUGAUUUUCUAACAUCACUAAUGGCAAUCGCCCUUUUUUAUCACAAUAUUUUUUACAUAAAUCAUUCUUAUGGCCAACAUCUUUGUUCAUGCCAAUCUUGAACCCUCUUGCCCUCAAUCCCAUAAUAAAUUCAACAUCAAUGGGGGAUAAUUUGAUACAAGUAUUAUACAACUGUAACAUAUAAGUGUUCAGAUUAAAACUAUUUAUCAACCAAAGACAUAACCCAUGAUCAAUUUUCCUACAUCAAAGUUGCAAGAGGCUACCAAAUCCUAUUUCUUUUAUGGCUGCCUUUUGCUUUGGUUCUAAUUUUUCAAUCACUCGCUCGGGGGGAGCAUCGAGUCUGAAGAUAUAACUGAAAAGAUACACAAACAUCAAACAUGUUUACAUUAAUAUAAUUUCCAACAAAUACAUAAGUAAAGAAAUUAAAUAUUCAUUACAAAAAAAAAAUUACCUUUGGAACCACACCCUUUUGAAGUGAAUAUUGUUUUGAACUUUCUUUGGACUUUGCCAUGAAAUUUUCUUUUUCUACUUUUGAAAGUGCAUUCCACUUCUUGCCCAAUUUUUUCCUCAACUACAUUAAUUGGUCACAUAAUUUAAAUUGUAAUUUUAAAAUGUAAUUAUAUUAGACAUAGCAAUAUUACUCCUUACAUCAUCAUUUAUCUUCCCUCCUUUAUCCUUCUCUUUCAUCAUGGCUAAUUGAUUGUUACUACAAAACAAUUUCAAACAAAUUUAACAAUAACAACCACAAAAAUUACAUUAAAAGACAUAUUAUUUUACUUAUUUCUAUUUUCCCUUACUAGUAAUGUAUCCAAGCGCCGAUAGGCCUCUUUGGAUUUCUAACAACUUCAAGACCAUCGCGUUCGCUCCUAAAAAUUAAAUCAAAUCAUUUAAGUCAAUUUUUAUAAUAUGAUUUCGGAUAUAAUAAAUCAAACAUACUUUCACCACCACAUUAUCUCAACAUAAGUUUUUUUUCACAUUUCAAUAAAUUUUAUAUUUAUAUCUUACUACAAUUAAUCAAAUGCCAAUUAAAAUACAAAUAUCAUUACAACUACAACAUCCUCCCUAAAUCUCUUUACAUUUAAAAUGAUGAAAAAAUUAACAUAUAAAUUUUUUUCAAUGUUCAAUAAUGGAUCUAACCACACUCUUUUUCUAUAAUGUAAUCAAUCCAUAAAUCUAACAAAAAACAUGAAAUAUAAUGGAUACAAUAUUGUUGAUGCGACUAAUGGUAGCUUAGCUUUAAAGGCGUAUCAACAAAAUUUAUACCUUGAAUACUAUUACUAAAGUAGCCAAGCUACUAUAGCAUAGUGGUUCUAGGAUCGUUCACUGGGAAGGGUUUUCGCAAACACAAGUGAUAUUCAAAUUAGGAAAAUAGGUGAUUUUCUUAUGGAUGUUAGCUUUAAAAGAAGAUGUAAAUGUUUUAGAAAGAUUUAAACUAAUCUAAGCUAACAUUAAAGACUAAAAUGAAAGGGUGUAAAAACAAGUUUCUCAAAGAUAGGAUAGCUAUGCUCUAGCUCUUAUGCAAAUUGGAAAUCUCAGGAUAGGCUCCUCGCGUUGGGGUUGCAACUAUGGUGAUGCUUGCUUCCCGAACCGGUAUGGAUUUAGCAAAUCAAUUUUUAAUCCUUUAAAAUGGCAAAACAGAUGGUAGUGAAUUUCAUCAAUGGUUAUUCACCUUAGACUUCCUUUGAAUGGCUCGUAAGAGAUAACCAAAAGCUUAUCAAAUAUUGGCAACUCAAAGUCAUUCCAGGUGAUAAACUCACCUUUCAAUGGCCAUUGAAAUUGGUUCUAACGGAUUAAUGCAAAACUUGGAAUUGAAAACCUCACCUUCCAAUAGCUCGUAGGAGAUAACUAAUGGAUAGAAAUCCAAAAGCUUAUCAAGUAUUGGCCGUUGGAAGUUGUCCAAAGGAAAUAAAAACCGAACUUUGCAUUAAUGAACCAUUAAUGAAAAACGACUACCUUACCUUCCGGGUGCGAGAAAUUUCCAUGGGAUUGCAUCCAAGCCAUCACAUAACAUCCAUACUUUGAGAAACUAAAAGUUUUAGCCACUCAUCCUCUGAGGAAAAGCCCUUAGAGGCUGUUUGGCUACUAAGAAAAUAGAAACGGGAGAGCUCUGUAAAAAUUCUAAGUGUAAAACGUAAUAUAUGUUCUAUAUUCUAUAUAUCAUCCAAGAGGUGAUUUCCACCCCUUAUAUAGUCUUUACAAAAGCAAAAGCUUGUGAUUGGUUAGUUACAAGGAUAAGAAAGGAAAUUACAUCACAAAAUACAAAGGAAAAUAUCUAAAGUAGAGUCGGCAAAAGCAGAGCAAAAUUCGCAACACGCAUGGGUUAUGCGAAUUUUGAAGGUGUUAUGCGAAUUUCGCAUAACUUGUGUUAUGCGAAAUUUUCGCAUAACCUGGAGCAGUUGGCUUCCGAAGGCCAUAUCUUCCUCAUUUCAACUCCAAAUCGUACACGGUUUGAAGCGUUGGAUUCUUGACUUCCAGAGCUUUGAAAUGGUAUAUAGCAUGUAAAAAAUGGACUUCGGUAAGUGCUCCAAAAGUGCAAAAGAAGACUGCAGCUGCUGUCCUCUUUUCUUCUCUUCACUUUGCUUGCUUUUCCUCUUUGCUUCUCUUUGCAUACUUUGAACGAUUUUGGCAAAGGGCUAUGGAGCUCCAAAGCUUGGUUCUUCAUGAAUUUGAGCUUCCAAAAGCUUUGCCAUAACUUGUCCAAGUAGCUCCUCCAUCAUUUGGCAUGCUUGAAUUGAUUCAUAAGCUGAUAAAAACAUGUAAACUUGCCACAAAAUGGUUAAAACCAAUUACUAAGGACCUUAAUGAAUUAAUUGGGUUAAAUGAAUAUGAUUACUACUCAAAGGUGCUUAAAACCAUUAUAAUUAGGUCUACAAAAUAGCACUUUUUGGUAGUAAUCAAUUGUAAAACACAUAAUUACUACUCACAUUUUUUUCCCUUUAUAUAGAACUCGCCAAAUAAUUAGGAUACAAGCGCCUUUUGAGUAACAAACAAUUGUGUCCUUCUCAGCUUUCUUUUCCUUAGUACUACACGUCCUCUUCUUCUUCUUCCAGCUACGUCUACAAUUCGGGUUUUUAAACCAUUAAAUUUAGAACCUGAAAACACCCCCUUACACCUCUUAAACAAAAUAUAAAAUAUAAAGAAAAUACAAGGGUUAUGAAGAUUCCACUAAAAUUCUCCGUGUGAAAGAACCGAAAUUCUCCGUGUGACAAAAUGCAGGGGUAAGGGGGAGAGAAAGCAAAAAUUUAUAAAAUUUACAUAAAAUCUUCGAGAAGAAGAAUCUAGCAGAAAAAAUAACUGACUUGGACAUCGGGAGAAAUGAAGUCUAAGACUCGGAUCUUGGCACCGACCUCGCCCACAAUCCUGAGCUCGCGGUCCUUGAGGGAGACUUCUUUGAUGAGGUCAAGACGUCGGCUUGGAGGAGGUUGGCCCGGUUCACGGCGAUGGUGGUCUCCACCCACCUGUGAAGACGUCUUUGAUCCCGGUUGAUGGCGAAGGUGGUCUCCACCUAGCUGUGGAGACGUCUUUGAUAAGGUCUGCGACGUCGGCCUCGAAGAGGUUGGCCCGGUUGAAGCCGACCGUGGUCUUCACCCAGCUGUGGAGAAUCAGUGGAGAGAAAAACUGGAAAAGGGAGAGAAAACAAAGAUGAGAGCGGGAAAUGGGUGAGAGAAUAUAAUGAAGUCGGCUAUGGAGGAAGUCGACUAUGGAGGAUGAGUGAGGGUGGGGAAGAGCCACAUAGCCAGCUAUGGAGGGGAAGAGAGCAAAUUAUGGGGGAAAAAAGGGGGAAAAGGAGGAGAGAUGGGGGAGAGAAUGGGAGAAGGAGGUACCCGGUUUGAAAUUUUUUUUUUUUUUCCUUUUCAUUUAGAUGACUGAGAUUUAAUCAUUUUCAUCCAAUGGCUGAAAAAAAAUGGAGGCAUGGUACCGAAGGAGGUAUUGUAGAAUUUUCCUAAUUAAUAAUAGGAAUUUCUAUUUUUGCUUUCUAAUAAGUUUUUAUUUUUAGACCUAAUUUUCUUUAGAAAUCUAUCUCCUUUCAGGUGGCAAUCUCUUAUAGAUAUUUUAGGUAUUAAUAUAUAGUCAAUAAAUUAAAUACCAUUUACAUCAAUCAUGUGUCAACUUCUCAAAUUAGAUUGAGGUUCUAUCUCAAUUCAACUAAGACCUCAAUUUAAUCAAAAUCAUACUAAAACCUUUUUUAAAAGUAAUUCAAAUUGGUAAAACUUAAUACUUAUUACUUAAUAACUUAAAUUGACUUUAAAUUAAAUUAUAUUUUAGUUGUUGAUUUAAAAUUUAUUAUUUAAUUCUUACUUUAAAUAAUAAGGUUAUUUGAUAAAAUUAAAUUAAAACUUAACAAAUGUGAUAAAUAUUUUUUAGGUAACCUGAUACUUUUUGGAUAUUUACAAAAAGAUAUCAUUAAUCAAUCAGGUGAUGUUGUGUACAAAUAAGAUCUUUGUACUUAUAUGCAACCUUAUAUUUGUACCCUUAUUCAAAAGUCUAGAUUCCACCAUACACCUUCAAUGGUCCAGAUAAAAAAUUCAAUAGAUACUGAUUUUAACCUAAACUUGAAAACCUUCGACCUAUCUUACUCUGAAUAUCUAAUUGAGGGCUUCAAUUCAAGCUCAAUGUAACCUCAUAUUUCCAAAUUCAAGUUAGACCGAGUCAAAGGGCUAGCUUUUUAAUGAGCAAGUUGAGGCUUGUGAAUUGAGUUAAAUUCUACAUAUUCUACUUUUCACAAUAUUAAAAAAUAUAUCAAAUAAAUAAGAAUACAUAGAAUAUAAAUUAUAAAGUCACAAACUAAUUAAAUUAUGACUCCAAUUUUCUAAUCCUUGGCAUGAAAAUUAAGUUUUGGUUGAAAAAACUCAAACCAAAAUAACCCUAAUGUGAGAAUUGGUUGCUCAACCUUAACCAAAGAAGUCUAUUGAAUUCAAUGUUGCAUUAAAACAAGAAAAGAAAGAGUGUUGAUGAAGCAACGAUGUCCAAUCUACCAACUUGAUAUUCAUAACUUUCAUCGCAACAAUUAAAUUAUCAAUAUCCUAACUUUCUAAUAUCAAUUUUAAAAGGAAUUCUCUAUUUUGUUUGGAAGAAACCUAAUGGAAAGGAAACUUGAGGCAAGGAUAAAAAGAAAGCACACCUAGUACCCUUUGCUUCUUAUAGAAGGGCUCCACUAGAAGCAAGACAAUCCCUAAGAGGAAAACUUUUAGGGCAUGUUUGGAACAUUGAAAUAGGGAAUGAGAAUUAGAAAUCCAUACUAUUUCCUAUUUAUUAUUGUGUUAGAUUGCGAAAUGAGAAUUGAAAUAAGAAAUUCAUUCUUAUGAAGAUCAAAACUCACUAUAGUCAAAAAUUUUAUUCCUCUUUUCUACAUGAUAUAGUGAUCCACCUCCGUUCUCAUCUUAUUUCUACUCCUAUUCUUAUGUACCGAGCACACCUUAAUGUUAUAAUAAAUGAGAAACCAAAACCCACUCUUACUAGAAUUUUGAUUCAUGUUUUCCACAUAGUAUAGUAAUUUGCCUCCACUUCAAUCUUAUUUCCAUUCUUAUACUAGUGUAAAACAAAUGCACUCUAAAUGCAACUACAAGGCCUACUUUCCUAUAGGCCAAACACUAGGACAAGAAUCUUUGUCGUUUCCUAACCUACCAAUUUAGAUUAUGUUUGGUUCUCGAAAGUUUUGACGAAAAAUGUCAAGAAAAGAAAAUAAGAUGAAAUAAAAAACAAAAAAAAAGAUUAAAAAUAUAUGUUUAUUGUCAAUAAAUUAUUUUUAUAUACUUUAAACACAUUUUACUUAUUUUAACUUUCUAUAUAAAGAUUAAAUAAUUUGAAAAUGCAUAAAAUUUUUAACUAAUUUUAAUUACAUUUUAUUUUCUUUUGUACAAAUAUAAGAAAAUAAUUUUUCUUAACAUUUUUCUUCUUUCUCUCCUUACUACUUUCCAUGAACCAAGCAUAAUAUUAAUAACUUUUAUCAAGAGUUCAAACUAAAUUUUCAUAGAACCUAGAAGCUCCAAGCAUAUCCUCAAUGAUCACGAAAAGCAUUUAGGUAAUAAUUGAAGAACAUUCUUAAGUAGUAAACAAGCUUGCAGUUCCAAGUUUUGAAAUCUUGUGACUUAAAAUUCCAGGUUUAUGUUGAAAAUAACAAACUAUGGAAUUGCUCUCACCUCAUGUUCAUGUGAGAUCGUUAGAGGUGAUUGCUUGGAAACCAGUCUCUGUUCCGACCACAGCUCUAAAUUAACUGUCCUGGUUCCCCAGUGAAUGAGACACUUGUGGACUUCAGUGAUAUCAAACCAGUUCACUAGAGCCAGCCUGAGACAUUUAUCGACCAGCAUCCAUUCACCUGAAAAUGAAAAUCGUGAAGGAAAUCAUCAACUUCGGUUAUGAAAAUAUAUGAAGGGUGGCUGCUUUGAAAGUUUUGAAAAUUUUGAAAGCUGAUCCAGACUGGCCAUCUUGGUUUAGUUCUAUAUUGCCAGCUGGUAAUACCAUGUUUGAUCAUAAUGCUGAGUUUGGACAAGGAUAGUGAGCAUAUAGAGUAUGCAAAUCUGGGGUUUGGUUCAGAAUUUCAUUAAUGUUUUAAGAGCACAGUAAGGAAGCCAACUGAAAAGAGAAAAUCAGCUAAUUUCAUUUUCACGGUGCAGCACCUUAAGAUUUUUUUUGUAGUUAGAAAGCCUGGACUUCUUAUCCCAACGACAGUGAAUAUUGUAAAGAUGGAUAAAAGGAAUAUUACCAUUAGGCCGAAGAUUCCCUUCAUAAGACUGCUCACUGGCUUCAGGCCAAACUUCGUGCUUAGAUCCAUCGAUGGAGACAAACAAGACAAAAGACUCCGUAGGGUGCAAGAGAUUGAAUAUCGGGUGCACACGGAGGCAAACGAGCCUACAAGAUGAACAAACCAUAAUAAAGCUGUUAGAAUAGGGAAUAAAUUGUUGUAGGCAUUUGUUACUGUAAAUUAGCUGUAUGUUUAUACUUGUAUUAUUCCCAUUGAUGUGUUCUCCUAUGUAUAGGAUAUUAGGAUUUUUUUUCCUUGUUUAGAGCUCUAUAGGUCAACUAAUGUAUUCUAUAUAUCUUGUAAUAUUUUUUUUUCCCAACAGAUCAGUUUUUUAUCGUUCUUUCACUAGUCUACAUGGUAUCAGAGCCGUUUAGGCUCUUGGGUUUACAGGCAGCCAUGAGUGUUGCUCUGUUUAGGUGGAGUUAAUAGCCACCAUUUUGUGUCCUACUUCACGACCUUCAUUGUCAUUACCCUUACCAUUUAUUUCUCAAUUCACAGCCUUCAUUGCUGUUAUUUUUUUCUCACCACCUAAGGAAAUCUCCUUCUCAUUCAGUUCCUCCUGUCAUAUUCUCCUUCAAUCAUGUCUGAAACACCUAAGCCCGCCAACACCACUUCUGCAGUAGCUUCUUUCAGCGCCCGGCAUCCAUACAUUCUGAAAAUCCUACCCUUCAAAUCACCACGUCAAAACUGAAUGGAAGGAACUUUAUGGAGUGGUCCCAAUCUGUAAAAAUUUCUUUGAGAAGCAGAGGGAAAUUCAAAUACAUUAUUGGGACAGCAAGACCACAACUUGAAAGUGAUCCUAAGUAUGAGAUUUGGGAGGCGCAAAACUCAAUGAUAAUGUCUUGGCUACUAAACUCCAUGCAACCUGAGAUCAGAAAGACAUAUCUACUUCUUCCCACGGCUAGAGACAUUUGGGAGGCUGUUAAUAAGACCUAUUCAAAGGUUGGUUUCACCUCCCAAAUUUUUCAGAUCAAGCCACAGAUUAUGAAUACCAAGCAAGGGACUCCAAGUGUCACGGAGUACUAUAACUCUCUGAAAGCUAUUGAUGGAGUUAGAUCUCUACCAAAACAUAGAGAUGGAAUCUGCUGCUGAUUCAAAGAAGUUGAAGGACAUGCUGGAAAUGGAACGAGUCUUUCAAUUUUUGUUGGGACUUAAUCCUGAAUUUGAUCAAGCAUGUGAAAAAAUAUUAGGAAAAGACCUUUUUCUUGAUCUUGAUGAAGCUUUUUCACACAUCCAUGGGGAGGAAAGUCGCAAAGAAUUGAUAGGCAACAAAACUGAAAAUUGUGGAAGUCUUACAACAGAAAAUUCUGCUCUAGCAGUGGCUAAACAAAAUCAAAAUGCAAGUGACAACAAGAAACCAGUGGACAAGGAUAAAAUGUAGUGUGACCAUUGCAACAAACUAAGACACACAAGAGCCAUGUGUUGGAAGCUACAAGGAAAGCCUUAAAACCUCAAACAAACUGGCAGCAAAGGAGGAAAUCAGCCUACUAGAUUGGGACAAGCCAAUCACACAGCUAUUGUUGAAGAAAGAUCAGCACAGUUGGGAUUCAACAAAUCUGAUCUUGAGAAUCUGAAACACUUGUUGAAUCAGUUGGAGGAUUCUAAUGCAAACCCCUCGUCAAAUUCAGGUUCAUGUUCCAUGGCUCAAUUAGGUACAAAGGCUUCAAUUUCCUUCCAAAAUAACUUCAAUACCUUGAUCAUUGAUUCAGGUGCUUCAAACCACAUGACCAGCAUGUAUAAUUUUUUUUCCAGCUACUUACCAUGUUCAAGAAAACAAAAAAUCAGGGUAGCUGAUGGAUCAUUCUCCUCAGUUGUUGGUCAAGGAUUUGUACACAUUUCACCCUCCUUAACCUCACACUUUGUUCUUCAUGUCCCAAAUUUAAACUAUAAUCUAUUGUCUAUUGGAAAAAUCUCAAAAGAGUUAAAUUGUUCUAUUGAAUUCACCCCUACAGGUUGUUAUUUUUAGGAUCAUUUGGGGAAGAUGAUUGGGCAUGGUAAGUUGAAAGAUGGACUUUUGAUGAGAAUCAACAAGCAUUCAAGGAUCCAUUGCAUGUUCCAAUUGGGCCUAUUACUAAAGCAAGAUCUAAGAAGAUCAAAGAAGCACUUAAUGGGCUAAUUCAAGAUAUUUGGGUUGAUUCUAACGCAGGACAUUCCAAGUUUGGCCCAAAGGAAGAUAAAGGUGUAAUAAAUUUAAUCCAAGCUAUUGAGGGCUAAUCUGGCUUGAUUGGGUGUGAUUUAUGGCAUGGAUUAAUGAUUGAUUGACUUUCCAGCUUCAUAUAAGUUAUUUCCUAUUCUAGAGCUUCUAAAUUCAGGCCAAAUCUACCUUAAUUUUAGGCUUUUAUUAUUUAGAACGUUUUUUAGCUAUUUUCCUAUUUUGGAUCUGCUAAUUUCAGACCAAAUCAACCUUUAUUUAGGAUUUUAAUAUUUAAUACCUUUUUUAGUUUAGGGUUUUAAUGUUUAGUAAGUUUUUUUCAUGUCAUAUAAAUAGCACGCACUCAUUGUAAUAGGGGAUAAUUUAUAUUGAAUAAAAAAUCAGAAAAGGUGAGGCUUAGCUCUUCUUUUGGUUCUUUAAAAAUUGUGAACUUAUCAAGUAUUCUUCCUUGUGGCGUUCAAAAUUUAUACCUUCGGUUCAUGAUUCCAUUGUAAUCAUUGGGUCAAAGUCUGUUACUUAUACUUUUGGUUCGCAUUUCACUUAUAAAUGUUAGGUCAGGGUUCUAUCAAAAAUCUAUAUUUUAGCUUUCUUGGGCAAUUAUUUCAAUACUGUUUGUGGGGUCUCAAAGCGUGUCGAUUGAGGUUCGCAUCAUUUGGUAUGACUUUUGUGACAUCCCACAUCGGAUAGGGGGGAAAUUUCUUGGCGCUAUAUAUGUAGAGACUUCUCUUAACCAAGUAGACGUGUUUUAAAGCCGUGAGGCCCCUCUUGGGCCCAAAGCGGACAAUAUCUACAUGGUUGGGUGCGAGUCGUUAUAAAUGGUAUCAGAGCUGAUCCCCGACCCCGGUGUGGGGGUUUGUUUGGUCCCGUAAGGGGUGUUUGUCUGUUUGGCCCCACAAUCCCGUGGGACACAAUGAGGACGUUGUGUCUGCAUGGGGGGGGGGUGGUGUUUGUAACAUCCCACAUCGAAUAAGGGGGAAAGUUUCUAGCACUAUAUAUGUAGAGACUUCUCUUAACCAAGUAGACGCGUUUUAAAGCCGUGAGGGCCCUCUUGGGCCCAAAACGGACAAUAUCUACAUGGUUGGGUGCGGGUCGUUAUAGCUUUGCUCUUCUUUUGGUUCUUCAAAAACUAUGAACUUAUCAAGGAUUCUUCCUUAUGGCGUUCAAAAUUUAUACCUUCGGUUCAUGAUUCCAUUGUAAUCAUUGGGUCAAGGUCUGUUACUUAUACUUUUGGUUCGCGUUUCACUUAUAAACGUUGGGUCAGGAUUCUAUCAAAAAUUUGUAUUUUAGCUUUCUUGGGCAAUUAUUCCAAUACUGUUUGUUGGGUCUCAAAGCGUGUCGAUUGAGGUUCACAUCAUUUGGUAUCAGAGCACAGGUUCUAAAAUCAGUUUUCUAUCCCUUUAUCUUUUGUUUCCUGUUAUCAUCCUAUCUUGUUCCUUUUGUGUUCUUUAUUCCUCGUUCUUAUUUUUUUGACGUGCACUAGGUUAAAAUCGUGCACCAAGCUCCAAAAAAAAAAGGAAAAAAAAACAACUUUAGAAAAGAAAUAGAAAACAGCAAUAUAUAUAUAUAUUGAGUGUAGUUUCAAUUCUCUCAAAUCAAAAUAUUAUUUUCCUUUGUCCUCUUCCUUUGAUUUUGUGUUUCUGUCAUAUUUUCUUACCAUUGGUAUUAGUUUAGAUACUACAAAGUUGAA